rnacentral:lncRNA from 1 species
CUAAGCGUCUUUACACUAAUAUCACUCAACUUCAUUUAAACUGUGAAAUAGGGCAGAAAAUUCAUCGCAUGAUUUUGCCCUUCCUUGAGUUUAAGGAGGAUGAAAUUGACGCUGAAGCAUAUAACUGUGAAAGUGUUGUUUCGUCUGAGGAUGUUAAUCCGACAUAUAUGUAUGGUCUAGACAAAAUCGAAUCUUUCAUAAAGUCCAAGGACCACAAGGACAUGCUGAAAAAUCUUUUGGAUGAAAAUGAUAAACUAACACUAAGAACCGAAACCAUACAAAAGUUUGACUCAUUGAAUGCCAACCUGAGCUCAGAAAAUAAAAUUGAUGUUGAAAAUGCAUCUGAGCUCAAUGAGGACGAUGAUAUGAGUGAAAUUUCUGUUGAAGACACAGUUGACUGUUCAGAGUUUGUCAAGAGCGAACCCAAAAACCACAAAAAUCUUAUUUCAGAAAAUUCUGUGGAGUUUGCUCGUCUGUCCCAACAAAAGUCCCCGAUCCUUGAAGAAAAGGCUGUUGUAUACCAAAAAGUGAGAACAACUCCAAAUCAGGUGUAUAAAGUCACAGGCGUAACAGAACAUCAGACAGCCGAACUCACAGCUAUUGUAAACGAAGAUAAUGCUGAUGGUUGUGAUGAGUUCUUCUGGUCUGCUCCUAUCGACAAUGCUGACGAAACAGUUGGUCUGUCAGAAAGGACUUCAUGGAAAACCAAAGGCAGAUAUGUGCCAGAACCUUUGAACAAGCCUGAUAGCUUCGACGUGCCAAGUACGAGUGGUACAAAAAAUGUUCCUGAAGAAAAAGGAGUAUCAGCAAAAGAAGUCACUCCGUCAAGCGACACAUCAUCAGUUCAAAGUGAAUCAGCUGAAAGAAAGCAAAAACAAAAAGCGAAUGUCCNGUCAGCCGAAGCUGGUGAAAAACCAAAAACAGCAAAGGAAUCAGAGAUACAAGAAGAAUCUCUCUGAAAGAAAACAGUUUUGGCAAUCUAAAAAUGCACAUUUCUCUUAUCAUGAUAGAAACUUAAAGUCAGAGAAAAGUACUGUUAGAUCACAAGAGAGUAAUAACAACCGAAGGGAGAGGUUCGGUUCUGAAGGUAAUAACAACCGAAAGGAUAUGUUCGGUUCUGAAAAAUAUGACAACUGAAGGCAAAGGUUCGGUUCAGAGAACUCUAUCUAUCGUAAGCAGAGGUUCGGUUCCGAGAGUAAAAGAGACCAAAGUUCUAGGUUCGGUCCCACUAAUGAUCAAAAACAAAAGGAUCACUUAGAAUCUCAAGCCAAGAAAUCAUCUCAGUCUAAAUUCUCUCGUUCUACUUCUUCUAAUUCUUCUAAUUCCUCUCAACCACAUUCUAAAUUCAAUUCUGUUCGCACUCAAAAACCUAAAUCUUCAACAGAUCUGAAAGGAAAAUCGAAGGUUUCAUCAGUCGAAACAAAUCAAAAUCAUCCCAAAGUCCAAAUACCUAAACCAGAAUCCAAACCGAAAGCAACAAAUCCCAAUAAAAUUAAGGUUUUCACCAUUAAAAAGAAAGAUGAAACAACGUUAAUAAAAAGAACAUAUCUUGUUGACAUCUCUCUUACUAUUCCUGUUCCUGUGAAAGGCUCACGUGGACCCAAGAAACUUUGGGUUCCUAAAUCUGCUUAAUUUUUGCAGGUUAUCAGUGACGAGCAGUUUGACGAAGAAUGGUAUAUUGACAGUGGCUGCUCGCGUCACAUGACAGGAAGGAAGGAAGAGCUGAGGGAAUUUCGGUCUCUUUCAAACGGUGGAAAUGUCAAGUUCGGGAACAACUCAUUCGGCACAAUAAAAGGCUAUGGAAUGAUAACAAAUGGUGAUUUUACGAUUAGGAAGGUUGCAUAUGUUGAAGGACUACAACACAACCUCAUCAGUGUAUCUCAAGGUUUCAUUUGAUGAUGAGGGUUCGUAAAUAAUUGAGAAGAAAACGAAAAGAGUUAUUCUCAAAUCGGAGCGCAAAGGCGAAAUGUUUCCCCUGAACCUCAAACCCAUCAAAGGGAAUCCAGCUAUCUGCCUGUUAUCCAAAGCACAAUCUGACGAAAGCUGGCUGUGGCACCGAAGGCUCUCUCAUCUCAACUUUAAGGAUAUCAACAAACUUGUCACUGGAGGUCAUGUUCGAGGUCUUCCAUUGCUCAAGUACGAUCGAGAACAUUUAUGUGCUGCAUGUGAAAUGGGGAAACAGAGUCGUCAAAGUCACCCAUCAAUUAUAAACACUAAAGUUGUUGAACCACUAGAGUUAAUUCAUAUUGAUUUGUGUGGUCCAUCAUCUAUCGAAAGCAUCGACGGUAGCAAGUACGUUCUUGUCAUUGUUAAUGACUUCUCGCGUUUUACAUGGGUGUUCUUUUUGAAGCAUAAAUCUGAAGCGACUCUCAAGCUAAAGGUGUUCAUCAAGCAGGUUGAAGUACAGCUGAAGAAAGUCGUUCGCAACAUCAGGAGCGACAAUGGUCUGGAGUUCAAAAAUAAAGAAUUCGAAGAAUUCUUGGCCGACAAAGGAACCAGUCACAACUUCUCAGCUCCCUACACCCCUCAACAAAACGGGAUUGUCGAAAGACGAAACCGAUCUUUGUGUGAGGCGGCCCGAACCAUGCUAAGUUUUGCUUCUUUACCUUUAUAUUUUUGGGCUGAUGCUAUUGCUGCAGCUUGUUUUACGCAGAACAUGUCAUAUCUCAAUAAGCGAUUCACUCUCACUCCUUAUGAGAUCAUCAACAACAGGAAGCCAAAUGUCAAAUUUUUCCAUGUGUUCGGCUCACAGUGUUUCAUCUUUAAUUCUAGAGAACACCGUAACAAGUUCGAUGUCAAAGCCGAUGAAGGGAUAUUUUUGGGCUAUUCUCUCACUUCUAAAGCGUACAGGGUAUUAAACAAGCGGUCAAGGAAAAUAGAAGAGACGUAUUAUGUGACUUUUGAUGAUAGCUAUGUCAAAAAGCUAAGGGCCAACGAAGACACAGUUGGAGAAAUCUUUUCUCAAACAGGCCAAGUCACAGCCUCGAUCGCAAAUCUAUUUGAGAAGUUUGUCGAGUUAUUUGAUGAACCAAAAAAGGCUACUCUCUCGGAAGUCAGUGCAGCAGACAAUAAUGUAGAUCAUUUGAAGCAACUCGUCGAAGAUGCUGCCAAGCAAAUGAAUGAAGGAGGAUCUAGUUCCAAUGAACCUCUACAGCACAAUGCUUCAAUCGAGGGGGACGAUCCAUCUUCUCCAUUACAGACGAGUUCACAUGUUGAGGGGGAGGACAGUUCUCAAGCUACUCCCGAACGCUCAACAGUACCCGAAGGUGCUUCAACACCCGAAAGUGCUUCAACACCUGAAAGUGUUACAACACCCGAAGGUGCUACAACACCCGAAAGUUCUUCAACACCCGAAAGUGUUACAACACCCGAAGGUGCUACAACACCCGAAAGUGCUACAACACCCGAAGGUGCUUCAACACCCGAAAGCUCGACACCACCCGAAACCCCUGUAGCUCCGGAAAUUCAAGACACACCUGAAAGCUUAUCUGUCGAGGGGGAGAAUGCUGAUAUGCUUUAUGACGAUGAAAGUCAAUCUGAGCUAGAAGAGAUGGUAAACGCUGAAUUGGAUCCAUCCUAUGAUUCAAAUUACCCUCCUCUUGUCAAAUGGACCAGAGGUCAUCCUGUCUCCCAGGUUGUCGGUAAUGUCUCUGAAAUGGUUCUGACCCGAUCACAACUUAAGGCAAAACAAACUUCCUUAUUUUCAAAAGUAGAAUUAUGUAUGUUUAUCUCCUUCGUCUCAAAAGUUGAACCAAAGACAGUUAACACUGCUCUUGAUCACUCCGAUUGGGUUCAGGCUAUGCAAGACGAACUGAAUGAAUUCGAAAGAAAUAAAGUUUGGCGCCUCAUUCCAACUCCUCAAGAUGCCUCAGUUGUUGGUCUCAAAUGGGUCUUCAGAAAUAAAAUGGACAAGGAAGGCAACGUGAUACGAAACAAAGCACGUCUGGUGGUGAAAGGAUACUGUCAGGAGGAAGGAAUUGACUAUGAGGAAACUUUUGCUCCUGUAGCUAGGCUGGAAUCCGUUAGAAUAUUUCUUGCCUAUGCUGCACACAAAAACUUUGAGGUCUACCAAAUGGAUGUCAAGUGCGCAUUUCUAAAUGGAGAACUUGAAGAAACGGUGUACGUGGAGCAACCUCCUGGAUUCGUCAAUGAAAGGUACCCCAAUCACUGUUACAUUUUGGACAAAGCCGUAUAUGGACUGAAACAAGCUCCGAGGGCCUGGUAUGAAACGCUAACCAAGUUUUUAAAGAUGUCCAAAUUCAAACAAGGUUCGGUUGACCCAACCUUCUUUCGUAAGAAGGAAGGUAACCACCUUAUGAUUGUUCAAAUUUACGUCGAUGAUAUCAUCUUUGGCUCAACGAAUCCUAGCUUAACGGCUGAAUUCAGAAAGCUGAUGGAGACUAAAUUUGAAAUGAGCUCAAUGGGUCCAAUUAACUUUUUCCUUGGUUUAAAUAUUAGACAGGGACCCGAAGGCAUCUUUAUUAAUCAGGAAGCUUACACGAAGACUCUCCUUGCAAAAUUUGGCAUGAUGGGAGAUUCAAAGGUUAAAGUUCCAAUGGCGUUCGGCACCAAGCUCACUCCAUCAUUGGAUAAGCCAGCAGUUGAUAUUACGCUAUAUCGCCAGAUGAUCGGUUCUCUGAUGUAUCUUACUGCUAGCAGGCCUGAUAUAAUGUUCUCUGUUUGUUACUGUGCUAGAUUUCAGGCGAAUCCACGUGAACCUCAUAUGCUUGCAGUGAAGAACAUACUCCGUUAUCUCAAGCGAACUACCUCUUUAGGCCUAUGGUAUCCAUCCAACUCAGGCUUCUUCGUUCAAGCCUACUCAGAUGCAGACCUUGGAGGUUGUGGACUAGACAGGAAAAGCACCACGGGGGGCUGCCAAUUCCUUGACGGGAAUUUGGUUAGCUGGCAUUCAAAGAAACAAACUUGUGUGUCUUUUUCUACAGCUGAAGCAGAAUACAUUGCAGUUGCCUCCUGUACCUCUCAAGUGAUUUGGAUCCAAAGUCAACUCCGGGACUAUGGACUCAAUAUGAAAAAGAUCCCACUAUAUUGUGACUCUGAGAGUGCAAUUAGGAUCUGUCAUAACCCAGUACAACACUCCAAGACCAAGCAUAUAGCACUGAGGUAUCACUUCAUUAAAGAUCAUGUGGAAGAUGGGAACGUUGAAAUUCAUUUUGUUCGAACCACUGAUCAACUGGCUGACAUCUUCACCAAAGCUCUUCCUGAAGCGUCGUUCAACAAAAUUCUACAAGGGCUAGGUAUGAUGGAAUCAGAGUCAGUACCAAAAAUUACCUCUCAUACUCAAAAGUAAAAAGCGAAAUAGACCGAACGUUCGGGUUCAGGUCUUGUACUAAUGUACCGAAAUGAACCGAACGCUCGGGUUCGGUUGAAUCAUCUACUUUUCGCUCCUCAAUCAAAGGUAGUUUUGUUGGUUGUAAAUCUUAUGUAUAAUUGUUCCAAAUGCAUUUCUCUUAUUGUCAACAUUAUUCUCUUUUUGAAAAUCUAUUUUCUUUGGUAACCGAAAUAGACCGAACGUUCGGGUUCGGUUUCAAAAAUUUUCUCACCCGAAAUAGACCGAGCGCUCGGGUUCGGUUCCAAAGUUUUUCACAACCGAAAUAAACCGAACGUUCGGGUUCGGUUACAAAUUUUUUUUUUCUCUCUGUUUUUUUUAUUUUAUUUUUUAUUAUCAAAAAUUCCAAAAAUAAUUUUUUUUUAUAUUCAAAAACUCCAAAAAUAUUUUAUUCUUCAUUUUCUUUUUGGCUUUAAUUUUAUUUGUGUGUUCGUUUAUGGGGAAAUUGUUGAAUUAGCUAAGUGUCCCUAGAAGCAUGCUGCUGUAAGCGUCCAAAGCCUCACCUGAUUCUGAAUAAUAGCCUUAAUGACUUGGUAUACACAAACUUUGUCUUCCCAAUUAGGCUAUCACAUUUAUUCUAAUCAUGAGCUACCUAACUCUCUUCUCACAUGAGAUAAGAGUUUUCUGCUUGGUCCUAUUUUUCACAGCAGAGGUACUUUGAUUUCUUACACCAUCUACAUUUCAUUUCUCCAUCACACUCGUUUCACAAACGUAACCCUUGAGACUCUCAGAAAUUACCACUGAGGUUUAUGGUUACACAAUAACUGUGUUCAUGAUCUUAGUUUCGUGCCACUACGAGCUAAGUGAACCCAAAAUUCAAUACCCAAUACAAAUUGACGGUGAACAAUUAAUUUGCUCUAGUUUUCACUAUUGAAUUGACGGAUGUGUCUUCAUGAAAUCUCAAAAUUUUCUUUUGUGUGAUUCCUAUGAAAUUGUUACAACCAAUAACAUUUCUUCCCUUGGGAUCCAGUUUUAAUUUUUUUUUUUGAGAUUUUAUAUUCCUAGCCUAUUUAAAUUAUUCCCAACCUACUUGUUCAACAGACUACACCGGUCUCACAAGUACUUUGUUCACUUUCUAUCUUAUAUCAAGAUUAGGAAUGUUGAAUCGAAGCGAAAGCCACCCUCACAAGCCUAAUUAAAAGAAGCCUUUCAACACUUCUUAAUAAGUGUAUGAUCGUUAUUCAACGGGAAACCACAUAAACACUUUAAGGUCUCUCUUGACUUUAAAGAAAGAAAUUCAUGCCCGGGAUCAUUUGUUUCGUGUCUUUAUUGACAUCACAUUUUUUCCUAAAAAUUAUUGCCUUAUUUCUUUUCUUUUACACCCUUAGCAUGAAAAUCUUUGAUUUUCCAAAAUUCAGGUUCUAUUAAUUACAGGCAUUUUCAUUGGAUUAAUGGUUGAUUAAAGGUUGUGGUUGAUUUUAAUCCACGUGGGCGUAUUCUUCAAAAGAUGUCGUUACAAUUUAAAGGGAUAAGGUGAUGACUUUCUGACUCAGGCGGGAGUCUAAUCAAUUUGAUUUCAAACGGUGCAAAAGGGAAAGCAUGUGAAUUGGAACCGUCUCAUCUCCAAAUGGCGCAGAAGGGGCGCGUAUGAAUCUGAAACGGUUCAUAUCCAAACGGUGCUUGAUGGGAGGCGUGUUCUUAGGGGUCUGACAUUCUCUCUCAUGCGUGAUCAUCGGCAACCCCAACUAUCAUGCAUCAGUCAACUCUGAAAAACCCUUCGAUUUUCAAUCGAAGAUUUGGGAAGAUCUUUCUCUCUCCUAAAACCCCAGUAUAAAAGGCAGUAUAAUCCUACAUUUACCUCUUUACCGCAAUUAAAAUUCCCAAAGAGCAAAAAUUCCUCAAUCCUUCCCUGUUCAUCAUCUUCUCCACUCUCUUCAAACAAUGGCAGAUUCAUUUUCUUUUCACGCAACAUCCCACAUACUACCCAUUCGCCCACAACAAAGCCUCAUCAUUGAUUUAACUCCUCAAGCUUACGAUGCCUUCAUGUUCCCCAUAAUCGAGUGCUUGAAGUUUUCUCCGAUCGCUCCUGCACUUACAAGAGAUGAAUCUGUUCCAAUGGAGUUCUUAUCGCAAAUCUUUGCGACUGCUCAUUAUGACAAGGCUGUUGACAAAAUUUUCUUUGAUGUUUUCAGCACAAGGCAUCAAUUUCAAAGCAAAGGUUUGCUCCCUGUUAGGGUUUGAAGCUGAUUCUACGAGGGUUAACCCUGAGAUGAUUCCAUUAGGGCACUUAUUCAACAUGUUUUAUAACAUGGGUUAUACGGAGGUGCUUACUGCAGUCGCAAAGUUCAAGAAGUCGUGCCUACCUCCACAGUGGAACGGGAUGUUCACUGUUCAAAUCAAAGGGUUAUCUGAAAGAAGCGUUGGAUCUGAUGGUGCCAGUUGGUUAUUUUUGUCAAUAAUGUAUGGUAUCUACAAUGGCAUCAAUGUAGAUUAUGGGUCUGUUCUAUGGCAACAACUCAUCCAGAGUCUCUCCUCAACUUCCAGGCAUUCAGAGAUUUCUUACGCUAGGUUCUGGACUUUGAUCACGAAAUGGGUGAUGGACAAGUACCACGUCCCCAUUGUCACUGGUGCUCCAAUGUCUUCGAUUGGUACAUUCCAUACCACGAAGAUCAUUGUCUCAGACACUUCCAAGUUUCCAUUCAACAGUUCAAUUCCGGAAACCAUGUAUGGGGAUGUUCCUGCUGAUAGCCAGAUCAUUAGGACGUACAAGGAGUUCAAGCGUUCUGGUCCGAGGGAUCUUCCUCCGGAGAUGCUAAAUCCAUACAUGACACCGACAAGCCUGUUCCAAGAGGCAACAAGGCGGAUAAGGGAAAACAGGUGGCCAAGGGGGCAAAAGGCCCGUCUCCCAGAAAGAGGAAACCCACAAGGGCUGCUCUAUCUCCACAACAGAAGAGGAGAAAAACUCAGCUGAGGCGAAAGCUGGUUAUUGCUUCCUCCUCAAGCGAGUCAGAGGGUGAGAGUUCGGAUUCUGACGACUCUCCACGAGGAAACACUCCACCCAGAUCUCCUACCCCCAUAACUUCCACUACUUCAAUACCACCCACUUCAAUCCCAAUACCAACACCAAGAUUCACCGACGCAACCACAACAUCCACUGCAGAUGUUAGAGCCAACAUAUCUGAUACGGGGGUUCAUACUGAUGCACCCGAACCCACACCAGCACCCGAAACCACAAAAGCACCCGAACCUACCCCUACACCAACACCCGAAACAACCCAACCCGAACCUACCCAUACUUUUGCACCACCAGCUUCACCACCCCCACCCUCUCCUGAUCAUGAAGAACCACUCCUUGGCGGAGAGGAUAUGACGUUUGACUCGGUCUACUAUAGUCCGUUUCAAGUACAGAGUGAUGACGACGAUGACGCUCCCGUAACCAAGAGACAUCUCAAGGAGCUUCAUGACAAGAUUGACUUGCUCAUCGCCUCUUCUUCCACUACUCAGUCAUCCUUUUCUGAAGAUGCAGUUCAGAAGAUUGUUGAUGCUUUCUCCAAGGCUCAGCAAGAUUCCAUUGCUUCUGCAACCUCCGCCAUCGACGUCUCAACAAAAGCUUGUCAGGAUGCGACCAAAAAAGUCGAUAAACUAUUUUCUGAUUCCUCUGUUCUGUUACAGUCUUUACAGGAGAGUGCAAAUGUUGCUAAGAUUAUGUUAGAUCCAAUUGUUCAACAGUUGACAACGUCUGUCUCCACUGAGUUGAAGUCCUUCGCUUCAUUUCGUCAAACGCUUUCAGACGACAACUCGGCAUUUCGCGCAACCAUUGACGAGCGUCUCUCGAAGCUACAAGAAGAUUUAGCUGCUGAGAACUCUCUCAUGGAUGUUCUAGCCAAGAAGACAACUGCUCUAAAGGUCAAGAGUGUUCAACUCUCCCACUCUCAGCAGGAGAUUGACUUUCUUCGGUCUGAAAGGGAGGUGAUAAAGUCGUGUCUUUUGGAUGUCCAUUCUGCCAUCUCCAACAUCCUCAAAGCACAUGAUCCCAUCCAUAACUACACUGUGAGGCGUGACCUUGCAGAGAAACUAGCACCCGCUCUUGCCCUGCUAAGCAAACUCGAAGGGUUACUUGAUUUCGUGUCCAUUUCGAAACAAGGGGGAGAGAAGGAGUCAAUGUCUUAACCACCUCCAUCCUCAAAGGAAACUCACACAACCGAACCUCCUCUAGUAGGCCAAGCCUCUGGUUCUGGUGUGAAAGAUAAAGGCAAGAACAUUGCUAAGGAAGAAGAUGAAGAUGAAGAAACUAUCGCUGAUCUUUUAAAGCGAAAACGUCGAAAUGAUGAUGCUGAUAUCAAUGCUCGUGUGGCUAGAGAAGCUGAAGAAGCAGAAAGAAAACAGAAGGAAGCCCACGACCUUCUUGAGAGUAGGAAAACUCUUUUUCCUGCCUGGAAUCUCGAGAGGAUGAUAAAAGAAGCCAUCGGCACUCCGAGUAUCUUGUGGCUGGAACCUGUAAUCUCACUUGAUUGUUCCAACACUGUCGACUCUCAAUUCGACAUGCCUCUGACCCGAAAGGCGUUCAUCUUUCACACCUUCGCCAACGUUUCAGACUUCCCUAAUCCUCAUCCACAGGUUGAUCGGGACUUGAUCAAUUUUUAUCUGAAGGCCGCUCAACCUCAAUCUCAGACUUGGAGCGCUCAGAAAAUUGUAAACGUUCGGGUCUUGAAGCCGUACAGUGAAGGGAACUUCAUCAACAUUCGGUUCAAGAUACUUCGGGGAUCUGCCAAAACCGAACAUGCCAUUUCUCUUGCAGAUCUUCCGAACCUCAAUCCCCAUGAUUGGAUAAUCUUGCACAACAUCCUACUCACUAACGAAGCUGAAUACGGUCUGAUCAUCGACCAUUUCAAAAGGAUGCUCGUGUGCUACAUCAUGGAAGUUGCGCUGAUGGAUUAGGAGAUAGCGAGCAUAUUCAAGAAGAAACCAACAAUAUAUCCUGUUGGGUCUGCCAGUGAUCUGAACAAAAUGCAGACGGGCAAAAUUGACUCGAGAAGGAUUUCGGUCAUGUUCACCAGGAACGAAGGACAGAAAUGUCUUUUUGCCUUGGCUGACAAACAUCUGUACACUACUGCUUGCUUAGAGCAUGUUUUGGGGAUGAUCCACAGAUGUAAGCAAAACUCACCGGAUGAUGUCAAGUACUUCGAUGACAUGAUACAUUGGUACAUUCGGUUCAGACAGACGAUUCUUGCACUAAUCUCUCGUCUGUUUGAUACCACAAAGAAAGUUCCCGCUGCUGGCCCAAGUAAGAAGAAGAAGUAGUCUCGCUCCAAUUCGACGCAAAGGGGGAGAUUGUUGGGUCAUGUUUUGUAUGGUGCAUCUAUUGGGCUCGUUUGUCUGUCCGUUUUUGUAUCUCCGGUAUGGGCCUGUCCAUCUGUGAGUAUAGUAGGGUUUAUUAUAAAUAUAGGUGCUUGCAUGCAUCUUAGGUUAACGAUAGUAACGAUAGAACAGAUUGAUCAGAGCAUUAUUCAGAAGUUUUAUUAUCGUUCUUGUAACCCUAAAUCCUCUACAGCGGAAGUUCUUAGUCGAGCUCUGCUGAGGAUUGUUUGAAUUAAUCAUUCGACACAUUGUGAUUCAAUCUUGUCUUGUUUAUUGUUUUAUGUUCUUCGCACUACCUGUUACAAAGAUCUAAUCGAUCUUCAAGUUUAUUUAAUAACUCAUCAUGCAUCAAUUUAGUUCGGCUCAUACACCUCAGCAAAAUGGUGUUGCUGAAAGGCGGAACAGAUUGCUAAAAGACGCUGCAAGAACAAUGUUGUGUGAUUCGAAGCUGCCAGUUUUCUUCUGGGCUGAGGCGAUAAACACUGCUUGUUAUGUUCAGAAUCGAGUGCUUAUCAACAAAGCUCAGAUGAAAACUCCGUAUGAAAUCUACUAUGGACACAAGUCAUCAGUCAGUCAUUUACGUGUAUUUGGUUGUCCUUGCACCCUCCUUCACUUAGAUGCCAACCCGAAGUUUAAUGCCAAGGCCGAUGACUGCUACUUUGUAGGGUAUGCUGCUCGCACUGCAUAUAGAGUCUACAAUAAGCAAACCAAACAGAUUGUGGAAUCGUAUGACGUGCGUUGGUUGGAAGAAAAUGAGACAGAUGCUAGAGUGGGUCCGGAUUGGUUGUUUGAUUACACAUCACUUUUCAAAUCCUUAAACGUGUAUUCAAGCGAUAUGUCUAGAACUGAUUCGCACUGGAAGAGUAUCUCUGAAGAUGAAGACGAAGAAGUUGUGUACAAGCCUGUAUCUAAAUCCUCUGCUUCAUCGAAAGGGAAAUCUAAAGCUUCACUUGAGGGAGAGUCCUCUGGCUCGAAAAAAGGAGGAUCUGCUGCUGCAUCUGAGAGGGAGCCUUCUACUGCAUCUGAGGGGGAUCCUUCUGCUGUAACUGAGGGGGAGUCUUCUGCAACAUCUUCGGGAGAGUCCUCUGCUACUCCUCAAGGGAGGCCAUUUUUGGAACAUGAUAGUCCUCAAUCAGUCCAUACUGAUUCUUCUGAUGCUGAAACGACACCUCACAUAUCUAUAGAGAAAGAGUUCGUUCCAAAUGAUGCUUUCGCUGUCUCUUCAACCUUUAUGGAAUUACUCUUUCUUGAUCUUAUUGCAGAUGAGUAUGUCGCAGAACCAUCUGGUGCUGCUCAACCAGCAAAUGAAGGAGGUAUCAACAUUCACACUCUUCCUGUCUCUCUCAAUGACAUCAGCCAAAAAAUACCUUCAAGGGUUCAACGCGAUCAUCCGAUCGAAAAUGUUAUUAGCCAGCUACAUGAUGGUGUUAAAACUAGAAGUCAGAGUGGAGACGUAAAUACAUGUCUGUACUGUUGUUUUAUUUCUCAAAUUGAGCCCAAGAAUGUAGAAAUGGCUCUAAACGAACCUAGUUAGGUGGAUGCAUUGCAUGAAGAAUUGCACCAAUUUCAUAAACUCGGUGUUUGGAAGUUAGUUGAGUUACCGAAGGGCAAGAUGUCUCUUGACACACGAUGGGUCUAUCGCAACAAGCAAGAUGAUUCAGGGGUUAUUGUGGCUCAAUUGGUAGUUCGUGGGUUUCAACAAGUCGAGGGUCUUGACUACACUGAAGUUUAUGCUCCAGUGGCUCGCCUGGAGGCUAUUCGUAUCUUCCUAGUGUAUGCUUCUUAUAUGAACAUUACUAUCUUUCAAAUGGAUGUCAAGACUGUCUUCUUGUAUGGCAAGGUGAAGGAAGAAAUCUACGUUGAUCAACCCCUAGGUUUUGUUGACUCAAAAUAUCCUAAUCAUGUCUACAAGCUGGACAAGGCUUUAUAUGGGCUGCAUCAGGCUCCUAGAGCAUGGUAUGCGACCUUAACAAAGCAUUUGCUCGAACAUGGUUACUCUCGUGGCACUAUCAAUCAAACCUUGUUCAUAAAGCACGUCGACAAGGAUCAAAUUCUCGUACAGAUAUACGUUGACGACAUCAUCUUUGGAUCAACUAGUCAACAACAUUUCAAGGAGUUCGAAGGUCUAAUGAAGAAACGAUUCGAAAUGAGUUCUUUGGGAGAAAUGACCAUGUUUUUGGGGCUUCAGGUUAAACAAAAUUCAACCGGAAUCCUGCUACAUCAAGCCAAGUAUGUGGAGGAUAUUCUUGAGAAGUUUGCGUUUCAUGAUGCUAAACUUGCGUCAGCACCGAUGCUGAACGACCUCUUCUGACUCCAAAUCCUGAAGGCGAGUCCGUAGAUCAAACUCUUUAUCGAUCAAUGAUCGGAUCACUGAUGUACCUUACUGCAAGGCGACCUGACAUUAUGUUCGCAGUUUGUCAAUGCGCAUGCUAUCAGGCUAAUCCUAAACUUUCUCAUCUUAUUGUUGUCAAAAGAAUUUUCCCGUAUAUCAAAGGAAGCCCUAAAUUGGGUCUUCGGUAUCCGAUAAAUUCUGAUUUUGAUCUUUAUGCUUUUACUGACAGUAAUUAUGGAGGUUGUGAGCUUGACAGGAAAUCUACCUCAUGAGGAUGUCAGUAUCUAGGUGACAGGCUAGUCUCGUGGCAAUGCAAGAAGCAACACACUGUCUCGACUUCCACAGCAGAGGCGGAAUACGUUGCUGCAUCAGCGUGCUGCUCUCAAGUUAUCUGUAUCCAACAUCAUCUGUUAGACUACGGUUUUAAUUACUUUGAAACCCCUAUCUAUUGUGAUAAUGAAGCAGCAAUUCAAAUUGCUAAAAACCCAGUCCAACACUCUAAAACCAAGCACAUCGAAAUUAAAAUUCACUUUAUCAGAGACUGUUAUGACGAUCGUUAAUCCGGCUAGAACAGAUCCACACUGACAAUAAUGUGGCAGAUUUGUUCACAAAGCCAUUUAACAAAGCUCGCUUCGAUGUGCUUGUGUGAUUUCUGAAAAUUAUACGUUUUGAGGAUUAAGUUUUUUUUCUUAAUUUAUUUUAUUUUCUAUUUCUUUCAUUUCGAUUUCUUGUUUUAGGAUGGUUUAAAUUUGCACAUUUUUUUAAUUUCUUUAUUAUUCGUGUUCUCAGCCAUGCACAAAUUUAGGGGGAGAAAUAUAAUAAUCCAAAAACAACAAAAAAUCAGAAAAUAAAAAUCCAAAAAUAGUGUCAUUUAUGUUCAGAAAAUUAAAAAAUUAGUGUUGACAGCUUCGGUGGUAGGUAUUGUGAUGGGAAAUGAAAUUAACAAGUGAUAAAGGGCAACCUGAAUCGGCGUAACGUACUUAAGUUGAAUCAUCCACGCUAUGUACUCGAUGUGCUGGUAGGCACGAAAGAUUUUAAAUAGACUUGACUAAGAAAGUUGAACCUAAUGAAUUUAAGGACUUGACAAACUUUGACCUAGUUAAAUCAGUUUAACCUAAUGUUACGAUGCUCGGAUAGGUUGAGCAGCGAGAUAUACAUGAGAAUCUACCUGUCACAUUAAUUGAACCCGUACAUGGAACCGUGGCUUAACUUUUCCUCAAUGUGCGGAUUCUGUCCUUAAUUCCGGUUGGAUGGGGCGACUGGUAAAUUCUGAUAAAUUAGGUCUGUAGAAUAUCAUUUUCUUUCUUUCCGUCUGUUAGCCAUAUGUUGUCUCCUUUGCGCGACUUCUAAUCCGACCUGGUACACAACAUAUGCAACUCUAUUUCUCUGCAGGAUAUAUAUAUAUAUAUGUGUGAAAUAUACUAGUGAAAUACUUCUCAUCUGUAAGCCAUAUGCUGUCUCUUUUGCGCGACUUCUAAUCCGACCUGGUACACAGCAUAUGCAACCUUCUUCUUCUCAACCCCUCUGAAGUAAUUAGCAAUAGAAUUCUGAAUCUAUUCUCUCUUUGAAUGGUUGUCUGCUCACCCGGUGUAAGGAGUACUCUGGAAGUUCUUGAUGGCUGGGGCAUAUCAGGAAGCGGGAAACACGUUCCAGUACACUUAAAAUUGAACUCAUACAGAUUGUCUGUAGAUCUCGCUGCUCGAUUUAGGUGGACAACAAUAUCCCUGGUUGUAGUCAGUUAAAUGGUCAUAAGGUGAAUUUAUUUAAGAUUUAGGAGUUAUCAUAAUUACAGAAAUUUACAAUUACAUAUAUGCCUGAAUCAUGUCAUUGGUAAAAUGUCCAAAACUGUCACAAAUCUUUCGUGUUUAAGUAGACCACAAUACUAUCAAUCGGUCAGACGAAGAUGUGAAGAUUAGGGUACCAAAAAGUGGAAUAAGGUCGUCCAACAACUUUGAUCCAAGCAUCACAAAAGUUAUAGUGGUUAAGUUUUGUUUUGUAAAACUAUUUUUAGUUGAAUUUUUUUUAAAUCUUAAUUUUAUUUUUUAUUUUUUAUUUUUUAUUUUUAAAAUGUUAUUUUUAAUUUAAUUUUUUUUACUGUGUUCAUUUUUAUUUCUUAAAAAAUUUCGUUUUACUUUUUCUAGCAAUUAAAUUGUGUUUUGUUAGUUUUAUCUUUAUUUUAUUUUUUAUUUUUGAAAUUAUUUAAAAAAAAAUAAUCCUCAAUGUUUUUUUUAAAAAAUUAAUUUUUUGUUGGAAUUCGAAAAUACUGGGUAGUUAUCAUGUAAGAGGGUAAGUGAGGGUGAAAAAGGGUAAAAAGGAAUUCACUGUCGGAAUCUCCUCAUUCACAAGAUUCCGGCCGCAAACACAUCUUAAACCCUCUCAAAAGCUCGAAAAAAAUUUCUUUGAUUUUUGGAAAACCGUUUACAUCAUCACAAAGGUAAUCACUUCUAGAUCACGAAUAUGUGUUUUGUUUCAAUUUUCACCGAGCCAUUUUGUCGGAAAUCGCGAAAAAGGAUUCAACGGAGCUUACGACCGUAAACUCCGUUUGGUUGAUGUUUGGAUUUGUUUUGAAUAUAUUUUGAUGCUACUAAUCCCUGCAUUUGCAGAUAUCUAUGCAUUAUACAUCAAUUCAUCGUUUAGAUAUGUUUUUCGUGGCUUUUUCAAUUAAGUGUUCGUCGGCCACAAACUCGGUGUUUACGGCCCAAUAACAAUUCAUCUAUUGCUCUGAUAACUGAUUAAGUAAUUGGGGUUUUUCGAUAUGAUAAGCUUGUAAAAAGGCUCUUAGGCCGUAAACAUUGAGUUUACGGCCCAAGAACUUAGUUUACUGCCGGAUUUUUUUAUUUUAUUUAAAAUUCGAGAUUUAUUGUUUAUUUCGGCCGUAACUCAUUUUUCAAUUAAAUUUCUUUAAUAAAAUUUUGGUUUGAUCAUACUUUUAAUUAAAAUAAUUUUUGGGUCAAAAUAAAAUUUUAUUGUAAAGUUUUUCUUACAGUUUGUGUUUAAGUGCAGAAAAUGGCGAAUUUGAAAUUUGUAGACAUGCACAACCUUGCAAUCGUGCUUGUAGACCCUCCAACAAUUCACUAUGAUAUGCGCUCGAUGAUUCAUCGGUUGUGGGAAUGUUGUUUAGCAUCCGCGAUCACAUUCAAUCCAGUGGUGUAUCAAAAUUUGAUUCGCGAGUUUUGGGCGACCGCUCAGUCGAACAUGGAUGAUGAUGGCAAUUUCACUGUGAAAGCCAAAGUUCAAGGAUAGGAGAUCGUGAUUGAUGAAGGUUUCAUUCACGAGGCGCUGCUUAUUGACGAUCAACCAAAUUUCCCAACUGAAAUUGGAAUUGAAGACGCUCAACGGAUUCUACGCAGAAUGAGCUACGAGGGAACUUUUCCGCCGACACUGAAGAAGUUGUCGCAUCCAUACUAGAGAUUCUCAGUGCAUGUUUUUGUUAGCUGCAUUUCGGGCAGAAGGUCUUGAGCCGAUGAGAUUUCACAGCACACAACUGGUGCAUUGGUAUCCCUUGCUGCUGGCAUAAGAUUCAACUUUUCGAAGUUCAUCUUGGAUGAAUUUGUCAUUAACAUUAGAGCCUCUACCCGAGAUACUUUUCUGCUGUCUCCUCGUUUUAUCCAAGCAUUCAUUAACAUUCAGUUUCCUAAUGUAAGGAAGGAGGGCGAGACUCUGGAUAUGAAAUCCUUGGGUCCCCACACGGUGGGACUCAUCAAACAAAAUCGUAAAGGCAAGGCUAUAUUUCAAGGACUGUAUCCCCUAGAGAAGUUUGGAAAGUUUACAGAGUUAGAUGAACCGACAGAGUCAUACGAUUCGUCUGAACAAACCUCGUCAGAGCAGGCAUCUGUAGAAAAAUCGACUCCGAACAACAUUGUUAUUGAUGUAUCGAGGAUGAAGAAACUGAAAGGGAUAACUCACCAACUCCUGACGCUCAAUUCGCCGCAGAACUUGAAAAGGAGUUGAACCAAGAUCAAGAUGAUGCGGAAAUGCAUGUCGGUGAAGAAAGAAAUGAUUCAUUUGGUGAUCUUGAUUUAACAGGUUUUGAUCGUGAUGAUAUUGCGGCUUCCUUAGCCAGCAGUGCAAAUGUUGUGUCACAAGAAAACCUUGAUACGAUUUUCAACAAUGUCGAUGACGUUGUUCUGCCAACAACCGAGACUAGGAAGUCAAGCGAAACGUUAGAAACUCAAACUCCAACAUCAAAACAAAUGGUGUCUGCUUCAAUUCACAUGGAGAUGGUUAUAGGAUGUUCCCCUCCGAUAUCCAAUUCUCCUAUAUCUGAACCAUUUAUGAGUGUAUUUACCCCAGAUUCUAACCAACCUCAGUCCAAGAGACAAAGAUUAGACGUGAGGCAAUCUGAGCUAAUUGCAAACUUGAUUAGCGGUCUUCCUACCCCUCCUGUCACUACUGCUACCACUAGACACACAACCACCAAGAUGUUUUCAACAGGUCCGAGCUCAGCAUUUGAUGUGGGUGGUCCCUCUACACCGCCUGGUUUCCCAGUUCCAUGGUAUAAUCGGGUUGUUGCUUCUGAAAGGUUGGUGUUGCACAUGGCUGAAGAACAACUUCUGUCGCCAGACCCUCGUGGAAAAGGUGUUUCCAUUAAAGAAGGUGGUGCUAGGGAUGACAAUCUCACUCUUUUUGGUUUGCAAAAGGAGAUUUCAGUUCUAGGCCAGAAGAAUAUUGAGUUAGAUAUUUAAGUAGCGGAACUUCGUGCUGAGAAUGUCAAUCUUAGUAUUCAAGUUUCUAAGUUGCAAUCAGAUAAAAAUCUUGGAGUACAAGUGGCCGAGCUCAAGAAGGAUAAAAAGCUGAAGUCUAAGCAGAUUUCCGACUUGCAAGAUCAUUUCAAUCUGCUAACAUCAAGUUAAUUUGAGCUGAAGAAGAAAAUUGAAGAAGACCUUGGAGACAAAUACCAAACGUCUGUUGAAGAACAAAGGAUUAAUCUUUACGUACAAGCUUUCCCGGUUGACCUACCAGUCAGUCAGUCUUCUGGUACUGCUGAUCGUGGUGUUGAUGAACCUCCUCUGGCUCCUCAUAUUGCAGAAAUCAUUUGUCGUGGUCAAGAAGAAGAAGAAGUGGAGAAAGGUUAGUUGUUGUUCAAGAGGAAUACUAAUCUGAAUGCUUCUCGAGGUGAACCGUUAAUUACAAUUACUGAUCUUGAAGUAGUUCGGUUCCGAGAUUCGUUUGGCGACAGAUCGGGAGUUGCUUCUUGGGGUUCCCAUGACCCCCUUAAGAUGUGGAUAGUCAUUCGCAAGAGCGGGAAUUUUGAGUUGUACAAGAAUAGUCAUGAUUUUAGCUCGUUCACGAGGAUUGAUUUGACAGAGCUGUCUCGAGCUCCCUUCAUCAAUUUAAUGAAUGAUCCACAAGUUACUCAAUUCAAGCACUUCCUCGAUGAUCAAGUGAAAAAGGGGUUUCCAUCUAUGCCGACAGCAGAAUCUAUUGUAUUUGAACACACAGAUGUUUUGGAACCGUCCACCGACAAGCCGUUACAGGUAGUAAUGUGGCCUGCAACAAAACAAGUCAAGCAGUUUCCGGUGCUUCAAGGCUAUUCAGAUGGGUCUCUUAGUCCAUUGAAGUGCUGGGUUUUUGAUGAAACUACUUCUGCUGUCGUCAUUAAGCUUAAGAAUAGGUGCAUCAGGUUGUAUGAUCGCAAAGACUUGUUGCAGUUCAGGAAAUGGGAUAUCCACUAUAUUAGUAACUUUCAGAUUAAGGUUGUUGAAGAUAUAUAUGAAGAAGGUGCUAAAGUCUAUACGACGAUGGUGGCUGAGAUUUUGAGCAAGCGUAUGUGGAAUGGGGCCAUGGGACAAAUGGACAUUAUGAUUGUUAACAAGGGGAUGGCCUCGAGCUUGUCUAAACCAAGGGGGAGAUUGAAAGGCCCUAUAAAAUGGUUUGGUCUAGGUAUAGUAGCUAGUGAUAGGGGUUGUGUAUGAAAAACAAUUUUGUAAUAGUUUGCGGUUGUACUUGAGUUUACGGCCGUAAACUGCUCACGGUCAUAAGGACUAUAAAUAGGGUGUUGUGUCAGAUGUUUAAGGUUGUUGAUGCCUUUCGUAUUUUCCAGUUCCACCAAGUUGUAUCCGACGUUUUAAGGCUAUAAAGCGUAUACAAGCUUGGUUUGUUCUUUCAUUGCUUAUUAUUUCGUAUUGUGUGGUUGCUAUUUGUUUUUGAUCAUUGGUAGAUCCGAUUUUUGGACUUUACAGUACUCCGAUCACUGUAUAAUGCAGUAGAGUUUUAGGCUUGAGUAGCCCUAGUAUGGAGUUUUUGGAGAGCCUGGCAGAGUUGUACAUGAGGGAGGUGGUAUCGCGGCACGGAGUACUGAUCUUGAUGGUCUCAGAUCGAGAUGUACGUUUCACUUCCAGAUUCUGGAAGAAAUUCCAUGAGGAGUUGGGCACGAGGUUGCAUUUUAAUACCGCCUACCACCCACAGACUGACGGGCAGAGCGAGCGGACGAUUCAGACGCUCAAGGACAUUCUUCGGGCAUGUGUAUUGGAUUUCGGAGGGAGUUGAGACACGUACUUACCUUUGGUUGAGUUUUCCUAUAACAACAGCCAUCAUUCGAGCAUUAGUAUGCCACCCUUUGAGUUGUUGUAUGGGAGGAGGUGUUGGACUCCAAUUUGCUGGGGAGAGGUAGGGCAACGUGUGAUGGGUAGUACAGAGAUGGUGCUUCAGAGGACCGAGCAGAUUCAGCAGGUCAAACAGAGGUUGCUGACGGCCCAGAGCCGUUGGAAGAGUUGUGCGGAUAGACGACUGUCAGACCUCGUGUGGUGUUAAAAGAUAUAUGGAAUUUGGAGUUGAGGCUUACGAAUGGGAUGUUUGAGGACAUUUCUGAGCGAGCAUGGUUAUGUUUUUUGUGUCUAAGGACAGAGUGUUGGGGAUUCUUUGUUCGGAGGGUUUCUGAUAGCAGUCUAGUAAAUGUGCCCCGGUGGAGUGUGAACCCUUUUAUUCGUGGGGUGUGAUUCAUAUGAUUUAGCAUGAUCGGCUUGGAGGAGAGAUAGCCGGUUGUUGGACGUGGUCUUAUGAGAAUCAGAGAGCCAGUGAGGAAACUGGGUUGAUAUUCAAGGAGCAAAAAUCAAGGUGAUCGCUCAAGUAGGCGGUUUGGCGGCGGAUCAGGCCACUAGAGUUUCCGGUUAUUGUGAAGGGGUAUUUUUAUUGGCGAAAGAGUUGGUUUAAACUCUGGUUUUGGAGGUUCUAUGUGGUUCGGAUGUCCAUAGAGAAAGAUAUCAGUGUGGUAUGAAGAUCUUUUUGGUAGUGCCUUUCGGAUUAAUGAUUAAAUCUAUGUGUGGUUAAGAAAUGAUUUUGAGGGUGAAAUCUAAUUCAAGAGGGGGAGAAUUGUAACAUCCGGAUUUUCAGGGUUAUUGUUGUGUAGUUUAAUCUUUUGAUUAAAGGAGAGACUUGACGAGCUGAGGAUCCAACUCGCCGAGUCGAGUCGGGUUUCUCACGCGGAUUUAAUGAAUGGAGGCAACGAGUCAGAGGAAGGACUCCCUGAGUAGGUGCUAGGCAGAGAAACCCUAAUUUCUCGGGUUUGGGACCUAUUUAAAGGUCCUUAUGGCCUUCAUUUGUGGCCACUACACCCUGAGAAAACAUAGAGAACAGAGAGGAAGCUUUUGGUACAAAAGGAGGGCUAAUUCGUCAUCCUUUGGAGUGUCUUAAUAAAAGGAAGGAAGGAUUUCGAGUUGGGUUGUCCUGUGGGACUCAAAUCUUCCAUCAUUUCGUUCAGAGCUGCUGUGAGAGGUAAGGAUUUAUGUCCAUCUUCGUUUGAUUUCAUGAAUCUAAGGUUUCUUCUGAUGGGUUUUAGCCAUAAGAACUUUCCUAUGUGCGCAUGCAAAACCCUAAUGCUUGGAUCUAGGCUUUCUAAUAAACAUGCUUUGAAUCCAAGUCUUCUAAUGACUAAUUAGGUUAAAUAACAACAUUGAAACAGAUCUAGAAUCAUACCUUUGAGUUCCUUGUUGAUCUUGAGGUCUUGGAGCUUCUAGAGUCACAAAUGUCACUCCUCUAAUGGCUUACAAACACCAAUAGCAAGAAGAAUGAUAUAGGAGAGAGGAGAGGGGAGGAAUUCGGCCAGGGUUCUCUUACUUUAUGAGAUGUGUCGAAUUCCCUAUGCCAUGGGGUCUAUUUAUACUUGUAGACUCCUUAAGGGUUACAACCUAAACCCUAAUUGGAUAAUCUUCUCUUAAGGCUAUCCAAAUCCAUUCCAUAGAUAAGCCUUUGGACGAUUUUGGCUAUCCUAACACUCUUAGAAUUCGUCCAAAGCAUAUCCCAAUGGAUUUACAGUCUAAAGCUUAACUAUCAAACAAUUGACAGUUUAUACCCCUUUAUUUAAUUAAUCUCUUUAAGUCACCAAAUUAAUUGUAAUUAAUUCUAUGACUUAUAUUAAUCAAAUAACAAAUAUAUUAUUCAUUAUAUUAUUCUCAUAAUAUAUUAAUAAUAUUUACUCUCUCUUAAUAAAUCAUCCUAUCAAGUUGCUAUGGUGAAGGCAACCCAAAAGGACCAUGCACAACCGGAUCAAAUACUUGCCUAAUAUAGUUACAGCCUUAGACACUAUUCCAACAGUCUCCCACUUGGAUAAGUCUAGUAACUAUACAAGUACAAUUCGGUUUGCAAUCGUAGCUCUCAAAGACGCUGUCAACUCUGAUCUAAUCAAUCUUGUCCUUUAGAUAAGGGAACGUACAGUCCUCUGUUAGAUAUCAUGCUGACAAUCCUAUGGAAUGGUUAGUCAAGCAUUUAGGUUUCUCGAUCUCUGAUUUAUUUGACAUAGAACUUAAUCGAACACAUCAAUUCAGUUCUGACCGGGCCCGGCACAUAAGUCAAAUCAAAUCAUCGAGCGGCCGAGAUAUCGCUUUUACCUUCUUAGAUAAAAGUUACAGAUAAACUUCGACUUAUAUGCAUUUACUUAUUCAUUAACCAACUAUACACAACAAUACGUUUUAUAACACCAAGUUACUGAUGCGUUUUCGUAUUAUCAAUGUACAAUCAAUUAACAAAUAAUAAACCAUAUAUCUAGGUUUUAAGACUAUAUGAUAUUAUCGUCUUGCGAUCACCUUUUAUAUCGUAUUCCAUAAGGUGAUUCCAGCAAGCGCGGGUUUAUUCCAAUGCUCAAAACUAGUUCAUAAGCACUCAUGAACGUUGCAGCAAUCCUUUGCUAUGUCUAACACCAUUUAGACAUUCUACACACCAAUUCAUGACAAUCUUCAUUCAUAUCUACUCCCAACAUAUGAACGAUUGUGGACCAUUUGAACAAUUCGAUUAUUCCUAAUAAACUCAAUUAUUCUGGAAGUCAAAACAUGCAAAGUGAAACAAUAGCUAAACAAUUAACAUAAGAUAGUAACAUUACUCAUAAAUAAAACUCCUUUAUUUAAUCAUCAAAUGUUAAUUACAUUUAUCUAUUACACGUUUCUAAUACUAUCUAAUCUAUGCUAAUAUCAUCCUUCAGCCCAAUACUCCUAGCAUGCUGCAAGUGCUUAACCCUACUCAGUCCCUUCGUAAGCGGAUCUGCUGGGUUAUCUUCUGAUGAUAUCCUCUUCACUACGAGUUGUCCUUCUUCUACACGAUGUCUAAUGAAGUGAUAUUUUCUGUCGAUAUGUCUUGAUCUACCAUGAUCCCUCGGUUCCUUGGUCAAGGCAACCGCUCCUUCGUUAUCACAGAAAAUCUCCAUGGGCUCCUUUAUGGCAGGUACAACUCCAAGAUCACCGAUGAAGUUCUUUAGCCAUAUUGCCUCCUUCGACGCUUCGCUCGCUGCAAUGUACUCUGAUUCGCACGUUGAAUCAGCUACGGUUUCCUGCUUGGAACUCUUCCAUGUCACUGCUCCUCCAUUUAGGGUAAAGACCCAGCCCGACUGCGAACGGUAGUUGUCCCUGUCGGUCUGAAAACUGGCGUCACUAUACCCUCGCACCUUCAAGUCAUCACUCCCUCCGAGGACUAAGAACCAUUCCUUUGUCCUCCGAAGGUACUUAAGGAUAUUCUUCACCGCAAUCCAAUGUGCUUUGCCAGGAUUCCCUUGAUAUCUGCUAACCAUGCUCAAAGCGAAGGCUACAUCAGGGCGAGUACAAGUCAUAGCGUACAUGAUUGAGCCAACUGCGGAAGCGUAUGGUACUCGGCUCAUUUCUGCUAUCUCAGCUUCGGUACUCGGACUUUGAGUCUUACUCAAUUUGGCAUUACUUUGUAUCGGUAGUUCUCCCUUCUUUGAGUUUUCCAUACUAAAACGUUUUAGUACCUUCUCUAAGUAAGUAUUCUGACUAAGUCCAAUUAGUCUCUUACUUCUUUCUCUUACUAUCCUUAUUCCCAAAAUGUAAGAAGCCUCUCCGAGGUCCUUCAUAGCGAAGCACUUCCCGAGCCAGGACUUAACCUCCUGCAGAGUCGGGAUGUCGUUUCCUAUGAGUAAUAUGUCAUCGACAUAUAGAACGAGGAAGCUUACUAUACUCCCACUGGCUUUGACAUAUACACAAGAUUCGUCUUCGCUUCGUACAAAUCCAAACUCUUUGACUUUCUCAUCGAAGCAAAGAUUCCAUCUGCGAGACGCUUGCUUAAGUCCAUAAAUGGACUUCUCAAGCUUACACACUCUAUUCGGAUGCUUCGGAUCCACAAACCCCUCUGGCUGAGCCAUGUAAACAUCCUCAGCCAACUUUCCGUUAAGGAAAGCGGUCUUGACAUCCAUUUGCCAAAUCUCAUAAUCAUGAAAUGCGGCAAUAGCUAGCAUCACUCUAAUAGAUUUAAUCUUCGCAACUGGUGAGAAGGUCUCAUCAUAGUCAACUCCGGGAGUUUGAGUAAAGCCCUUCGCAACCAAUCGCGCUUUAUAUGUGUGUACGUUUCCAUCCACGUCGGUCUUCUUCUUGAAGAUCCAUUUGCACCCAACGGUCUUACGUCCGGGCACAUAAUCAACCAAAUUCCAAACUUGGUUAUCAUACAUGGAUUGGAUCUCGCUAUCCAUUGCCUCUUUCCAUUUUGCAGACUCCGGGCCUGCCAUGGCUUCCUUAUAGCUAUUAGGUUCAUCAAGAUUUACUAGUGUACCAUCACUAAUAUACGUGUCCCCUUCGGUAGUAAUAUGAAAGCCAUAAAACUGGGGAUGAACUCUAACUCUAUCGGAACGUCUAAGAGGUAAGGAUUCGUCAAUCGGUUCAACCGGAGUUUCCUCCUCGGGUUGAGUGCCAGCGGUAGAGGUUCCUUCAUCUAUCGACUCUUGAAUCUCUUCAAGUUCGAUUUGCCUCCCACUGUCUCCUUGGCUUAUGAGUUCUCGCUCUCGGAAAACUCCUCUCCUCGCAACGAAGACAACAUUGUCCUUCGGUCUAUAGAAGAGAUAUCCAAAGGAUGUCUGCGGGUAGCCGAUGAAAAUACAUCGCUCACUUCGAGGUUCAAGCUUGUCGUGAGUAUCUCGUCUUACGAAAGCCUCGCAACCCCAAACCUUGAUAUGUGCCAACGAGGGAGCUUUCCCUGUCCACAUCUCGUGAGGUGUUUUGGCAACCUUCUUAGUAGGGACUCGGUUAAGGAUAUGGGCGGCAGUCUCUAAGGCAUACCCCCAAAAAGAGAUUGGUAGUGAAGCACGACUCAUCAUAGAGCGAACCAUAUCCAAUAAGGUUCGAUUACGCCUUUCUGCCACACCAUUCAACUGCGGUGUCCUAGGAGGCGUCAAUUGUGAAACUAUUCCACACUCCUUGAGAUAAUCGUGGAAUUCAAGACUUAGGUACUCUCCUCCUCGAUCGGAUCGAAGCAUCUUGAUUUUCCUGCCCAAUUGAUUCUCCACUUCAUUCUUGAACUCUUUGAACUUUUCAAAGGUGUCUGACUUUUGCUUGAUUAAGUAGAUAUACCCAUAUCUACUAUAGUCAUCGGUAAAAGUCACAUAGAAGCGGUUCCCAUCCUUCGUGGUUGAUCUAAACGGUCCACAUACAUCGGUAUGUAUUAGGUCCAAUAGACCCUCGCCCCUUUCACAUGUACUCGUGAAGGGUGACUUAGUCAUCUUUCCAAGCAAACAAGACUCGCAUGUGUCAUCUUCCCUAAGGUCGAAUGACUCCAACACUCCAUCCUUUUGGAGUUGGGCUAUGCGUUUCUUGUUGACAUGUCCAAGACGACAAUGCCACAAGGAUGCUUUAUCCAUACUAGUGGAAGAAUCAAUAUUCAAAACAUCAUUUCCUAAGUUAUCAACAAUCAUAACGGUUUCAUAUAUUCCAUUACAUGGUAUAGCUUCAAAGUAAAAGACACCAUUUAGAUAAGCCAAAAUAGAACCAUUCUCAUUAUUAAAAGAAAAUCUAAAUCCUUGUCUAUAUAAACCAUGAAAUGAAAUGAUGUUUCUUGCCAUUUCUGGCGAAUAGCAACAAUUGUUCAAAUCUAAAACUAAACUAUUCCUAAGCACUAAGGAAUACACUCCAAUCUUGGUCACAGGCGACGAUCUUCUGUUCCCCAUGAUUAGAUUGAUCCUUCCUUGCUCCACAUCCCUACUUCUUCUUAGUCCCUGCACAUUAGAACAAAUGUGAUAACCACAACCGGUAUCAAGAACCCAAGAAAUAGCAUGAUUAGAAUCGUUAGAUUUGAUUGUAUAUAUACCUGCGAAAGAUGGCUUGAUCUUUCCUUCUUUGAUUGCUUGCAGGUAAUCCGGGCAGCUUCUCUUCCAAUGUCCUAUCUUGUGGCAGUGGUGGCACUCUGCCUCCUUCGGGUUAGAGCAGGGCUUAGCGGGAUCAACUUUGGUCCCACUAGAAGAGGCACCAUCUCGGGCUUUCACCUUGCGAUAGUUCUUCGAUGAAGCUUUCCUCUUCUUUCCCUUCCCUUGUCCAAUAGCCAAGACAGGAGCAGCGGGCGGAUUGGGAGUAGGUGCAACAGACUUGUCUUUGAAGUUGCUCUCAGCAACCCUCAAGAGACCUUGGAGCUUGCUUAGGGUGACCUCUUCUUUGUUCAUGUGGUAGGUCAUCCUAAAUUGAUUGUACAUCGGAGGCAAAGAGUGAAGCACCAUGUCGAUCGCCAAAUCCUCACCGAAGUCAACAUUUAACUUGCGAAGGCGGUCGACAUACCUUUGCAUCUUUUGCAAGUGCACGGUAAGAGAUUCUCCAUGACCCAUCUUCGCGGAAAUCAUGUUAGUGAAAAUCUCGUACCUCUCUUGUCUCGCGUUUUGGUGGUACCUCUCCAAUAAGUCUUGGUGCAUCUCGUACGGGUACAUGUCCUCGUAGGACUUUUGGAAUUCGGAGUUCAUGGUGGCGAUCAUGAUGCAAUGUACCUUCGUUGCAUCUCGCUCAUGAGUUUCAAAGGCGGUGAUUUCGGCGGGAGUAGCAAUUUCGGGGUUGAUUUUCUCGAGCUUCUCAUCGAGGACAUACUCCUUAUCCUCAUAGCGAGCAAUGGUGCGAAUGUAUCUUAUCCAUUCGCUAAAGUUCGUUCCAUCGAAGGUGACCUUUUGGCAAAGGCUCAUCAACGUGAAAGAACUAGCAGCAGCGUUGUUUGCGUUCGACAUCUACAAUUAGAAAAGGACAAAGAUAGAUUAGAAUAAGAAUCCCUAAUUAUCACCCAAUAAGAAAAUUAGGGCUAGGAUCCAACAAUAACAUUUACAUACUAGAAAAGGGAUGCCGUAAUCUAACAUGCAAAUAAAUUGAAGGUAAGUGAAUGACGAUUCACUAAUUCUCCAUCACAAAACUUAAACUAUUAGUCCUAAGUGUUUUUGAGAAUUCCUAGGUUCGGAUGAGAUUCAUUGAAACUAUUCAAUGGCAUGUUUAAAUCUCGAUAUGCCCCUCUUGUUUGUGACUGGGAUGCCGAGGAUCACAAAGCGGGUGUGAAUUACCAUGCAAAUUCACAUGGUGCCUUCAUUGUAACGAUCACCUAUUCGAUGUGCCGGUAAACCACACACGCUCCAUCGAACUAUGAUAAACAAUGAAUCACCCUUUGCCACCUUCGCUUAGAACCAAUUAGUGUGCCGGUAAACCACACACGCUCCACUAACAUCUUAGCAAGGUGCAAAGUGUAAUUUCAUGGGAUUGCAUCAAUUCACUUUUCCUAAAGUAACUAGGAUUGGGAAAUUUUAAAAAUAUGUGUAGUUACUUUAUAUUUCUUAUUAUACUUUUAAUGAGAGGAUGAGGUUGCCCUAUCCUACCCGUUCGGCUAACGACCCUCCACCAAUCAAGCAAGCGGUGGGUGUGAGUGUACACCCAUUAAGCGCCAUUUUAUAGGCCGCAACCUUAUACCCACCUUAUAGAUCGGCUUCGUGAAUGAGGCCUACUAACGGUAAGACUAGCAUUUAGUUAUACAUAUAUAUAUUAUUCUAGUAAUAUCAUAUUAGUAUAGGGUUGUAUUUUAAAACUUUUAAAAUCUAGGGUUUGAAAUUUAAGUUGUCUAAAUUAAAACUUUUAAUCACAAAUAUAAAUUUCAAAACUUGAGGGUAGGUUUUAAACAUUUAAAACAUGGAGGAUCAAAUAACAAAUAAUUCCAAUUAACAAUUAAUAUCCUAAUUAUCUAUAUUUGAUUUUAUUCAAGAUAAUUACCAAAAUAAUUAAAAUAAUUAAUUAAUUAUCAUAUAAGGAAAUUAAAUAUUUUAUUAGUUGAUAAAUACCUUUAACUAGAUCAAGAUAAUAGUCAUAUAUAUCAAAAAAUCGGAUUUAGAUUGAUCUAUUAUGAUUAAGGUAAGUUUCCAUAAGAUAAUUAUGAAGAAAUCCCGAAUCUGGCCAUUCCUGACGCCUGGACUCGCCGAGUGCACAAGGGGACUCGCCGAGUCAGGCCUACUCGCCGAGUCCACCUUGGGACUCGCCGAGUCAGUGACUCAGAAACCUAAAAAUCGAAUUUUGCAGGUUUGUUUCAGUUAAUCAAGCAACAAUUUAAAGAAAACCAAGCUAGGCUCUGAUACCACUGAUGGGUUUUAGCCAUAAGAACUUUCCUAUGUGCGCAUGCAAAACCCUAAUGCUUGGAUCUAGGCUUUCUAAUAAACAUGCUUUGAAUCCAAGUCUUCUAAUGACUAAUUAGGUUAAAUAACAACAUUGAAACAGAUCUAGAAUCAUACCUUUGAGUUCCUUGUUGAUCUUGAGGUCUUGGAGCUUCUAGAGUCACAAAUGUCACUCCUCUAAUGGCUUACAAACACCAAUAGCAAGAAGAAUGAUUUAGGAGAGAGGAGAGGGGAGGAAUUCGGCCAGGGUUCUCUUACUUUAUGAGAUGUGUCGAAUUCCCUAUGCCAUGGGGUCUAUUUAUACUUGUAGACUCCUUAAGGGUUACAACCUAAACCCUAAUUGGAUAAUCUUCUCUUAAGGCUAUCCAAAUCCAUUCCAUAGAUAAGCCUUUGGACGAUUUUGGCUAUCCUAACACUCUUAGAAUUCGUCCAAAGCAUAUCCCAAUGGAUUUACAGUCUAAAGCUUAACUAUCAAACAAUUGACAGUUUAUACCCCUUUAUUUAAUUAAUCUCUUUAAGUCACCAAAUUAAUUCUAAUUAAUUCUCUGACUUAUAUUAAUCAAAUAACAAAUAUAUUAUUCAUUAUAUUAUUCUCAUAAUAUAUUAAUAAUAUUUACUCUCUCUUAAUAAAUCAUCCUAUCAAGUUGCUAUGGUGAACGCAACCCAAAAGGACCAUGCACAACUGGGUUAAAUACUUGUCUAAUAUAGUUGCAGCCUUAGACACUAUUCCAACAUCUUCAUGCUUUAUUUAGCUUGAAUCUACAGUAUGAGAGGUCCCAUUGUGAAAUGAUUCCUAGAUCUGGACCUUAAGAUGUCUAGAGAGUCCCUUCCAUUCUGCUUUAUUCCUUUUCCUUCGAGUUAUGAGUUAGGGUUGUCAUGAUAUGAAGGAUUUCACCAAAAUAAGCAUAGAGAGCCUUGCAUGUGUACCAAGAUUCGGCCUUUUCAUGGUUAUUGGUCAUAGGGAAGUCAGAUCUAUGGAUUAGAGGAACGGAUCUGACCUUAGAAGGCCAGAUGAGUGUUGUCAUGGGAGCACCUCGCCGAGUUCAUGAGAGGACUCGACGAGUCGAGUCGAGGUUGCCCCAUGAUUCAUACCAGGCGUAACUCGUUGAGAAAGGAGUUGGCUCGACGUGUCAAGCGAGGCUAAAAGGAGGAUUCUGUGGACACAUGUAGACUCGCCGAGUUGCCCAUGUGCACUCGACGAGUCGGGUCAAAGUUUGACUGUUGACUUUCGUUGACCUUAGGGUAUUGGUCAAGACUGACUUAAGAGAGUUCAGGGAAGGGUAGAAUGGUCUUCUACCCAAUCUUUAGAGAUGAGACAACGAGAGAGUGUUGAUCGGGGAUGUUAUUUGAAUAAUAGGAGCAGGCUAGGUCGGGACGUUGAGCAUGAGAGUUCAUCCGAUUUCGUUUGAGGUGAGUCUUCUCACUAUACUUUACCUAGAGUGGUAACAGAGUUGUGUGACAGAGUUGUUGUAUGCUAUCUAUGCGAUGUGUGGCACUGCAUUAUUUUUAUGUGAUUUAUGAUAUGUGUAUAUCAGAGUUAGGACCGAAAGGUCCAUAGAGUUAGGACCAAAGGUUCCACAGAGUUAGGUUUAGAGUUAUGUGCCAGUGUAUUUGUAUGCUAUUUAUUUUAUGAGAUUUAUUGUGAUAUGUGAUAUGCAUGAUUCAGAGUUAUCAGAGUUAGGACCUUUGGGUCCAUAGAGUUAGGGACAGAGGGUCUACAGAGAGUUGGGACUGGAGGGUCCCACUGAGACACACUGACUAGAGGAUCAACAGAGUUAUAGCCUUGAGUGGCUAAUAUGUGUUAGAGUGGUAUUUUGGGGAACUCACUAAGCUUCGUGCUUACAUUGUUUUGUGUUAUAUGUUUAAGGUUUUCUCCGGAUCACGUGACGGCACCGGCUCGAUUGUACACACCAGAAGAAGCGUUGGUUUUGAGGAUCCUGGUCUAUUAAUUGAUUGAACAAAAGAGUCAUGUAUUGUAAUUUAAACAAAAAGGGAGAUUUUUAUGAAAAAUGUUAAAGAGAUAGCCGAUUUUAAACAAAAAAUUUGUUUUAAAAAUUUCGGUGUUACAUCGUCGAGUCGCUCUAGUGACUCGGCGAGUCGAGAGGGUUUUCUCCUUCACGGUCAAGGGUUCACAGUCAAAGGUUCACGGCCAAGGGUUCACGGUCAAGGGUGUUCGGUUGGAAGUUUACGGCCAUGACCAUCAAAGAACUCGACGAGUCUCUCGGGUGACUCGGCGAGUUCAUGAGUUAAGUAGGGAACCCGACGAGUGGCUGAUUGUACUCGACGAGUCAAUGUCAAUAUGGACUAUUGACCUUGACUACAAACCUUGACUUUGACCAGGGUUGAUCCUGGGGGUUUUUAUGGGAUUAUGUUGAGUUAUUUACUCAUUUAUUAUAGGUAGAGGAGCAGUGUGGGAUUUAUCUGACUUGAGUUUGCCCGUUCAGCCUUUGAGAGGUGAGUUUUCUCACCAUACCAAUGGGUCUAAGGUACCAAGGCCAGUCCAUUUCACAAUAGUUGGUUUACUUGCUAUGUAGAGGUGUGAUAUGUAUGUAUGCAUGAUAUGUGGUAGAGAUAGCCUUUGUGGCUAAUGGUAGACAUAGCGUUAUGGCUAAUGGUAGAGACAACCUGUUGGGUUUUCAGCAUUCCAACACACCCAAGUGUACAUGCAACCCUAAAUACCUUGGAUCUAUGUUUUCUCUACUAUACAUGCAAAUAAGAACUUCCAAGGUAUUAUCCUAAUCUAGCAUACAAAACAAUGAAUGUAACAAGAUAGAAUACAUACCUCUUUGGUGUAGAAAGUCUUCAUGAAGCUUGAGUGCCUAGUGCCCCAAGUGUGACACCUCAAAUGGUUCACACAACACCAAAUACUCUUGGAAUGACUUGAGAGAAAACUACACUCAUGAAAAUUGGCUAGCCCUUUUACUUCACACACUAGUGGCCAAUUUUGGUCAAGAAUAAGAUGCUUAUAUAGUUAGGGUUACACCAUGUAAACCCUAAUUGGCAUGGCCUUUCAUUUCCAUGAUUCAUGGGCACAAAUACACCAUGGAGCAUCCAUGGACCAUCCUAUGGGUUUUAGCCCAACUUGAUUAUCCAUGGAGCAUUAGCCCACUAUACAAGUAUGGAUGAUUUACACAAUCAACCCAUAUAUUUAAUUAGUCUUCUUUUGAUCACUUAAUUAAUCCUAGAUUAAUUCUUGAUCAAUACUAAUUAAAUAAUCUUAUUAUUCUUAUUAUUAAUAUACUAGAACUUAUAAUAUAUUAAUAACCAUAAGUGUCUUAUUUCUCUCAUUAAAGUCCAUGAUGGUAUGCAACCCAAAUGGACCAUGCCGGGUCGGGUCAAGUCUUACCAAAUAUAGUUAUGGACUUAGACAUUAAUCCAACAGUCUCCCACUUGGAUAAGUCUAAAACUAUUAUUGCGUAUGACUUCAGGAACCAACUGGCAAUCGUAGCUCUCAAAAGCUUCUGUCGAACUCUGACCUUGUAGAUGAACUCUGACCUUUGUCAGUGACUUGUCCAUUAGAUAAGGGAUCAUAUAUUCCUCCAUUCUAGAUAUCAUAUGGACUGAGACAUGGAUUAUAAUCAUUCUCUCUGUCCAUUUGUUGUUUCCCGAUUUCCGAUUUAUGACGACUGACUAAUUGAACAAAUCAAAUCAGUCCUGGCCCGGCCGAGCACUUCCAUUUGUCAUCAUCAAAUCAUCGAGGGGCCCACAGAUAUCGCUUUUAUCCCGAAGGUAAAAGGAACGGAUAAACUUCGACUCAUAUGGCUUGUUCUACUACUUGUUGAAUCAUACACAAAGGCACGUUUUAUAGCACCGAGUUACCAAAUGCGUUUUCGUGCAAUCAAUGUACUAUCAACUCAUAGUAACAACUCAUAUCUCUAGGUUUGAAGAAUAUAAGAUAUUAUCGUCUCAUGAUCACUCGUGAUAAAAUCCAUGAAGUGAUUCCAAUGAGCGCGGGUUGAAUCCAAUACUCAGAACUUAUGAGCACUCAUGAGUGUUGUAGCCCUUUGUCCAACACCUUAGACCUCUACAAGCCAACCCAUGACAGUCUUAAUUCAUAUCUACUUCCAACAUAUGACCGACUGUGGAUGGUUUGAAUAACUUAGUCAUUCCGGAAGAAUAACCUAGUUUAUUCGGGAAGUCAAAACAUGCAAAGUGAAACACAAUAAUAAUUGAAUCCAAUAUGGUAUCAACCCUUUGAACAUAAAUAAAACACCUUUUAUUUAUCACCAUAUGAUUACACAUUAUUCAUUGUAUACUGUUUCAGCUAUCAACUUUAUUCUUGAAUUUAAAACAAUAGUUGUCCCAUGCUCCAAGCAUGUACACUAUGUUUUCUUAAACACUAGUCAUGCCACACACCAAGUAUGCAUACUAUGUUUGUCUAUGAUCUUUACUUUGUGAACUAGAUCAAUUGAACAUAACUUCAAUGAUUCUCUUUUCACACUCCCAAAUCCUUACUGCAAAUGCAAGAAUUCCAAAUUCAUGCCAUUUACUGAAAUCUGUUAGAUUCUAAACUUAUAUGCAUUGAUCCUCUUGUAAUGAUUAUGCACAAAGUCAGAAAGACUUGACAACAAUCAUUACAGAGUAUUCCAAAGGAGAUCAGCUCCUUGGAAACAUCCUUCUUGCAUUAAGUUUCCUAAUCUUAAACAGAUUGAAAAUUCUAACUUUGAAACAUUUCCAGAUUCCAUUUUGACUAUCACUUCUGAACAAGAGUUGCCUCCUUACAGAUUAUGUCAAUAUGGUCCUUCCAGAAUUAUCACUAUACUUCCAACUGUCCUUGAGCAACCAAUCUUUGGUAAACCUUAGAUUGUCCUCGACAAUUGUUUAAUCCUUUUAGUCAUAUCCAGUUCUAAACCUUUUCCCUUCUUAAUGCCCCAGGCAUUUGGAAAAUUUUAGAACGGAUGAAUAUAGCACAUGUAAUCGAUCCUAUAUCCGAAGCAUAUGGGACACGAUUCAUGAUGUCUUACAUAAAGACUAAACCAGUCUUUUGCUAUAAUAUUUCCAUUUCAAUUUGCCAAGUUCUCAUAAUUCAGAUUAUGAAAAGGGAUGCCGUAAUCAUAAUCGAAUUUUAGAACGCAAAUAAUGGACCCAUAUACAGAAUUUCCUUAUGUUGAGCCAUUCCAACAUGAAAUUCAUAUAUAUCCUUGACUAAAUGAUUAAAACCUCACGAUCUAAGCUUAUAGAUUUGAGAUGAAGCAUAAUUUCCUCUCCCUUAAUUAUAGCAAAACAACUUUUUCCCAAUUGAAACUUUUGUUUUCUAUAAUUAACAUUGCUAACUUGCAAUACUUAUCAUAAUUAUCAUGCUCCCACUAACAUGAUGAUUAUUAGCAUAACACUUAUGCUCCCACUAGCUUUGACAUGUACUCAGAAAUCAGCUGGACUUCUAGAAAUCAAUACUUCAUUGACUUUCUUACCAAAGUUCAGAUUUCUGAUGCUAGAUUGUUUUGAUAAAGCUUUAUCAAAAUCAUACACCUUCCCUUAGAUAGCACACUUGUGUAUCUAAACAAUUAUGAAGAGGGAUGCCGUAAUCAUAAUGUUUAGACCUUUUUGCCACUUCUCACAAGUCCAAAUUAGUGUGCCGGUUAACCACACGCGCUCCACUAACGACUUUGAGAAUGCAAAUAUCACAAUUGCUAUCUAGCUAAAAUCUACUUAGUGAAAGUGUUUCCUCACCAUCAUUUUCAUGAAUCGGAGAGAAACCUUAUGACACUUAGAUUUAAUGGUGUAUGUGUUCUUAUCCAUGUGAAUUGUCAAAACCAUAGUCACAAGACAAGGAUAAUGACAAAUCCAAACUCAUAUGGACUGAACUCAAUCUUAAUUUCUUGCCACCUGGCAGCUCAAGGGCCUACCAUUGCUUCCAAGUUGUUGUGCAACAAAUUGAGAACUCUAAGAACUCAUAUGCAAAGCCAACUUUAACUGGAAUGGGCACAGAAUAUGUCAACACGAUAGGUUAUGAACCUCAAGUUGUGUGCUAGUGAAGAACUUUAGGUUUUAUUCUUGAUUAGUUCUUGAGACUUUCAAGACCUUUAAGACUCCCACUGUCCUCUUGACAUAUAAGACUCCCUUGUCAAACAUCCAAGAGAUAGUGCGGAUUCUAAUCAAGAAAAACACUUUACCCAAUUGGCCUAAGUUGGUCUUUGUUUUAUCCAAAACAUCACAACUUACCAAUUUCAAAUGUACAAGAGUAGAAAACUUUUACUCUUACAUUUGACAAGUGUUUUAAACCUUCUUUAAGACAUGUCACUCAAAUGACAAUCUUGGAGUAUGACUCUAAGACUUGUAUUGGAACGAAGUAUGACUCAUCUUCUUGAUUUAACCAUUUCAACAAUUCAAGUUCCUCUUCUUAGUCAUAAGAAUGCACUAAGAUUUCCUUAGAGAACUAAUUUUGAUAUGGUUUCUUAAUCAUUAAGAUGAUCACAAAACUGAUACUAAAGUACUCUCCCAUCUUUUCAGAUUUGAGAAACUUUUAUCCUUCUGCCUUAUUUGAUUCUUCUUAUUCGCCCUGCCAUACAUUGGAACCUUUUCCAAUGUCUCAGAGUUACACUUAAGCUUGUAAGUAUAAUCAUAUUUACUGAGCUUUAGUAAACUAUGACGAAUAGUCUUAUCAAUCUUUUGUGGUGGACUUAAUCAGUGCACAAGAAUGUGUACUCGAUCCCUUAGUCCUUUACUUGACUCACACAUCCAUGUGGCCGAGUAAUUAGUCUUAAUUUUCCAAAACUUGAAAGUUCUCAUUCAUCAUGCUAUACAACUUGCAUGAUUCCAAGUUCCGGUCCAAUUGAAACUUGGGUGAUGAGAAUCUUUCCUUAUUUGGUAAAUCUAGACAUUACCACAAAUGAAAGAAUCAAUUUCAUAUUUCCACUCUUGCUCUUAAUGGAAUCAUAUAAGCAACAAUUUUUCCUCAAAAGCCAUUGUAAGGAUAUUUUAAAAUAAAUAAAAUCAAAAAAAUUUUCUUUUAUUUUAAAACUUUGCGGAAAAACUUAUCCUUACAAUCCAUAUGAAAACUUGUUGUUAUCUAUUCCUAAGCAAUAUCUCAUAACUCCUAAGAAGUUGCUCAAGAAUCCGAUCUUCAAACUAUGCGAUAGAAAUCCAUCUACGCCAUCAGAUUCAGCAUAUUCUUUCUUUAAGUUUCUUCACUUUUCUUUGAUUCUUAAAACAUCACCAUGUGACCCAGUCACAUCAUGUAUCAGGAAUCUCAGAAUAGAAACUUAACAGAGUUAGAUAGUGGUCUUUACCUGAAGUAGAGUCAAACUUAUUGACUUUAACAUCCUUAGGUAAAUUUGGCAGCUUCGCAACCAAUGCCCCUUCCCUUGGCAAUAUAAACAUAUGGACCCUUUGAUAAUGGUACACGAGACUAUCACAGACUUAGCUUUUCUCUUUACCAUUUGGUCAACCGAGUUGACUAUGGCCGAUCCCUUUCCAUUGGGAAGAGAAUGCUUUACUGGAUAUCCAAUGUCAUCAUUGUCAAUGUCCAUAAAGUUUUAGGAAGUUGAUCUUAGCAAAUAGAUAAGAUCAUUAAGGGUCUUGUCAUAGUCUGUUUCAUAGGUGUCCCAAAGGAACUCACUAUGUGACUUAGAAAGUGAUUGAACCACCAACUUUCUCAAGACUUUGACACCCAACUCUCCCGGCUUGUCAAUAUGUGACUACAUCUCCAAGAUGUGAUCACACCUAGACCUUGCCUUGCCAAUAGGGCUUGAGUGACCUUAAACUUUUCAAGAACUUGUGGGUUAGGGAGAAUAAUUGGAGGAGGUGAAAGAAGUAUGAUUUCCAAAGGACAUCAUCUUCAUUUAGGAAACCUUGUUUCACUAGAUUUGGGAAGAUCAUAGGUGUCUAUUACAGACAUCUUUUGGGAGAUAUUCAAGAUAGUUGAUUUAAAGUCCUUAAUAUGACACCCAAUAUGAAAUAUUAAGGCUAGGACCCAACAAACUAUUUUAUAACUUAGAAGAGGUAUGCCGUAAUCCAAGCUAUAAAAUAUUUGAAGGUAGGUGAAUGACGAUUCACCAAUUUCCACCAAGAUAAACGAAAUGUAUUAUUAGGUUUUAAUUGGUUUUGAAACUCCUAGAUCUUUGAGAUUCAUUGAACUUUUCAAAGGCAUGUUUCAAUCUCGAGUGUGCCCUUCAGGUUUUGUGACUGGGAUGCCGAGGAUCACAAAACAAGGUGUGAAGUAACCAUGCAAAUCACUUGGUACCCUUAAUAAAUUACCCCUCAAUCGAUGUGCCGGUUAACCACACACGCUCCAUCGAUACUAUGAUAAAUAUUAAGUCACCCUUUACCUACCUUGUUAAGUCCAAGUUAGUGUGCCGGUUAACCACACACGCUCCACUAACGACUUAGACAAAGUGUAAAGUGUAAUUUCAUGGAUUAGCACCUUAUUCACAUUUUUCCUAAGUAACUAAGAUUGGGUAUUAUUAAGAGUUUAGUUACUUAGUAUUAUCAUUAAUACUUUUAAUGAAGGGAGAAUUCUAGUCCUGUCAAACCCGUUCGGCUAACGACCCUCCACCAGUCAAGCAAGCGGUGGGUGAGAGUGGACACCCAUUAAGUUGCCAUUUUAUAGGCAACAACCUUAUACCCACCUUAUAGACCGGCUUCGUGAAUGAGGCGUACUAGCGGUAAGACUGACUUUACUCUUAUACAUAUAUAUAUUAUUAACUUAUAAUAUUAUAAAGUAUAAGGGUUGAAUUUUAACUUUUAAAAUUCUAAGGGCUAACUUGGAAUUAAAGUAUUCAUAAGUGAAAACUUUACAAAUUCCAAAACUUGAGGGCAAGUUUUGAAACUAUUCAAAACUAAUUAAUUCCAUAACUUAUGUGUUUAAAGUAGUUUUAAUCCAAAAACUCUUCAAGUUCCAUAACUUGAGGACAAGUUAUGGAAGACUUUAAACUAAUAAAAGAAUUAACUUUUCUUUAUUUUAUAACUUAUGGAAUUAAUUAAGGUUACACUUUUUUUUUUUUUAUUUUAUUUUAUUAAAUGAAGAGACUCUUGGUCCUCCAUAACUUGAGGACAAGUUAUGGAGUCAUAAAACCAUUUAAUUAGAACUAGACUCUUCAUUUUUGUAACCUUUGCCAAUUUUUAUGAGUUUUAUGAUUCUUAAAUGUGACUUUUCAUAUAACUUGAGGACAAGUUACAAAAACACAUUUUAGAAUCAAUUCUUAGAUUAAUUUGGAUUAAAACCAACUAUCACAUAAUUUUAUUCAUUAAUCUAAAUUCACUCAUAAAACAAGGUAACACAAAAAACUUUUGGUGAUCCAUAACUUAUUCUUAAGUUAUGGAAUCCUUUAAAACAUUAACACCAAAUUUUGUAACUCCAAAAAAACUUUGAAUCAAUUUUUUUUUUAAAACCUUUUCAUAUCCAUAACUUAUGGAGGUUUCAAAAAAUAAAACUCUUUAGAUCAAACUUUUAAAACUAAUAAAAUAAUCAUAUUAUUUUAUCUUUUAUUAAAUUUGACCUAAUUCAACUCAUAAAGCAAAUUAUUCAAAUUUUACAAAUAAUUAGUUUUUCACAAGAACAAGUAAUUAUCUUAAAAUUUGACAAACUUCAUGUUUUUUUUUUUUUUUUUUUUCAACUUUGAAAAUAAAAUAUUUGCAUCAAUAUAACAGAAAACAACCCGUGGCUCUGAUACCACUGUUGGGUUUUGAGCAUUCUAACACUUCCUAAGUGUACAUGCAACCCUAAAUACCUUGGAUCUAUGUUUUCUCUAUUAUACAUGCAAAUAAGAACUUCCAAGGUAUUAUCCUAAUCUAGCAUACAAAACAAUAACUAUAGCAAGAUAGAAUACAUACCUCUUUGGUGUAGAAAGUCUUCAUGAAGCUUGAGUGCCUAGUGCCCCAAGUGUGACACCUCAAAUGGUUCACACAACACCAAAUACUCUUGGAAUGACUUGAGAGAAAACUACACUCAUGAAAAUUGGCUAGCCCUUUUACUUCACACACUAGUGGCCAAUUUUGGUCAAGAAUAAGAUGCUUAUAUAGUUAGGGUUACACCAUGUAAACCCUAAUUGGCAUGGCCUUUCAUUUCCAUGAUUCAUGGGCACAAAUACACCAUGGAGCAUCCAUGGACCAUCCUAUGGGUUUUAGCCCAACUUGAUUAUCCAUGGAGCAUUAGCCCACUAUACAAGUAUGGAUGAUUUACACAAUCAACCCAUAUAUUUAAUUAGUCUUCUUUUGAUCACUUAAUUAAUCCUAGAUUAAUUCUUGAUCAAUACUAAUUAAAUAAUCUUAUUAUUCUUAUUAUUAAUAUAUACUAGAACUUAUAAUAUAUUAAUAACCAUAAGUGUCUUAUUUCUCUCAUUAAAGUCUAUCCAAGUGCAUGAUGCCAUGCAACCCAAAUGGACCAUGCUGGGUCGGUUCAAGUCUUACCAAUUAUAGUUAUGGACUUAGACAUUAAUCCAACACAACCUUUAUGGAUGAUGGUAAAGAUAGCCUUAUGGCUAACGGUAGAGAUAGCCCUUCUGGCUAACGGUAGACAUAGCUUCAUAGCUAACUAAUGUGUGAUAUAUGGUAGAGGUAGUUGUUAUAGAUAAUCGAUAUGUGUUAUGUGGUAGAGAUAGCUUUUAUAGCUAAUAUGGCAUGUCGAUGUUGUGUGGGGUAUGCUUUGGGUGACUCACUAAGCUUUCAGCUUACCGUUUCGGAUUUGUUUCAGGUACAUCGAAGCCCAAGGGAAAAGGAAAGGCUUGAUGAUGUGGUGUGCACUCUAUCUCUCUAUUCCGAUAUGAUUUGGGGACACUCUGAUGUUUUUAAAAUAAUGUGUAAUGAUGGUGGAUUUGAAAACAAUUAUUUACAUCUUCAUGUUUUACAAAUUAUGAUUGACUAAUUAAAAACGAAAAAUUUCUUUGAAAAAUUAGGGUUGUUACAUCAUCUGAUCUCGUGCAUCAAGGCACAAAAGUGCCUGCAUAAGAGAAACUAUGCCUUCCUCGCCCACAUUGUGGAUAAAGCAAAUCAGGAAAUAAACUUUAACGACGUCCCAACGGCAUGCGACUUUCCAGACGUGUUUCCUGAGGAUCUUCCAGGAAUACCCCUAGAAAGACAGGUCGGAUUUCAAAUCGACCUAAUAGCAGGAGCCACAUCAAUUGUCAAAAUCACCGUACAUGUUAGCUCCUGCCGAAAUACAGGAGUUAUCCAUUCAAUUAAGCAAACUUCUAAACAAAGGAUUCAUCAGGCCGAGCUUCUCGCAUUGGUGAGCUCUGGUCUUGAUUGUCAAGAAGAAGGACGGAUCCUUCAGAAUGUGCAUCGACUAUCGGGAGUUUAACAAACUCACUGUCAAAAAUUGAUAUCCCCUCCCUCGUAUUGAUGAUCUAUUUGACCAACUUCAAGGAGCUAGUUAUUUCUCCAAAAUAGAUCUAUGAUCCGGUUAUCAUCAACUUUGAGUCCGGGAAUAGGAUAUUCCGAAAACUGCUUUCCGAACUCGAUACGGCCAUUACAAAUUCGUUCUUAUGCCCUUCGGUCUGAAAAAUGCCCCCGCAACAUUUAUGGACCUCAUUCCUUGAUAAUGUUGUAAUUGUCUUCAUUGAUGAUAUACUCAUAUACUCUUGAAGCAUGGAGGAGCAUGGUCAGCACCUCUGUCAAAUCUCGGAAACCCUAAGUUUUGAAAAGCUAUAUGCAAAACUCUCCAAAUGCGAGUUUGAGAUUCGUAGUGUCAACUUCUUGUGUCAUGUAGUCAGUGAGGAGGGAAUUCAUGUUGAUCCUUCCAAGAUCAAGGCCAUUUAAGGCUGGGCGAUUCCGAAAACACCAAAAAAAACGACAAUUCUUGGGUCUUGCAGGUUACUACCGAAGAUUUAUCCAAACCUUCUCUAAGAUAGCAAAGCCCCUCACCACUCUAACACAAAUGGUCGUACUCUUCAACUGGACAGACAAACAAGAAGUUGCCUUCCAACCCUUAAAGCGAGACCUCUGUAGUGCUCCAGUGCUAUCCUUACCAGAUGGAACCGAAGACUUCAUAGUAUAUUGCGAUGCUUCGAACCAAGGGUUAGGCUGUAUCCUUAUGCAACGGGAAACGUGAUAUCUUAUGCGUCCUGGGAAUUGAAGACACAUGUAGUGAAUUACACCACACAUGAUCUCGAACUGGGAGUCGUGGUCUUCGCCUUAAAGAUUUUGAGGCACUACUUCUAUGGUACAAAGGGCACCAUCUUCACUGACCACAAAAACUUCCACCAAAUUCUAAAUCAAAAGGAGUUGAACAUGAGGCAGCGAAGGUGGGUUGAGCUGCUAAAUGAUUAUGAAUGUGAGAUCAAGUACCACCCAGGGAAGGCUAAUUGUUGGAAUAAUGUCUAAGGCUGCAACUAUAUUAGGCAAGUAAUUGACUCGAUUGUGCAUGGUCCUUUUAGGUUGCCUUCACCAUAGCAACUUGACAGGAUGAUUUAUAAUGAGAGAAUAAAUAUUAUUAAUAUAUUAUGAGAAUAAUAUAAGGAAUAAUAAUAUUGUUAUUUGAUUAAUAUAAGUCAUAAAUUAAUUAGGAAUUAAUUUGGUGACUUAAAGAGAUUAAUUAAAUAAAAGGGUAUAAACUGUCAAUUGUAUGAUAGUUGUACUUUGGGCUGUAAUCCCUUAUGGAUAAGGGGUGGACUGUUUUAGGGCUUUGAAUAGACCUAGAAAUCGUCCAAGGCUUAUCAUAAGGGGGAUUGGAUUGCUUAGGGCCUAAGUUAUCCAAUUAGGGUUUAAGGGUGAAACCCUAGGAGCCUUACAAGUAUAAAUAGACCCAAGGGGUCAAGGAAAUCGACACUCUUGUCUUUGGAAGAACCCUGGCCGACUUCUUGCCCUCUCCACUCUCUCUCUAAUCAUCCUCUUGCUAAGUUGGUGUUUGUAAGCCAUUAAAGGAGUGACAAUUGUGACUCUAAGCUCCAAGGUCAAGAAGAUUCAAGCAAGCAACUUAAGGUAGUCUUCUAGAUCUGUUUUUCUUAUGUUAUUACCUAGAUCUAUUGCUCAAAAGUCUUGGAUACAAUGCAUGUUCAAUUAGAGAAACCUAGAUCCAAGCAUUAGGGUUUGUAUGUGCACAUAGGAAUGUUCAUAUGGCUAAAACUAAUCAGUGGUAUCAGAGCAUUGAUUGGUUUCUAUUGAAUUGAUGCAUUGGUUGCUUGAUUGUUGCUUGCAAAAUUUGAAUUUUGUCAUUCUGCCUGAUGAACUCGGCGAGUUCCAUAGUGGACUCAGUGAGUAGGCCUCAACUCGGCGAGUCCAUUGUGGUACUCGGCGAGUUCGAGCAUCAGAAAGAGCUAACUUCGGGAUUUCUUGCUGUUUAUCUUUUGGAAACUUACCUGAAUCUUAAUGGGUCAAUAUAAAUCCGAUUUUAAUAUAUAUUUGAGUAUAUUCUUGACCUAAUUGAAGAUAUUUAUCAAUUAAUUGAAUAAUAAUUUCCUUAUGUGAUAAUUGAUUAAUUAUUUUAAUUAAAUUGGUAAAUUGUUUUGCAAGAAAUAAUUAAAUAAAUCAAAUAUGGAUAAUUAUGUGAUUAAAUGUUAAUUUGGAUUAUUUGUUAUUUGAUCCCCUAUGUUUUGAAAAGUUUAAAACUUGCCCUCAAGUUUUGAAAUUUAUGUUUUGUGAUUAAAAGUUUAAUUUAGACAAUUUAAAUUUCAAACCCUAGAAUUUUACAAGUUUAAAAUUCAACCCUAUACUAAUAUAAUAUUACAAGAUUAAUAUGUAUAUAUGUAUAACUAAAAUGCUAGUCUUACCGUUAGUAGGCCUCAUUCACGAAGCCGGUCUAUAAGGUGGGUAUAAGGUUGCGGCCUAUAAAAUGGCGCUUAAUGGGUGUACACUCACACCCACCGCUUGCUUGAUCGGUGGAGGGUCGUUAGCCGAACGGGUAGGAUAGGGCAACCUCAUCCUCUCAUUAAAAGUAUAAUAAGUAAUACAAAGUAACUACAAUUUUUUUAAAAUUUCCCAAUCUUAGUUACUUUAGGAAAAGUGAAUUGAUGCAAUCCCAUGAAAUUACACUUUGCACCCUUGCUAAGAAGUUAGUGGAGCGUGUGUGGUUUACCGGCACACUAAUUGGUUCUAAGCAAAGGUGGCAAAGGGUGAUUCAUUGUUUAUCAUAGUUCGAUGGAGCGUGUGUGGUUUACCGGCACAUCGAAUAGGUGAUUGUUACAAUGAAGGCACCAUGUGAAUUUGCAUGGUAAUUCACACCCACUUUGUGAUCCUCGGUAUCCCAGUCACAAACGAGAGGGGCAUAUCGAGAUUUAAACAUGCCAUUGAAAAGUUUCAAUGAAUCUCAUCCAAACCUAGGAAUUCUCAAUACAUUUAGAACUUAAAGUUAUGUUUUCAUGGUGGAGAAUUAGUGAAUCGUCAUUCACUUACCUUCAAAUUGUUUGCAUGUUGGAUUACGGCAUCCCUUUUCUAAUAUGUAAAUAUUGUUGUUGGAUCCUAGCCCUAAUUUUUCUUAUUGGGUGAUAAUUAGGGAUUCAAAUUCUAAUCUAUCUUUGUCCUUUCUAUUUGUAGAUGUCGAACGCGAACAACGCUGCUGCUAGCUCGUUCACAUUGAUGAGCCUUUGCCAAAAGGUGACUUUCGAUGGGACGAACUUUAGCGAAUGGAUAAGAUACAUUCGCACGAUUGCUCGCUACGAGGACAAGGAGUAUGUCCUCGAUGAGAAGCUCGAGAAGAUCAAUCCAGAAAUCGCUACUCCGGCUGAAAUGACUGCUUUUGAGACUCAUGAACGUGAUGCAACGAAGGUUCAUUGCAUCAUGAUAGCCACAAUGAACGCCGAAUUCCAAAAGUCCUAUGAGGACAUGUAUCCGUACGAAAUGCACCAAGACUUAUUGGAGAGAUACCAUCAAAACGCGAGGCAGGAACGUUACGAGAUCUUCACUAACAUGAUCUCCGCUAAAAUGGGUCAUGGAGAAUCUCUAACCGUGCACCUGCAAAAGAUGCAAAGGUAUGUCGAUCGUCUUCGCAAGUUGAAUGUCGACUUUGGGGAAGACUUGGCUAUCGACAUGGUGCUUCACUCCUUGCCUCCGUGUUACAACCAAUUUAGGAUGACCUACCACAUGAACAAGGAAGAGGUCACCCUAAGUAAGCUCCAAGGUCUCCUUAGGGUUGCUGAGAGCAACCUCAAGGACAAGUCUAUUGCACCAACUCCCAAUCCACCCGCUGCUCCUGUUUUGGCGAUCGAGCAAGGUAGGGGUAAGAAGAGGAAGGCUCCGUCUAAGAGCUACCGCAAGGGAAAGUCCCGAGAUGGUUCCUCUUCUAGUUGUACCAAAGUUGAUCCUACUAAGCCCAACCCUAACCCAAAGGAGGCAGAGUGCCACCAUUGCCACAAAAUAGGGCAUUGGAAGAGAAGCUUCCCAGAAUACCUGCAAGCCAUCAGGGAAGGAAAGAUCAAGCUGUCUUUCGCAGGUAUAUACACAAUUAAAUCUAAUGAUUCAUCUCAUGCUAUUUCUUGGGUACUAGAUACCGGGUGUGGUUACCACAUUUGUUCUGAAUUGCAGGGACUAAGAAGAAAUAGGGAUGUGGAGCAUGGAAGAAUAGAGCAUGGAAGAAUAAAUCUAAUCAUGGGGACUGUGACCAAGAUUGGAGUGUAUUCUUUAGUGCUUAGUAAUGGUUUAUGUUUGGAUUUAAAUAAUUGUUGAUACUCGCCAGAAAUGGCAAGAAACAUCAUUUCGUUUCAUGGUUUGUUUAGAAAAGGAUUUAGAUUUUCUUUUAAUAACGAGAAUGGUUCAAUUUAUGCUUAUCUAAAUGGUGUCUUAUAUUUUGAAGCAAUCCCAUGUAAUGGAAUUUAUGAAACUGUUAUGAUUGUAGAUAACCUAGGAAAUGAUGUUUUAUGCAUGGAUUCUUCCAAUAGUAUGGAGAAAGCAUCCUUGUUGCACUGUCGUCUUGGACAUGUCAACAAGAAGCGCAUAGCCCAACUCCAAAAGGAUGGAGUGUUGGAGUCAUUCGACCUUAGGGAAGAUGACACAUGCGAGUCUUGUUUACUUGGAAAGAUGACCAAGUCACCUUUCACUAGCACAUGUGAAAGGGGUGAUGGUUUAUUGGACCUCAUACAUACUGAUGUAUGUGGACCCUUUAGAUCAACCACGAAGGAUGGGAACCGCUUCUAUGUGACUUUUACCGAUGGCUAUAAUAGAUAUGGGUAUAUCUACUUAAUCAAGAAAAAUUCAGAAACGUUUGAAAAGUUCAAAGAGUUCAAGAAUGAAGUGGAGAAUCAAUUGGGCAGGAAAAUCAAGAUGCUUCGAUCCGAUCGAGGAGGAGAGUACCUAAGUCUUGAAUUCCACGACUAUCUCAAAGAGUGUGGAAUAGUUUCACAAUUGACGCCACCUAGGACACCACAGUUGAAUGGUGUGGCAGAAAGGCGUAAUCGAACCUUAUUGGAUAUGGUUCGCUCUAUGAUGAGUCGUGCUUCACUACCUAUCUCUUUUUGGGGGUAUGCCUUAGAGACUGCCGCCCAUAUCCUUAACCGAGUCCCUACUAAGAAGGUUGCCAAAACACCUCACGAGAUGUGGACAGGGAAAGCUCCCUCGUUGGCACAUAUCAAGGUUUGGGGUUGCGAGGCUUUCGUAAGACGAGAUACUCACGACAAGCUUGAACCUCGAAGUGAGCGAUGUAUUUUCAUCGGCUACCCGCAGACAUCCUUUGGAUAUCUCUUCUAUAGACCGAAGGACAAUGUUGUCUUCGUUGCGAGGAGAGGAGUUUUCCGAGAGCGAGAACUCAUAAGCCAAGGAGACAGUGGGAGGCAAAUCGAGCUUGAAGAGAUUCAAGAGUCGAUAGAUGAAGGAACCUCUACCGCUGGCACUCAACCCGAGGAGGAAACUCCGGUUGAACCGAUUGACGAAUCCUUACCUCUUAGACGUUCCGAUAGAGUUAGAGUUCAACCCCAGUUUUAUGGUUUUCAUAUUACUACCGAAGGGGACACGUAUAUUAGUGAUGGUACACUAAUAAAUCUUGAUGAACCUAAUAGCUAUAAGGAAGCCAUGGCAGGCCCGGAGUCUGCAAAAUGGAAAGAGGCAAUGGAUAGCGAGAUCCAAUCCAUGUAUGAUAACCAAGUUUGGAAUUUGGUUGAUUAUGUGCCCGGACGUAAGACCGUUGGGUGCAAAUGGAUCUUCAAGAAGAAGACCGACGUGGAUGGAAACGUACACACAUAUAAAGCGCGAUUGGUUGCGAAGGGCUUUACUCAAACUCCCGGAGUUGACUAUGAUGAGACCUUCUCACCAGUUGCGAAGAUUAAAUCUAUUAGAGUGAUGCUAGCAAUUGCCGCAUUUCAUGAUUAUGAGAUUUGGCAAAUGGAUGUCAAGACCGCUUUCCUUAACGGAAAGUUGGCUGAGGAUGUUUACAUGGCUCAGCCAGAGGGGUUUGUGGAUCCGAAGCAUCCGAAUAGAGUGUGUAAGCUUGAGAAGUCCAUUUAUGGACUUAAGCAAGCGUCUCGCAGAUGGAAUCUUUGCUUCGAUGAGAAAGUCAAAGAGUUUGGAUUUGUACGAAGCGAAGACGAAUCUUGUGUAUAUGUCAAAGCCAGUGGGAGUAUAGUAAGCUUCCUCGUUCUAUAUGUCGAUGACAUAUUACUCAUAGGAAACGACAUCCCGACUCUGCAGGAGGUUAAGUCCUGGCUCGGGAAGUGCUUCGCUAUGAAGGACCUCGGAGAGGCUUCUUACAUUUUGGGAAUAAGGAUAGUAAGAGAAAGAAGUAAGAGACUAAUUGGACUUAGUCAGAAUACUUACUUAGAGAAGGUACUAAAACGUUUUAGUAUGGAAAACUCAAAGAAGGGAGAACUACCGAUACAAAGUAAUGCCAAAUUGAGUAAGACUCAAAGUCCGAGUACCGAAGCUGAGAUAGCAGAAAUGAGCCGAGUACCAUACGCUUCCGCAGUUGGCUCAAUCAUGUACGCUAUGACUUGUACUCGCCCUGAUGUAGCCUUCGCUUUGAGCAUGGUUAGCAGAUAUCAAGGGAAUCCUGGCAGAGCACAUUGGAUUGCGGUGAAGAAUAUCCUUAAGUACCUUCGGAGGACGAAGGAAUGGUUCUUAGUCCUCGGAGGGAGUGAUGACUUGAAGGUGCGAGGGUAUAGUGACGCCAGUUUUCAGACCGACAGGGACAACUACCGUUCGCAGUCGGGCUGGGUCUUUACCCUAAAUGGAGGAGCAGUGACAUGGAAGAGUUCCAAGCAGGAAACCGUAGCUGAUUCAACGUGCGAAUCAGAGUACAUUGCAGCGAGCGAAGCGUCGAAGGAGGCAAUAUGGCUAAAGAACUUCAUCGGUGAUCUUGGAGUUGUACCUGCCAUAAAGGAGCCCAUGGAGAUUUUCUGUGAUAACGAAGGAGCGGUUGCCUUGACCAAGGAACCGAGGGAUCAUGGUAGAUCAAGACAUAUCGACAGAAAAUAUCACUUCAUUAGACAUCGUGUAGAAGAAGGACAACUCGUAGUGAAGAGGAUAUCAUCAGAAGAUAACCCAGCAGAUCCGCUUACGAAGGGACUGAGUAGGGUUAAGCACUUGCAGCAUGCUAGGAGUAUUGGGCUGAAGGAUGAUAUUAGCAUAGAUUAGAUAGUAUUAGAAACGUGUAAUAGAUAAAUGUAAUUAACAUUUGAUGAUUAAAUAAAGGAGUUUUAUUUAUGAGUAAUGUUACUAUCUUAUGUUAAUUGUUUAACUAUUGUUUCACUUUGCAUGUUUUGACUUCCAGAAUAAUUGAGUUUAUUAGGAAUAAUCGAAUUGUUCAAAUUGUCCACAAUCGUUCAUAUGUUGGAAGUAGAUAUGAAUGAAGAUUGUCAUGAAUUGGUGUGUAGAUUGUCUAAAUGGUGUUAGACAUAGCAAAGGGUUGCUGCAACGUUCAUGAGUGCUUAUGAACUAGUUUUGAGCAUUGGAACAAACCCGCGCUUGCUGGAAUCACCUUAUGGAAUAUGAUAUAAAAGGGUGAUCGCAAGACGAUAAUAUCAUAUAGUCUUAAAACCUAGAUAUAUGGUUUGUUAUUUGUUAAUUGGUUGUACAUUGAUAAUGCGAAAACGCAUCAGUAACUUGGUGUUAUAAAACGCAUUGUUGUGUAUAGUUGGUUAAUGAAUAAGUAAAUGCAUAUAAGUCGAAGUUUAUCUGUAACUUUUAUCUAAGAGGGUAAAAGCGAUAUCUCGGCCGCUCGAUGAUUUGAUUUGACUUAUGUGUCGGGCCCGGUCAGAACUGAAUUGAUGUGUUCGAUUAAGUUCUAUGUCAAAUAAAUCAGAGAUCGAGAAACCUAAAUGCUUGACAAAUCGUUCCAUAGAAUUGUCAGCAUGAUAUCUAACAGAGGACUGUACGAUCCCUUAUCUAAAGGACAAGAUUGAUUAGAUCAGAGUUUGACAGCGUCUUUGAGAGCUACGAUUGCAAAUCGAAUUGUACUUGUGCAUAUAGUUACUAGACUUAUCCAAGUGGGAGACUGUUGGAAUAGUGUCUAAGGCUGCAACUAUAUUAGGCAAGUAUUUGACCCGAUUGUGCAUGGUCCUUUUGGGUUGCCUUCACCAUAGCAACUUGACAGGAUGAUUUAUAAUGAGAGAAGAAAUAUUAUUAAUAUAUUAUGAGAAUAAUAUAAGGAAUAAUAAUAUUGUUAUUUGAUUAAUAUAAGUCAUAAAUUAAUUAGGAAUUAAUUUGGUGACCUAAAGAGAUUAAUUAAAUAAAAGGGUAUAAACUGUCAUUUGUAUGAUAGUUGUACUUUGGGCUAUAAUCCCUUAUGGAUAAGGGGUGGACGGUUUUAUGGCUUUGGAUAGACCAAGAAAUCGUCCAACUCUUAUCAUAAGGGGGAUUGGAUUUUAUGGCCUAAGUUAUCCAAUUAGGGUUUAAGGGUGAAACCCUAGGAGCCUUACAAGUAUAAAUAGACCCAAGGGGUCAAGGAAAUCGGCACUCUUGUCUUUGGAAGAACCAUGGCCGACUUCUUGCCCUCUCCCCUCUCUCUCUCUCUCCAAUCAUCCUCUUGCUAAGUUGGUGUUUGUAAGCCAUUAGAGGAGUGACAAUUGUGACUCUAAGCUCCAAGGUCAAGAAGAUUCAAGCAAGCAACUUAAGGUAAUCUUCUAGAUCUGUUUUUUUAUGUUAUUACCUAGAUCUAUUGUUCAAAAGUCUUGGAUACAAUGCAUGUUCAAUUAGAGAAACCUAGAUCCAAUCAUUAGGGUUUGUAUGUGCACAUAGGAAUGUUCAUAUGGCUAAAACCCAUCACUAACAUGGUAGCCGAUGCCCUAAGCAGGAAAGAAUACUGAGGUCGACGGGUGAAAACAUUAUCGAUAACCAUCCACUCUCACCUAACUUCACAAAUCAGGGAAGCUCAACUAGAGGCAUUAAAGUUGGAGAAUGCUGCUAAUGAAACCCUGCGUGGAAUGGAUAAAAAUCUAGAAGUCAAAGGAGACGGAGCUUACUGCUUCACGACAUGUAUCUGGGUCCCAAAUUUUGGAGGUUUCAUGGACGUAGUCAUGAAUGAAGUGCACAAAUCACGAUACUCUGUCCAUUCGGGUUCCGAUAAGAUGUACCUAGACAUUAAACAACAUUAUUGGUGGCCAAGCAUGAAAGCAUAAAUUGCCACUUACAUGAGCAAGUGUCUUACUUGUGCCAAAGUGAAAGUGGAACAUCAGAAGCCCUCGGGAUUGUUACAACAACCAGUAAUACCCGAGUGGAAAUAGGAAAGGAUUACCAUGGAUUUCAUAACCAAAUUACCUAAGACAUCGAACUGAUUGGUUGUUAUCCGGGUGAUUGUCGAUAGGUUAACCAAAUCCGCCCAUUUCCUUCCAAUAAAGGAAUCAUACAAAAUGGAGAGGUUAACACGAAUCUGUAUAAAGGAAAUUAUGAAACUCCAUGGAGUGCUGUUAUCUAUUAUCUCGGAUCGAGAUAGUAGAUUUACUUCACAAUUUUGGGAGUCGCUCCAGAAGGCAAUGGGAACACAACUAGACAUGAGCACUGUUUACCACCCUCAAACUGAUGGCCAAAGAGAGCGACCCAUUCAAAACUCUUGAAGAUAUGCUCCGAGCAUGUGUGAUUGAUUUUGGCAGGGCAUGGGAUACCCACUUGCCCUUAAUUGAAUUCUCGUACAAUAACAGCUAUCACACUAGCAUUAAGGUUGCUCCUUUUGAGGCGUUGUAUGGUCGCAAGUGCAGAUCGCCUCUUUGUUGGGCUGAGGUGGGAGACACCCAGUUGGCAAGGGGACAAACACCAAAUAGCACUCUUACAGGACCCAAGAUCAUACGGGAGACAACAGAUAACAUAAUUCAAAUCAAAGCACGACUCCAAGCAUCACGAGACCGAAAAAAGAGCUAUGCUGAUAAACAACGGAAGCCUUUAGAAUUCCAAGUUAGAGAUCGGAUGCUGUUGAAGGUCUCUCCCUGGAAAGGGAUGAUCCGUUUGGGAGGCGAGGAAAAGUAAACCCAUGAUACAUCAGACCGUUUGAGAUUCUUGCCCGGAUCGGUCUAGUGGCUUACAAGUUGCAGCUACCUGUGGAGCUCAACAACAUACACUGUCACAACUAGCAUUUUUGGCUAGAAUAUUUCCGUCCGCAUUUAAACAACGACUAUUGUUACACUUGUACUAAAACAUUAAAGUUUACAUUAUGAUUCCUAAUGAGGCAUGUAUUGUUAUACUGCAAAUCUCUCCCCAAUCUCUCUAUGCAUCUCAAAUCUCUCCCAAAUCACUCUAUGCAUCUCAAAUCUCUCUAUGCAUCUCAAAUCUCUCUAUGCAUCUCAAAUCUCUCGCAAAUCUCUCUAUGUAUCUCAAAUCUCUCCCAAAUCUCUCUAUGUACCCCAAAUCUCUCUCUAAUUUUCCCAUGAAGUUUUCUUAGUUGAGAACAACACAAAACAAAUGGAGAAACUGAAAGAUGUAAGUCCCCAAAAUUGCUUGUGUAUCAAUCAGAUCCAAUUGAUGGUGCGGAAUCCCAAUCAAUUCGAUGAUGUCAGAUCAAUAUAGAAGAGAAGGAGAAGAAGAAGAUUAAGAAUCUAAUGAUGUAUUCAAUAUGAAUGAUGCUCCAUACAAUAGAUUCUCUUUCACACACACUUCUUCUCUCUAACUUUCUCUCUCUUUUCUAGCCUUCUCUCUUCUAACCGUACACUCCCACAUGCACUCCUCAAUUUAUAUGGAUCUCCAUCCAUACACAUGUGUACAACCGCAAACCAUGUGUACGGCCGUACACAGGGUGUGCGGCCGUACACACAUGUACGGCCGUACACAAAAACCGCAAACACAUACAACAUUACAUAAAAAUAUAUUUUCCUAGAAAAGCAAAGUAUAAACCAUAUUUUUGACCCAACAAUCUCCCCCUUGGUUUAUAGCUUUCUUUUCUAAUUGGCCCAACAAGCUCCCCCUAAAAAGUAGCUGGCUUUUCUUGUUAAUCUUCAUUGGGAGCUUGGCUUCAGCAUUAAUCUUCAAAUUGCUUCACAGCAUCAAGAUGAACAUAGGAAUCUUCAAUAAAUGACUUCAUCUUGAGCAGUUGGAAUUUCUACAGAAUUUGACAUUGAACGCACAUUGGGUGAGGAGGCUUCUUGUAGAGAUUCUUGAAAGAUAGCGCUUUCAGCUUGAGAAUCUUCAGAGAGAACAACGGAGAGAAAUAAUCUACUGGAUCACUUCAGCAGGUUUAAGAUAGCAGCAGACUGAUUGAGGAGGCUUCAAUGCAAUCCGUCACAUAAUCUUCAAGUACAGCUUCACCAUGCUUCUGGGGUUGACAGAUUGAAUGUCGAAAGAAUAAUCUUCAUUUCUUGCUCCUUCGAAUGUGAAUUCUUCGAUGCUCACGAAUGAAGCCUUGGCUCAGAAGAUCUUCAAUACAGUCUCCACGAGUCUCAUCUACGCCUGAAAUCACUUUUCAAGACAAAACAAAACUAAAAGAAAAAUUAGCACAAAAAAAANNNNNNNNNNNNNNNNNNNNNNNNNNNNNNNNNNNNNNNNNNNNNNNNNNNNNNNNNNNNNNNNNNNNNNNNNNNNNNNNNNNNNNNNNNNNNNNNNNNNNNNNNNNNNNNNNNNNNNNNNNNNNNNNNNNNNNNNNNNNNNNNNNNNNNNNNNNNNNNNNNNNNNNNNNNNNNNNNNNNNNNNNNNNNNNNNNNNNNNNNNNNNNNNNNNNNNNNNNNNNNNNNNNNNNNNNNNNNNNNNNNNNNNNNNNNNNNNNNNNNNNNNNNNNNNNNNNNNNNNNNNNNNNNNNNNNNNNNNNNNNNNNNNNNNNNNNNNNNNNNNNNNNNNNNNNNNNNNNNNNNNNNNNNNNNNNNNNNNNNNNNNNNNNNNNNNNNNNNNNNNNNNNNNNNNNNNNNNNNNNNNNNNNNNNNNNNNNNNNNNNNNNNNNNNNNNNNNNNNNNNNNNNNNNNNNNNNNNNNNNNNNNNNNNNNNNNNNNNNNNNNNNNNNNNNNNNNNNNNNNNNNNNNNNNNNNNNNNNNNNNNNNNNNNNNNNNNNNNNNNNNNNNNNNNNNNNNNNNNNNNNNNNNNNNNNNNNNNNNNNNNNNNNNNNNNNNNNNNNNNNNNNNNNNNNNNNNNNNNNNNNNNNNNNNNNNNNNNNNNNNNNNNNNNNNNNNNNNNNNNNNNNNNNNNNNNNNNNNNNNNNNNNNNNNNNNNNNNNNNNNNNNNNNNNNNNNNNNNNNNNNNNNNNNNNNNNNNNNNNNNNNNNNNNNNNNNNNNNNNNNNNNNNNNNNNNNNNNNNNNNNNNNNNNNNNNNNNNNNNNNNNNNNNNNNNNNNNNNNNNNNNNNNNNNNNNNNNNNNNNNNNAUGAAUAAUACAUGACUAUUUAUAGGGAAAAGACAAGUCUUGGGCUUUUAACCUAGAAUUCAUCAAAGGGGCCCAUUGCCAUCAUCCAUGGAGUGCUUUGAAACCCUACAAUCUCCCCCUCAAAGUAUGGAAUGGAUGACAAUGCUUUAACUUCCAAAACAAGCAUCUAGCAAAUAAAAAGAUCUGCAACGAGGAAUAUAUGAAGCAAUCCACGAAUCUUGAUUCUUCAAUAGUCUUCAAACACGAGCUCUAGGAUAUAUAAAUCAAGCACUGAAGUAAUGUCUUUAAACUUCAUUUUCGAAUGUAAUCCCAAAGAAUCUUCAUGAAAACCAAACCCGCCAUAAAAACCCAUUUCAGAACAAAGAAACUGAAUCACUUCUUGUCUUUGAAGAGCUCCCCCUCCAAGUCACAACGAUCUUCAAAUAAGCUAAUGAUAUAAGCCAUCAAAAAAUAUCAUGUAACAACCCAAACUUUAAGAUUCGUAACGCCACUUGAUCGAGAAAAUACAAGAAGUCGGAGAUAUAACAAGUCCUUAGCAGAGCUCAAUGAAAAACUUCCGCUGUAAAGGAUACUUCUCUGUAAAAGCUUUAGCAGAGCUCGAUGAAGAACUUCUGCUGUAAAAGCUACCUUCAUAAUUCUACCACAAGCUUUAUCAAAAAUCUUCAACUUUGAAAAGUCACAAAUCUAAUUUCAAAUGGCCAUACCAAAUUCUCCCCCGAUUUAUAAUCAAAAACAUGAUUAUAAAGCCUUCAAAUGGUCAUGAGAAUGAUCUUGAAUGGAUAAAAAUUUACUAAGCUCCCCCGUGACAAAAUGAUAUUAACGAUGAAGUAUAAAAUCCGAAAAAGUCGUGAAAAUUUGACGUUAUCACGAAAAACUACUUUCCGAACCGCCAAGACUUGAUGGAAUCCAUAAUUUUCUGUUCACGAAAAAAUAUGUGCAAUAAAAAAAAUCCAAAAUUGUUCACCAACCCUUAAAUUUGCAAUAUUGUCGAAAAAACGGGCUGAAACUAUCACACUACUGAAAGUCAGGGACUAAAAAUGUAACUCUGCAUCAAUUUCUCUUUGAUUUGUAACGGUUUCUAGAAAUGGACCAAAACAGCCAAGGUGUAAAAACAACAUGGACCAAAAGAGUCAAAUCGUUGAAUUUGCAAGGUCCAAAAAUGAAACUUUAAUAUCUUCUUCCCAAUUCAUCGUUGAUUGAACGAACACAGUUCUUUUACCAAAACCAUCGAAUCCAAUCGAUCUAUAACAAUGGUACCAAUUACAAAACCUUCGCAGAAAAAAAAUAUUGUUCCAAUCGUUUUCGUUCCGAACCCUUCGUAAUUCUAAGCAUCAGUUCGUUCCAAAUCAAUCCAUCCAUUUACACUUCCGAUUGCGAGCCAUAUUACGAUUGUGAAUUCGAUGAUGCCAAACACCGAAUCAAUCAUUCGUUCCGAGCACACCGGUACAAACAUGAAUCCAGGUCCAGAUUUCCUGUGCGAUCGCAAAUCAUCGUUGGUGAGAUUGUUCGUACCAUGAGAUACACCAUUUUAAUUUUGACUUUUCAUGGUUUGACCCUCCAAAUUGAAUACAAUCCAGCUCAAUUGACCACCAUUCCGACUGAGUUUUCACCACCAUGAACAGUAGAAUACACCAUAAAUCUUCAUGAACAGUAGCUUGAACAUAAUUUUGAUUCCAAAACUCAAAACACCAAAAUCUUCAAUAACUUGUGCAGAAAAAUCACCAAAUCAAGAACCGAUACUUCAAAAAUCAACAGAUCUUCAAAGACCCGCUCUGAUACCACUUGUUGGGAUUAAAACCCUAAUUGUGAUUUGAUGAACAAGAUGCGGAAAAUAAGAACAAACACAAAUAAUGAAGAUUAUGUCGAAUGAUCACUCGAUUUAUUGAAAUAUGAGGAAUAAAUUACACUUAAAGCAUAGACUAAAGAAUCUAACACUACAUAAGAAACCUCACGUGGCGGCUACAUUUUGCCUCACACUCUUAACCCUAAUUGUGAAUAAUACAUGACUAUUUAUAGGGAAAAAACAAGUCUUGGGCUUUUAACCUAGAAUUCAUCAAAGGGGCCCAUUGCUAUCAUCCAUGGAGUGCUUUGAAACCCUACAAAUUUUAAGUGUAAUAGAACGUGUUUCCCGCUUCCUGAUAUGCCCCAGCCAUCAAGAACUUCCAGAGUACUCCUUACACCGGGUGAGCAGACAACCAUUCAGAGAGAGGAUAGAUUCAGAAUUCUAUUACUUAUUACUUAUUACUUCAGAGGGGUUGAGAAGUAGAAGGUUGCAUAUGCUGUGUACCAGGUCGGAUUAGAAGUCGCGUAGAGGAGACAGCAUAUAGCUAACAGAUAAGAAGUCUUUCACAUAUAUAACCUAUAGAGAAAUAGAGUUGCAUAUGUUGUGUACCAGGUCGGAUUGGAAGUCACGCAAAGGAGACAACAUAUGACUAACAGACGAAAAGAAAGAAAAUGAUAUUCUAGAGACCUAAUUUAUCGGAAUUUACCAGUCGCCCCAUCCAACCGAAAUUAAGGACAGAAUCCACACAUCGAGGAAAAGUUAAGCCACGGUUCCAAGUACGGGUUCAAUUAAUCUGACGAGUAGAUUCCCAUAUAUAUCUCCCUGCUCAACCUAUCCAAGCGUCGUAUUGUCAGGCUAAAUGGAACUAUUAUCUAGGUCAAUAUUUGUCAAGUCAUUUGAUUUCCUAAGUUCAAUUCUACCUAAUCAUGUCCAUUUAGAAUCUUUCGUCCCUACCGACACAUCAAACCAGAGCAUAGACCCUUCAACUUUGGGUACGUUACACAGACUCAGAUUGCCUGUUAUCACUUGAUAAUAUCACUUCCCAGAACAUCUCCCUCAAGCAGCACAUUUCAUAACCAACAAUUUUUUUGAUUAUCUGAUUUUCUAAUGUUUUUGGAUUUUUAAAAUUUUCUAAUUUUUGUUUUGUUUUUAUUUCUCCCCCUAAAUUUGUGCAUAAGAGAGAANAGAGAAACGAAAGUAAAUGCGCAAUUUUAACCUAUCCUAAAACAAAAAUUAGUCUUUAAAGCGAAUCGGGUUAAGAAAAACUCAUGAGUAUAGAGAAGAAAACUCAAACCGUAAGUCACCGAUUGAAUUUGCAUCCAGAAGGUCUGAGAAUAGCACGCGUAAUCUCAAAACAGAUCCGAAAAUUCUUCAUGUCAUUAAGCACAAACACCCUGUGAUCCCUUCCUUUUUUCCUUUCCCGCAAAGGACACAUACUCUCAAAUAAAUGUCUGAAUGUUGUACAGUUGAGAGAUGUCCCCUAUCAAGUGUCAGGAAUAUCCACUACCAACAAACCGAAGUCUGAUGAUAUGCCUCCAUAGCUGCUCCAACACAGAGCGGGAUCACUUGGCCUUUGGAACCCAAUCCAUUUUGAAACUGGGUCGACCUUUGUCAUCUUUGCAUAAUACUUUCUCCCAUGACAUAUCCUGCUUAUCACAAACAGAAGAUGUAGAAAUAUUAGAAUCGUUAGAAGAUUUGGGAGACUGAGCCUUCGGAACCCAUUUGUAGUUGGGUUUAACCCAUUUCUUUUCCAAUUUGAUGGGUGGCUCAGUACUUGUUCUUGAUCUAGAUGUCGGCCGUCGAGAUGACUUUGAUUUUGGCUUCACGGGAGCAUCUCUUGGAUUUGAUUUCUUAGCCAACAUUCCCUUCUUGCCCUUGGGAGUUUGAUUCUUGGCCUUAUGGCUUUGAUUCUUGGCCUUCUGGGCAUUCCAGUCGCUAUUGUAUGAAUGUGGCCUCGAAGGGUUUCUUUUGAAGCAUCUCCCUCUUGGCGCGUUCUUCCAGCCUUGUGCAUAAUAAGGAACGUAUGCGUGAUUUGGACAAUUUCGGGCAAUAUGACAAGGUGUUCCACAGUGAAAACAAGCCUUUUUCUUCACUGGGAAAUUGUUUCUUCCUGCCCCUGGUGGCGUCUCCUUGCCUCGCCUCUUGCUUUUCCCACACGCACAGCUGCAACAGGUCGGCUGUUUCACUUGACUUGGUGGCCUGUACUUCUCAACAGCAGGUUGAUCAGAAGCAACUGAGUUCGAAGAAACAGAUUCAGAGUUCAAGGAGAUGUUGGUUUGUUCAAUGGUGUUCUUGUUCUCAUCCUCUGCUACUUUACCUGCACAUCAAGUAGAAGCAUUAAUAUCGUUCAACUCAGCUCCCUCAGUUGGCCCUGAUUGUUCAGUCUUAACUGAAUCUGGAGCAGGGGUUUGGCCAUACUGAGCAGGCAUUUCUUCCUCAUUGGUCUCAAAGGGUGGGUUAUAAUUGUGAUUAAAAGGAGGUGGCACACUGUGAUACCCUAGACCCUUGGUUUAAUUAUCUUUAAAACUCAAUUGAUUUUCUACUAAGGACUCGACUAUCUUACUUGAUGCAAUAUAAUUUUUGAAACUAAUAUCUAUUUGCUUUUAAAGGUUUCUGACCUUUCCUUAGAGUAUAGCCUUCAUAUUUAAGGUCCUCAUUUUCCCUUUUUAAUAAAUCGAUUUAAUCGCGAAGAAAUUUAAUCGUAGCUUUACAAGAUGUAGUACAUAAAACUUCAUUUACCGGAAUUGAUGUGGAAGUCAUUUUUUUUAAUUUUUUUUAAUUAAUUUUUUUAAUUGCCCUUUGACUUAAUAACCGAGAAAGUCAACCUUAAAAGUCAAAUUUAAAUAAAAAAAAUUCAAAAUCAAAAGUCAAACUGAAAAGCUAAAUUUGAAAAAUUAAAAGUCAAACGAGAAAGUCAAAGGUCAAACUUGAAAGUCAAAGUCAAAAUUUUAAAGUAAAAAGUCAAAAAUAAAAAUAAAAAAUUUUGGGUUGAAAAAGAAAUUUAAAAAUAAAAGGAAUUGAUUUUUGGGUUUAAAAUUAGCAAUUUGCGAAAGUUGGAACCGAGAAGCACUUGUUUUGAGCUAAAUUUCGAAGCAUUAUUUCAUCUACCAACUUAGAUCAGCUGGAAAGGGCGCUUUCUUGUUUAACCAAAGCAUCCAGGUUCGAAUCUUGCAGCCCUCGGUUUCCUUUUUGAUUAUUUUCUGAUUGCUUCUAUAUGUGUAAAGGAUAAAAACGGAAGGUAUGAAUCAACAGUCAGCUUAGCCGAGUUGGUAAGGUGAGUUGCUUUGUUUGGAGGAGACCCGGGUUCGAUCCACGGCACCUCCAAAAAUUAUUUGUACUUUUUUAGAUGCGAAGCGAUGCAAGGAAGCUGCUGCAAGGAUGGCUGCGACGCGAAGUUGCGAUGCGAGGACGAGGACGAGGACCGCACACCGAGACCGAGCCGCACACUCCGAGGCGUACACCGUGACCGCACACGUCCGAGCAGCACACCGAGCCGGCCGCACACACCGAGGCUGCUGAGCCGCACACACCGAGCCGCACUCCUUCAACCAGCAGCACACCUUCAACAGAUUUGCGAAAAAAAAACGACGUUUUUCACCCUUUUUUUGCUCUAAAACACGAUCAAAAACUCGUUUUUAUGAAAAAUGCAAAGAAGUAACCCCCCUUAUUUUUGCGAGAUCUAUCCAAAAACGCUAUUCUCUUUUCAAAAUAAGAUCAAAUAAGCUCCAGAUCUGACAAAAUUGAUUGAUACAACCAAGCUCUGAUACCAAUUGUAAGUCCCCAAAAUUGCUUGUGUAUCAAUCAGAUCCAAUUGAUGGUGCGGAAUCCCAAUCAAUUGGAUGAUGUCAGAUCAAUAUAGAAGAGAAGGAGAAGAAGAAGAUUAUGAAUGUUAACCGCUCCAUCAUUUGUUGUAUGGUCUGUAGAGGAUGAACAAGGUUCGUUAGAAGAAUCCGCUACAAACUCUUCUGCAAUAUUUUCUGGAAAAAUAAGUUCCAUCAAAGUUGAAGUUACAGCGGAAGCCUCGUGAUUCAUGAACUCUUUUUCCAUUGGAGUUAAGGGAGUAGCAAUGGCAUCAGGAGAAGGUUGUUGAGGAGAUUCAGAAGAUUCAAAAUGAGUAGGGGGUACCGAAGGAGGAUUAGUGGAAAUCAAUGGAGGUCGAUAAACAACUUCAUCUUUUUCGUCUUCACUAGGAAUCUUCGAAUUGGAAGUAGAUCCUUCUUGAUUAUCUGAAGACACAUUGAAUGAUUUGAAAAGAGAUGUGUAGUCAAAUAACCAAUCAGGACCCACUCUUGCAUCUGUCUCAUUUUCCUCAAGCCAACGAACAUCAAAGGAUUCUACAAUCUGUUUAGUCUUCUUAUUGUAAACCCUGUACGCAGUUCGAGCAGCAUAUCCAACAAAGUAACAGUCAUCGGCUUUGGCAUUGAAUUUGGGAUUGGAUUCCAAGUGGAGAAGGGUGCAAGGGCAGCCAAAUACUCGGAAAUGACUGACAGAUGGCUUGUGUCCAAAUAAAAUCUCAUACGGCAUCUUCAUUCUGGCUUUGUUGAUUAGCACACGAUUUUGAACAUAACACGCAGUGUUAAUCGCCUCUGCCCAGAAGAAUACAGGAAGCUUGGAAUCACAGAGCAUCGUCCUUGCGGCAUCUUUUAGAGUUCGAUUCCGACGUUCGGCAACCCCGUUUUGUUGAGGUGUUCGAACAGAACUGAAUUGACGCACAAUCCCUUUCUCAGCGCAAAAAUGAUCAAGAACAGCGUUCUUGAACUCUGUUCCAUUAUCAGUACGCAGCGCUUUCACUUGAUUGUUAGUCUGAUUUUCGAUCAUCACAAUGAAUCUUUUGAUAAGGUUAGGAAUUUCUGCUUUGUUAGACAGAAAGAAAACCCAAGUGAAACGAGAGUAAUCAUCUAUCACAACAAGGCAGAAAGAGUUGCGAUUGAUGCUCAACACAUUAACCGGACCAAAUAAAUCCAUAUGCAAUAACUCGAGCACAUGACUUGUGGAGUUUAUCUGCUUUGGAAAGUGUGGUUUUCGAUGAUGCUUUCCCUGGGCACACGAAACACAUUUCUCAAAAGUAAUGAAAUCUUUGAUGGGUAGCCCAUGAACCAAUUCGUUCUUCGCAAGCCGAUUCAGGUUCUUUGCAUUCGCAUGACCGAGACGACGAUGCCACAACAUCGCAUUUUGUUCAGAAGCUUUGGAGAAGAGACACGUGACAUCAUCAGGGAAAUUGCUAUUCAUGUCUAUAAUGUAGGCAUUUCCAUCCCGUUUAGAUCUUACAAGAAUCCAAUCGUCAGGGAUAAUAAUGCCAGGUUUUAAGAUCAGACAUUCCUUAUCUGUGAAAUGAGUAGAGUAGCCCUUGUCGCAUAUCUGGGAUACACUCAGCAAGCUGUGCUUCAGUUCUGGAGCAAAGUUAACAUUCUCAAAAUUCAACACUCCAUUGGACACAGUUCCUCUUUGAGUAAUUUUUCCACCCUCUCCGCCCGCAAAAGAAACAUAUCCCCCAUUAAAAGUUUGAAUGUCGUGCAAUUGGGAUAUGUCUCCAGUCAUGUGCCGGGAGCAGCCGCUGUCGACAUACCAAGGUCUGGCGACAUUCCUCCGCAACUGUCCCUGCACGAUGAAUGGAAUUAUUUAGUUUUGGGAACCCAGGUCAUCACAAUCCUGGGUUGAUUUUUUCUUUUUACAAGUUUUUCAUUUGAUUCUUUCUUUGCUUUUGAAUUGGAGAGUAAUGGAGAUUGAUCUGAAAGAGAUUUUGGAAUCCAUUGAAAGUUAGGUUUCAAAAAUUUGUGAGUUUGCUUUGAACUGGUGGAUCUCUUACUUGAAGAGUUAGAAGAUCCUGUCCUGCUCUUUGACAAAUUCGACUUAGGCUUGGCCUGAGUUGACUUUGGCAAACUUCUGUUGUUUUUGCAAAAAACCUGUUUAUUCUUUUGAAAUCUUUUGAAUUUUUUGUUUAAAGUUGUAUUCAAAUCUCCAUUUCUAGAAUGAGUUUUGGGAAUUUUCCUAGUCAAGGAUCGUCCCCGAAAUUCAUUCUCCCCUCUUUUUGUUGUAUGAGAUACAAACAUCCGGUUCAUGCAGUUUCUUGCAAUGUGUCCAGCAGUGCCACAGUUAAAACAAAUUUGUUUGUUAUCAGAAACUUUGGCACUGCUGUUGUCAGUGUUGUUCUUAGCUUUUCCAUUUCUAACACAAUUACACUUGCAAGAUCCAUCAUAGAAUUUAGUAACAGAUGUGUUAGAUGCAGAGACAUGUAAAUCAGAUUUAGCAGUUUGAUCAGAAACAACACUAUUAGAAUCAUUUUCAGACUGAAAUAAAAUACCACCCGACACAAAAACAUUUGUGUUUGAUUUUGACACAGACUCAUGACUGACACCGGACUCAAUCACAAUAUUAUUUGACUCAAAAGUUUCAGCAGCAUGCUCCCCCUAGACUAUUGAUAUAUCUGCACUUGAAGCAAAAGCAUUAGUAUGCAAAGUCUCAUAACUAGACUGUAUUUCCUGCUCACAAGCUGACUUUCCGUACACCAUGCAAGGUUCUUUGUCAAUUUCUUCUUGAGACAGAGGAAUAGCAGUAUAAUUGUGAUUGAAGGGAGGAGGGACACUCUCAUAACCUAAUCCAACUUUUAUUUGAUUACCAUGAGUGAUAUCUCUCCAGUGUGAUUGACCUUCGAUUAAUUUUGCAAUCUUUUCACUUGACACAUCGUAUUUUUUGAAAUUAAAUUCAGCUUUUUCAAAACAAUUUUUCAAUGUGUCAAGUUCCAUGGUUACAGCAGCAAGUUUUCUUUUGAGAUGAUCAUAGUUCUCGCAUUUGUUGCUGUAAUCCUCUUGCAAUUUUUUAAAAUCUUUUGUUUUAUUUUCUAAUUGAGUUUUUAAGGGCUUUUGAUUUUUUCUAAGAGUAUAUCCCUCAUAUUUCAAGUCCUCGUUCUCUCUCUUGAUUAUUUCAAUUUGAUCUCUCAAAAACUUAACAGUUUUAAUACAAGAUUGAGAACAACCGAAUUCACUAACCUCAGAUUUGACUGGUUCAGGAGUGGUCUGAACCAUGAAUGCAAACUGCAAAUUCAUCAUCUCCUCCUCUGGAUCUGCUUCCAUUUCUUUACAUGCAUCCUUGACUUGAGCAAGAUUUUCCUUUUCAGGUUCUGAAAUGUUUAGGGCCUGAACUUGAUCUUCCCAGUUGAACGAUUGAGCUACCAUUGCCAUGUUUGCAGACUGAUUGUUUGAAGUUGAUCCUCUGUUGUUGCUGUGAACGUACGUUACUGGCACCAUGGUUCUUUCCUGGUUCAUGACAAUUAUAACAACGCAACUUUCCUUUGCUAAAACCCAUCUUUUUGUCUGAAUUUACACCCCAGUUGUUCUUUCCAGUCUUUUUUGAGAAUUGUUUAGCCCUGAAUACUGCCAUUGCUAUUUGCCAUGUAACAUCCAUCUCUUCCACAUCUUUAGGAUGAAUUUGAUCAAGAUUCGUGAAUGAAAGUUGUGGAGAGAGCUCUCCAGCAACAAAGGCAUUGUAGCAGUUCACCAACCCAGUAGCUAAAGCCAUAUUUUCCUCCUUUUCUUUUGCAAAUGAGCUUUGGGAACCAAUUCCAUGAGAUUGAAUUAAAACAUCUGUGGAAGGACUAACACUAGAACCAACUUGAGAUAUGGUUUGAGGGAAUUGAGUUUGUUGCAUGUUAGGUAUGAUGUAUGGUAUGUUUUGAUGGACUGUAUGACGUUGAACUUGAGGAACCUGGAUUUAAGUAUUUUGAAGAGUGGUGAAGCUUGAAAAGCGGUGUUGUUAUUUUGAAGUCCAAGAUUGGCUGGAGAGUAUGAAUUGACAUGGUUGAUUUCUCUUUUUUUAUCAUCAAGAUCGCAAGCUUUGAUGAUUGCCAUUGUUUCAGACAGGCUUAAACGAUUCAAAUCUUUUGUCUUUUUAAUCACCGAGACAUUCAUGUCCCAUGAUUUUGGAAGAGAAUUUAGUAACUUCUUGUUGAUUUCAGAUCUAGUAACCAUCACUCCUGCGGAGCUCAUUUCAGUGGUUAGUGUGAUAAAUCUUUGCAAUUGAUUUUCGAAUGUUUCUCCCAAUACGUAGUUAAACAUGUUGAAUUUUUUUCGGAGCAUGUCUUGUCGACUUUGCUUCAUGUCUUCAUUUCCUUCAUAAACUUCUAUGAGUGCUUCCCAUAAUGCUUUUGUUGAUGUAUACUCAUGAAAUCCUUGUGCUAUUUUCGGAGACAAUGCCAUAGUCAGUGUGGCAAGAGCCUUUUCUUGUUCUUCAACUCGUUCAAAAUCAUCAUCAGUGUAGUUUUCAACUUGUUUGUCAAUUACCGUUCCAUCUUCUAAAGUAGAAGUAAUCCGAAUUGGUCCUCUCAAAAUGCUUCUCCAAAUUUUGAAAUCCUUCAUUUUGAUGUAUUUUUCAAUUCGAUAUUUCCAUUCAGGAAAUCCUUCAGCUGAUAGCAAUCUAGGAAUACGAGUAGUUGUUCCCAUUAUUGCAUCCAAAUCUUGAUGAACAGUCAUGUUUUGAGAUUCCAUUUUAGUAAUUUUAAACUCUUAAACACACACUCCUUAACCGCACACACUUAUCCAGCCGCACACUGAAUUGAGCCGCACACACAAAUCUAACCGCACACUAAACCAACAAUCACUUUAACCGCACACACCUUCAACCGCACACACCUUCAACCGCACACACCUUCAACCGCAAACUCCUUCAACCGCACACACCUUCAACCACACACACCUUCAACAGUUGGCACCAAACACUCAACAGUAACUUCAAUUGAUACCAAAUUGGCUCUGAUACCAAUUGUAAGUCCCCAAAAUUGCUUGUGUAUCAAUUUGAUCCAAUUGAUGGUGCGGAAUCCCACUCAAUUGAAUGAUGUCAGAUCAAUAUACAAGAGAAGGAGAAGAAGAAGAUUAAGAAUCUAAUGAUGUAUUCAAUAUGAAUGAUGCUCCAUACAAUAGAUUCUCUUUCACACACACUUCUUCUCUCUAACUUUCUCUCUCUUCUCUAGCCUUCUCUCUUCUAACCGUACACUCCCACAUGCACUCCUCAAUUUAUAUGGACCUCCAUCCAUACACAUGUGUACAACCGCAAACCCUGUGUACGGCCGUACACAGGGUGUGCGGCCGUACACACGUGUACGGCCGUACACACAAACCGCAAACACAUACAACAUUACAUAAAAAUAUAUUUUCCUAGAAAAGCAAAGUAUAAACCAUAUUUUUUACCCAACAAAAGAGCAAGCUCAUUUCUGAACCUCCUGUGCUCCUUCAAAAUUUCUUUGAUCCAGAAACCCCAACUUCGGAACCUUCAGAAAAAGGCUCUGAAACUAACGUGCUUUGGAACUCAUCAUGCCCUUGCACCGGACAAUCUUGCUCCGAAAUAACCUCUCAUCCGGACAAUCUCGUUUAGAGCCUUCGUGUUUGCUUCGUAACUUCGCAUACUUCGGAAGGUCUCGCCUCGUAUUCUCGGAUGGAAUUGGUUCUAGAUCAGAGCUGAAUCCGGAAGUGAGGCUUGACUCCGGAAAUUGAGGAUUGACUCUGAAACUUGAAGAAUGCCUUCGGAACUCACCUAGUGGCUUCGGAAUCCGCUAUUUGGCUCCAAAUUUUAGACCAUAUCGGAACUUUUCUUCAUUUUAAGGCAUUUUGAUGUUAGGAAUCCCACCAAACUCGUAUUUUUCAUAACUUAGACCACUUAAACCUCUAUUUUAUGCCAAAUUUGAGUAUUUGAAACAUAUUUACAUGAAAUAAUAGGUAAUAUUGAUGAAUGUAUUCUACUAAAUCAUAAAGAGAUAAGAGGGUUUGACUUUAUGAUGUGAUGUAAAUUCCCAUUUCGCAUGCAAUUCACGGUAACCCAUGAAUUACCCACAGAAUAUCAAGGUUUUAACCUCCAGAUUUCCAAGCAAGCACCAACCCCAUCUUAGACAUGUCCACCUUAAAACACCCCACCAUAUUUUUAUUUGCUACAUAUAACUUUUCUUUAUCUCUCAAAAACUCUCUCUCCCAACUUUUGAAGAAGGUUAAGCCCAAGUUCAUCCUGAGAAUUUUUGGUAAGUAUUUUCAUAAUCUCUGAGUAUUUAUAUAUGAUUAUAUGAUAGUUCCACCAUUUUUAUACACAUAUUUGUGUGUAUUGAUAUUGUUAGGAUAAUAAUCAUCCUUAGAAGCUCCUCAACUCUUCCAAAAGUUUAGACGUGAUUUUUUCACUCCAUCACUCCAAUCAUCCCAUAAACUAACUCAAUGUGAGCUUCAUACCCCUAUCUUUUGAGUUUUCUUUUGUAACAUCCCAAGUCCAUGUAUAUUCAUUAAAACUCUGACCUUGAGCUUUUGUUCAUUUUUUACCCUUAAUUGAGAAAAGGGUGGUGAGCGAGUACGCAGGGCGUACUUGAGAGUACGCUUAGCGUACUCGUUUGCGUGUUUGUAAUGCGGAUGGCCACCUAGUACGCUAGGCGUACUAGGCGCAGAAUGAAACCCUAAUUGUGAGCAAGCUCCCUAUUUAAAGGAAAAGAUGGCCUCAUUUCUUGCCACCGUUCCUAGACACCAAAACCUCUGAACCCAUAUUCUUCGUCCUUGUAGCUGGAGAGUGCAUUUAGGAGCUUAUGAGUACAUCUUUGUGAUCUGGAGGUGGAGAAAGAGCUUGGAAGAGAAGAAGUGAGAGCCAGGAGUUUGGAUCUGAGCUUAGCUAGGUCAAAGGCUUCCAAAAAAUGUUUUAAGCUUAAAACUUUCUUAUCCUUUUCUUUGGUUCAUUCAUUUGGUGGUUUAAUCCAAAAGGUGGAGAUUUUAUGAGUAAAUGAGCUCCAAAGGCCUUGAUCUACCCCGUUUCAAUGUAUAUUGUGAUAUAGAGUCAUAAAAAUCCCAUCUUGGACGUUAAGAGUGAGCCAUGCAUGAGAUGUGAGCUUCUUAAGGAAAGGGGUUGUGAGUUUUGAGUGUUGGUGACCUUUUCAGCCAUGCAAAUGCUUAAAGUUACUGACUUUAUGGAUUAAGGGACAUUAGAGUCACCAGAUCUGAAACAUGAGUCCAUGUCUUAACUGAUUAAGACGAAAAUCAUGAGGAGUGUGAAACUGGAGCGUACACUGGGCAUAACCCCAAGUACGUGCAACGUAAAGGUCUAGCACCCCUGAUUCUGUAUAGCAGCCGAGUUCGCCCAGCGUAGGGAGGUGGAAUGUGCAGCGUACUCCCUGCUGUUGACUUUUAGGGUUUGGUCAAGUUGUGAACUAUUGAGCCUAUGGAGGGGUAAAAUGGUCUUUUACCCUUAUGUGAGUGUAGAAGGGUGAGUCUAGCUUCUUGAGGACCAAUAUUAAUUGGGGAUAAUUAUUAUGUGAUAAGCAGAGGCUAGAUCGGUGGGUAGAGUUCGAGAUUUCCGAGUAUGAGGUUUUCACUUGCUAGCUUACGAGGUGAGUCUUCUCACUAUACUUACCUUGAGUGGUAAUUUAUGUGUGACCAGAGGGUCUUAUGUGUAUGUGUUGUGUAUUGAGAUAUCCUGUUAUUUGUUCUGUGAUAUGCUUAUUGUGUAUUAUAUUGACUUGCUGAGUUGUGGGACCGGAGGGUCCCACUGAGACACAUCGACCGAAGGGUCCUACAGAGUUAUAGCCUUGAGUGGAAAAUGUGUUGUAUGUGGUAUUUUGGGGAACUCACUAAGCUUUAUGCUUACCGUGUUAUGUGUUAUGUGUUUCAGGUAGUCUCGAGGAUCGCGGCAAGGCACCAGUAUGGUUGUACACUGGCGGGAGAUUGUUUUUACGAUUCUGGGAUUGUGUUUUAAUUGAUGACAUGUGAGACAUAUGUGAUUUUGAGAAUUAUCAAAUGAGUUUUAUUAUGUUUGAAGAUGAAAAUUUUGUUUGAAAAUUUAUGUUGUUACAUCUUUCUUUUUGGGGGAGAAUACAAGUCAAGGGUCUUGUGAAAUCUUAGUGUAUUUGCUUGUUUAUGCAUGUAUGUUAUGAUAUAUGUGCUUAAAGUUAUGAAAUCCACCUAAUGGUUCAGGAACUCAAGAUUCUUAGCAAGUCUCAAGGUUUUGAACUAUACAUCUAUAUAUAUCACCCAUUUAUAUGUUAGAAACAAAAACUAGUAUGUUUAUGAAAUAUUAAUCAUAAAUGGUUACAUCAAAAAUCAUAAGAUUUUACUUCAAAAUUUGUUUAAACCAAAGGUUAAUCAUAAUAUUUUGGAAAUGGUUAAAUUUGAAUAUUAUUAAUAUUUUGGGACCAUUUUCGGCCGCAUAUAUAUAGGGACCAUUUUGGAUAAUGGAAGAAAAUUUAAGAAUUAUUGAGCAUCUUAAUUUCAAAGGACCAAAAUGAAAUUUUUGGGAUAAACAAGGGCCUUUUUGAAUAUUUUCAUAAAUAUAAGUCUAAAAUAAACAUUUUAGAAGAAAAGGGUUGUUUUUGACAUUACGAUAAGUUUGGGGUCAUUUUUUAUUAUUAUGAUUCCAAGUGGAUUUUCCCCAAUAAACGAAAAUGAUAAACCUAGUCAACUAACACAAGUAAUGUUAUUUAUUAAAUAAUGGAUGUUAUCGAUUACUCAAAAACCAGUUGGUAUUCUAGUGAAGACAAGUCUCAAAAAAUACCUAAAUAUAAAUAUAUUAGUGUACGUCUAAAUUCCUGUAAUGAGUUAUAACCAGAGUCUCCUGGAUGGAGAGCGGGAAUUUGUGUAUAGAGCUAUAGGGGGUUGACACCCUGCAUCUUCGUUGUUCGCUACAGCUAGAUCGGCUAGUCUAGAGUGAUAAAUGUCUUUAAUCGAUUUGGGCGUCUGAGAAACGCCAAGACAGGCCUCCGUCAUAUUAGUAUGUUUAUAGCGGCUCACUAGAAUAUGUUAAUGUAUCUAGAAAUUCAUGUAUGGAAAACCUCAUAAAUAAAUUGGCACAUUGUGUUGACUGCCCAUAUGCAUGGUAGUGAUGGUCCGCAUUUGUUGUGUUGACCGCCCACUCAACUUGCAUGGAAGGUUCACAAUCGCGUGUUGAUUUCUCACACCUCUCCAGUCUUAGGGUUUUUAAGACCACCAUUUUAUAUAUAUCAAAAAAUAUAGGAUUUUCUGGGGAAAAACGAUUGUAUACGAUUUUGAAAACGAUAAACUAUCACACACAUAUGCAAGUAUACUCAAUUGAAAAACAGGACUCACGACUAUUUUAUAUAAGAAAAUAUGGGAUUUUCUGGAGGAAAUGAUUUUAUACGAUUUCGAGAAACGAUAAACUAGAAUACACAUACAUGCAACUAUACUAGAUGGAAAACAAGACUUACAACUGUUUUGACAAGAAAACACUGAAACUUUCUGGAUUUCAAAACCAUCACAAAUUCUUAUACAAAAAUGCUUAUGAACUCAUCAACAUAUUUUAUGUAGACGCUUUUCAAACGACUUGUAUUCUCAGGGAUCUAGUAAGCAGGUUAAAGGGACGCGGACUCAGGACUAUUUCGCAGUAGUUUGAAAUUUAUUUACUUACGUCUCUUUGUGUAAUGUGAAGAAUAAAUACAAUAUGUAAACAAUGUAAGUUUGUUAUCUCAAUGUAUGAUGUUUGGAUUUGCUAUGUUUCAUUUAUAUUCAAUUGUUAUGAUACUGCACAAUGAAGUCACUCGCCUCCGGACAUUUCCGCCGUCUGGUCUGGGGGUGUGAUAGAUUGGUAUCAGAGCAUUGUUUAUAGUGAACUAGUAUAUCUAGCCAUACAAGAUAUACAACUAUAAAUACAAUGGGACUAAAACACUCUUACUAAAGGUGUACUUGAAAGAUCUAAGUAUUUAUAAAAGAAUACAUACAUACUAGCACAAUAUCAUAAUGAGGAGAAAACAAAAGUAACUAAAGGUUGAACAUUACAGUCAAACCUAAGAAGUUAUGUAAUCACAUUUGGGAUAAUAUAGCCUAAUCAACUCUAUUUAUUUGAGAUAUGACCAACAUGUGCUUGAGAGUGAUAGUGGUGUUGCAACAAACCUAAAACCAACCAACUAUACAUUCAAGAGAACACCGGAAUCUAACAUCAAGUUUAAAAUACUAUAGGAGUAUUUUAGGAUACCAUAAACCCCCACACCUAAACUUUCCCCGUAUUUCUCAUACACCUAUUCUCACACAAACGACAUAGUUGAAAAUCUUCACAAAGACCUCUACUACCCUGUCGAGGUGACUUGCGGAUGGGCCAAGGAAGGACCAAAAGAGGUCCAUAAGAAGAGCCCAGAGGUGAAGUCUAAGGCAUACCAAGAUAUGAAUUAUGAAAGGGAGGAUUCCAACUAAGAGCCAAGCACGGAUGAAAGAGCCAAAGAAACCCUCAGCGAGCCUUAUCCUGUUAGCAAGAAACCCUUUCAUCUCUCUCCUCCCAGAUAUAUAUGUAAACACCAAAUGUAAGUGCCCUUGGAAUAGACAUGCCUAGUAACAAAACAAUACCCACGCAAAGACAAGUUUACUGAUUGACACCUACCAAGUUCAAGAUGCAUUGCCACAAAAGGCAAUCCCAUCCACAAUCGACGUGCACCGUGCUCCGAUCCUUAACACCCUCACAAUACAAGCACCACCCCCAUAUGGACCACAAGUAACCCGAUUUGACUCCCGGUUUACUACUCUCUGUCAUGGAGUAUUGAAAACUGAAAGCAAAGCCCGAUAUACGACAAUGUAAAUCCGACUUUCCCACGAAUAACUAGAACACCAUUCCAAAUCCUUAUGGAAACAACACGUGGAACUAGAGAACCACAUGAACCGUCUACACUCUAUAAAGGAGGAAGUGACCACCCUGAGACGACAUCUGAUUACCACUAAGACUAGGACAUCCUUAGCAUAACAAAGAGCGGAAGGGGCCGCUCAUGAAAUGAGUAAAAUGGCCGAGCACCUUGUGCACCAUUUCGGCAUAAGAAAAUCACCACACUACUCGCCUGAGGCUUAUAAUAUCUUAAACGGCAACCAAUAAUAGUAUACCAAGAGAUGUACGCCCUCCAAGAACCCAUGUAAUCAGAAUCCAACCAUUUUAUAGGUGGCUAUACCAUAUCCCGAUAAAACGUAACAUUCGUGCGAUGCUUAAUUCUACUCUCAAUCGUAAAUACAUCAUAGGGAUGUAGGUCGAAACAACGAGAAACGUAUAACGAAACAUGUGAUUUAUAUACGUACAUGCAUAAGUUCAUACCUAUAAUCAUAGAUAAGAUAUGACUAGAAAUAACCAUAGUUACUCAUGAACCUGUAUCCCCUCAUGCAACAGGAUCAUGUCUUCCCAUGGAAACAACCAGCUAGCCGGCGAAACACCAAUUCUGCAGAUGGACCCCACGACCUUCCAAGCCGCUGUAACAACUGUCGUAGCAUCUGUCAAGGCACACCUCAAUGCCAACAAUACAAACAAAACUGGAAGCGGUGUCGAUAAUUUCAACCGUAGUAACAAGGAAACCAACAAAGGACAACUUACCAUGACACCCCAAACUCCAAACAUAAGGUCAUGAAGCAAAAGUUUGGGAAUGAAGAAAGAGGCGAUUCGACCCAGAGGCUUACCAAAAGGCAACAAGUGGAGCAGUCCUUCCCUUACUAACCCUACUCUUCCCACAUUGAGAAAACCAUAUCUUGGAAAGUCUCCACACUGCAACAAGUGAAAAUACCACUAUUGGGGAGCCUGCCGGGAUUUUCGUUGCAGAAGGUGCAACAAGAUGGCACACACCUCCCGCUACUGUAGGGCCCCGGCCCUAUGCGUCACUCCGACCCUCAACCCGGAAGCAAGUCCAGUAUGUCACAAAUGCGGUGCAGCAGGACAUUUUAAGAGAGAUUGUCCAACAGAGAUGAAUGACGGAGGAGUUGACAACUAGACAGGAAGAGGCGACAAGGAACCCUACCGAGAUUUUUGGUACGUUCCCACGAUAAACUCUAUGCAUCGAAUUUCCACAAAAAGGUUUUGUCAGUUAAAAACAUAAUAAAAAACAAAUUUCCUCAUUUGAGCAAAUCCUGUAAAUCACAGAGAAACUAGAGAUCCUUGCAAAUGGACCAUGAUGGUUCCAUAUGAACAUUAGUAUCAUAUAUAGUUAGGAUUCCACAAACUCAGAGUGUAUGAUCCCACUUUAUUUUCCCUGUUUCUGGUUUGAAUGUUGAUUAGGGCAGAAUCACGCGGUCAAUUAUCUUUUAAAAUCCUAAGUAUGUACGGUUAGGCCACACCCAUCUAUAGUAGAAAAACCUAGCAGAAUUCGGGUUACGAAUACCCUUGCUUUAUAUUGGUGCUCUCGUGUUACUAAAACACCCGGCAAGCGGGAACAAAAUAGAUGCAAUAAUAACAACAAAAACAAAACUUGCAGUGAUAAGAACAUGAAUAACAAAUCUCUUUCAACCUGUAAUGAAAAAUCCCUUGCAUCCAGACCCAUAAGCCCUUAUGUAAGAGAUGCCACGCUCCUUCAUAGACCCAAUAACGAUUAGAAGCAAGAAACAAAAGGCAUCAAGGCAAUCCGAAAGGCCUAUAACCUCCCUCAAAUAUUCCCUAAGUCCCUUUGGAAGCAUCAACCAGGUGCUAAGUCGAGUUUGGAAUCGCCUUGACCCUUGGAACCAUCUCACUAACCAAACCUCCGAUAUCACUUAGCACCGUCAAGAAAACAGAUAUUGUCUGAUCACAAGAACGAUAUAACAAGUAAGGAAAAACAUCAGACCAAGCCUCAAACCGCAAGAAGCACCCAUCUAACUCAUAAGGGGAAAAAGUGAAGUGCCCAUAAAACCACUGACUACUAAUAAGUCAAACAAACCAUCCUUAAGGACCGAUACUCCCUACCCCGAAUCGGAGACUUAUUUAACUAACAGCAAAGAAAUGGCAGAGGCUGCCCUACCGUUAGCUCGGAAAAUCCAUAGGAAGAGAACUCCCAAGAUAACCAAAGACUCAUAGGGUCAACUACAUCAUACACAAACUCAGCGUUGGUGACCAUAGUGCCAACCCUUAAGGCCCAAAAAACUCUACUCCUAGGACACCAAUCUCUAAAAUACCAUUCAAAAGUCCUCGCCAAGAUAGGCCUAAUAACCUAUAGCCUCCGAUUAUCCUAAGAACUCAGUCUUGUACGCUUCACAUUCCAUGCAGUCACCGCUCAUAAGUGUCGGACCACUGAAUCCCUAGAUAUCCCAACUGACGUGAUCGGGGGUAAACAAGAACCCUCACCUUGAUGAGAAGCAUGCGUAAUAGACAUGGGAAAAGUUUAGAUACCCACCUUCCCCUAAUCGAGUACUCAUAUAACAACAACUACCACUCGAGCAUAGGAGUUUCACCCUUCGAGGACCUGCGUGGCCAGAGGUGCAGAUCAUCCUCUGUUGGGCUGAGGUGGGAGAGACCCAACUGACAAGAGGAAAAACGCCCAAUAGCACACUCACUAGACCUAAGAUUAUUUGAGAAUCAACUAAAAGGAUAGCCCAAACUUGAGCACGACUCCAAACAUCGCGAGACCGACAAAAGAGCUAUGUAGAUAGCAUCUUAAAGCCUUUGGAAUUCCAAGUAAGAGAUCAAAGUAUUAUUAAAAGUCUUCCCUUGGGGAGGGACGAUACGAUAUGGAAGGAAAGGUAAACUAAAUCCCCAAUGCAUCGGACCAUCCAAGAUCCUUGCACGGACCAGUCCAGUAGCCUACAAACUCCAACUACCCUCCGAGCUUAGUGACGUACACCUUGUAGUCCAUGUGUCGAACCUAAGGAAGUGUCUAUCGGACAAAAACCUCCCAGUUCCACUAGACAAGAUUGAAGCGAGCUAGAAUCACCUAACCAUAGAUCAGCCUAUCUACUAUGGAUAGAGAAGCUAAAUGCACAAAACAAAGUCGCACCCCGAUUAUGAAGGUUCGAGGGAACACUAAGCGUGGGCCGGAAUUCAUUUAGGAACGUGAAGAACAGAUAAAGAAAAAGUACCCUCACCUAUUCUCCUCUUCAUGAUCCUACCCUUCGAAAGAAUUUCGAGACGAAAUUCCCUCUAAUGGGGGGAUGAUGUCACAACUAGCAUUUUUGGCUAGGAAAUUUUUGUCCUCAUGUAAACAAUGGCUAUUGUGAGACUUUUACUAACACAUUAAAGUUUACAUUAUGAUUCCUAAUAAGCCAUGUAUUGUUAUAAUGCAAAUCUCUCCCAAAUCCCUCUACGCAUCUUAAAUCUCUCCUAAAUCUCUCUAUGCAUCUCAAAUCUCUCCCAAAUCUCUCUAUGCAUCUCAAAUCUCUCCCAAAUCUCUCUAUGUAUCUCAAAUCUCUCCUAAAUCUUUCUAUGUACCCCAGAUCUCUAUCUAAUUUUCCAAUGAAGUUUUCUUAGUUGAAAAUAACACAAAACGAAAGGAGAAACUGAAAGAGCAAGCUCAUUUCGGAACCUCCUGUGCUGCUUCAGAAUUUCUUUGAUCCAGAAACCCCCACUUCGGAACCUUCGGAAAUGGCUCUGAAACUAAUGUGCUUCGGAACUCAUCAUGCCCUUGCACUGGACAAUCUCGCUCCGGAAUAACCUCUCAUCCGGACAAUCUCGUUUGGAGCCUUCGUGUUUGCUUCGUAACCUCGCAUACUUCGGACAAUCUCACCUCGGAUGGAAUUGGUUCCGGAUCAAAGCUGACUCCAGAAGUGAGGCUUAACUCCGUAAAUUGAGGAUUGACUCCAGAACUUGAAGAAUGCCUUCGGAACUCACCUAGUGGCUUCGAAACCCGCUAUUUGGCUCUGGAUUUUAGACCAUUUCGGAAUUUUCUUCAUUUUAAGGCAUUUUGACGUUGGGAAUCCCACCAAACUCGUAUUUUUCAUAACUUAGACCACUUAAACCUCUAUUUUAUGCCAAAUUUGAGUAUUUGAAACAUAUUUACGUGAAAUAAUAGUUAAUAUUUAUGAAAGUAUUAUAUUAAAUAAUAAAGAGAUAAGAGGGUUUGACUUUAUGAUGUGAUGUAAAUUCCCAUUUUCCAUGCAAUUCACGGUAACCCAUGAAUUACCCACAGAAUAUCAAGGCUUUAACCUCUAGAUAUCCAACCAAGCACCAACCCAUUUCACCUCCCCAUCUUAGACAUGUCCACCUUAAAACACCCCACCAUAUUAUCAUUUGAUACAGAUGACUUUUCUUUAUCUCUCAAAAACUCUCUCUCCCAACUUUUGAAGAAGGUUAAGCCCAAGUUCAUCCUGAGAAUUUUUGGUAAGUAUUUUCAUAAUCUCCGAUUAUUUAUAUAUGAUUAUAUGAUAGUUCCACUAUUUUUAUACACAUAUUUGUAUGUAUUGAUAUUGCUAGGAUAAUAAUCAUCCUUAGAAGCUCCUUUACUCAACUCAUCCAAAAGUUUAGACUUGAUAUUUUCACUCCAUCACUCCAAUCAUCCCAUAAACCAACUCAAGGUGAGCUUCAUACCCCUAGCUUUUGAGUUUUCUUUGUUUUUGGGGUAGAAUACAAGUCAAGGGUCUUGUGAAAUCUUAGUGUAUUUGCUUGUAUAUGUAUGUAUAUUAUGAUAUAUAUGCUUAAAGUUAUGAACUCCACCUAAUGGUUCAUGAACUUUAGAUUCUUAGGAAAUCUCAAGGUUUUGAACUAUACAUGUAUAUAUAUAUCACCCAUUUAUAUCUUAGAAACAAAAACUAGUAUGUUUAUGAAAUAUUAAUCAUAAAUGGUUACAUCAAAGAUCAUAAGGUUUUGCUACAAAAAUUGUUUAAACCAAGGGUUAAACAUAAUAUUUUGGAAAUGGUUAAAUUGGAAUAUUAUUAAUAUUUUGGGACCAUUUUCGGCCGCAUAUAUAUAGGGACCAUUUUGGAUAAUGGAAGAAAAUUUAAGAAUUAUUGAGCAUCUUAAUUUCAAAGGACCAAAAUGAAAAUUUUGGGAUAAACAAGGGCAUUUUUUAAUAUUUUAAUAAAUAUAAGUCUCAAAUAAACAUUUUAGAAGAAAAGGGUAGUUUUUGACAUUACGUUAAGUUUGGGGUUAGUUUUGAUAAUUAUGAUUCCAAGUGGAUUAUCCCCAAUAAACUUAAACGAUAAACCUAGUCAACUAGCACAAGUAAUGUUAUUUAUUAAAUAAUGGAUGUUAUCGAUUACUCAAAAACCAGUUGGUAUUCUAGUGAAGACAAGUCUCAAAAAAUACCUAAAUAUAAAUAUAUUAGUGUACGUCUAAAGUCCUGUAAUGAGUUAUAACCAGAGUCUCUUGGAUGGAGAGCGGGAAUUUGUGUAUAGAGCUAUAGGGGGUUCACACCCUGCAUCUUCGUUGUUCGCUACAGCUAGAUCGGCUAGUCUAGAGUGAUAAAUGUCUUUAAUCGAUUUGGGCAUCUGAGAAACGCCAAGACAGGCCUCCGUCAUAUUAGUAUGGUUACAGCAGCUCACUAGAAUAUGUUAAUGUAUCUAGAAAUUCAUGUAUGGAAAACCUCAUAAAUAAAUUGGCACAUUGUGUUGACUGCCCAUAUGCAUGGUAGUGAUGGUCCACAUUUGUUGUGUUGACCGCCCACUCAACUUGCGUGGAAGGCUUACAAUUGCCUGUGAAUUUCUCACACCUCUCUAGUCUUAGGGUUUUUAAGACCACCAUUUUAUAUAUAUCAGAAUAUAUAGGAUUUUCUGGGGAAAAACGAUUGUAUACGAUUUUGAAAACGAUAAACUAUCACACACAUGUACAAGUAUACUCAAUUGAAAAACAUGACUCAAGACUAUUUUAGUUAAGAAACUAUGGGAUUUUCUGGAGCAAAUGAUUUUAUACAAUUUCGAGAAACAAUAAACUAGAACACACACACAUGCAACUAUUCUAGAUGGAAAACAAGACUUACAACUGUUUUGACAAGAAAACACAGAAAUUUUCUGGAUUUCGAAACCAUCACAAAUUCUUAUAUAAACAUGCUUAUGAACUCACCAACAUAUUUUAUGUAGACGCUUUUGAAACGACUUGUAUUCUCAGGGAUCUAGUAAGCAGGUUAAAGGGACGCGGACUCGGGACUAUUUUGCUGUAGUUUGAAAUUUAUUUACUUACGUCUCUUUUGUGUAAUUUGAAGAACAAAUACAAUAUGUAAACAAUGUUAGUUUGUUAUCUCAAUGUAUGAUGUUUGAAUUUUCUAUGUUUCAUUUAUAUUCAGUUGUUAUCAUACUGCACAAUGAAGUCACUCGCCUCCAGACGUUUCCGCCGUCUAGUCCGGGGGUGUGACAUACACCCGUGUGUCCACGUGUUGAAUUUGAAAAAGUGCUUAUCAGAUGAAACCUUCGUCGUUCCUCUGGAUGAGAUCGAAGUCAACGAGAAUCUCCUGUUUUUCGAAGAGCCCGUUGAGAUAAUGGAUAGGGAAGUGAAGCGUACAAAACAAAGCCGCAUUCCGAUUUGGAAGGUUUAAUGGAACGCUAUGUGUGGGCCGGAAUUUACAUGGGAAUGCGAAGACCAGAUGAAGCAGAAGUACCCUCACCUUUUCUCUAGUUCCUAAGUAUAUCUUUCAAAAGAAUUUCGGGACGAAACUCCCUCUAACGGGGGGAUGAUGUCACAACUAGCAUUUCUACAUACGAAAUUCUAUCCAUGGAUGAUCAACUCUCAUUGUAUCUUGUAAUUCAAAGUUUGAUGUUAUGCAUGUUAUUCAAUUAAAAAAAACAGCUAAUCAAAUCAGAACUCACUCGUAAAGCCCAAAAAUCUAAUACAAUACAUUUCAUACAGUUAACUUUGGGUAGUAACCCUAAUUUUCCCGGUUCAAACCCCUAUUGGACUAGGAAUCAUUUAUUGGGUCUAAUGGGCCAAUAAACUCACAACUUGAUUAUUUUGGGCUAAGAAUCCUCAUUUGGGCCUUAAAUGGACCCACAUUUAGUAAACUAUAGCAUUAUGGGCCUUAAUUGGCCUAGAAUGUCUCAUUUGGUUUUAAUGGGCCUUAUUGGGCCGAAAACCAUCUCUUUUGAUCAUAAUGGGCCAAAAACCCAUUUCCUUUUAUUAUAUUGGGUUGUAAACACCAAUGUGGGCCCAAUGGGUCGAAAACUUCCUUAUUGGACUUUAUAUUUUCGGUUAUAUUCAAUUCUAGCCCAACAUAAAUAUUUGUUUCAUCAUCUCUCAAAUUCUUGGUGUAGUGACAUAAACAACAUGGUUUGGCAUGCGAAAUUAAAGAUUGCACAAUGAACAUGGUGAUUUGGGUGUUCAAGAGAUGUAUUGAAUAUGUGUAGUGUUACAAAAAGGGACAUAGAUCUAUAUCUACAUAAAUAACACACACUUACACACUCACUUUUACACCUCUCAAGCACACCUCCAUAAGUGGCAUGAACCCACCUUAUAUAGAGGUGUUUACAUGUCUCUCUCACACUCUCUAUCUCAUAAGUCAUAAGGCUAAUGCACCACAUGCAAGUGGGUCUACAAAAUUCAACCCAUUUACAAAGUCAUACAUGGAUAACUUUGCACCCAAUAUUCUCCCCCUCAAAGUUAGGAAUGGAUGACCCACUUCAAAUCUUCCAAAAUCGAGCAACUGCAAUCCGAGCCUCAAGCGUGACACAUGUAGAGAUGAACUUCAAAUCUUCAAUUCUUCCAUGAUUCUUCAAUUUGGGUUCAAGGAUGUGAGACCAUACAAACCGAGCAUCAACGAAUGAUUAAGAGCUUCUCAAACUCUAAAAAAUCACCCAAAAGUUGAGCAUAAAAACACACCCCGAAAAUCUUCAAUAAAACCAAACCCAUUUCGAAACGAAAUCACUUCCAAACUUCCAAUUGCAUCAUUUCGUGUACUUCAAAAAUUCAAGGUCACUUCGGUCUUCAAGUUCGCGUAAUAUGAAAAAUUCAACUUCGAAUUUCCAUAUAAAUUUCUCCCCCUUUUUUAAUCGAAAUUUGAUUCUAAAACCAUCAAGGAAAGAGAACAUGCUCUAUUUGGAAUUUUUUGUGUCAAAUUAAUCUUCACCUUAACAUGGGGCAUAAACUUUGUGCUUCAAUCCGGAAAAUCCAAAAAAUCUUCAAUUUUUAGCUUCAUUCAUGGACCGCCUUUGACAAAAUUUCUCAAAAAUGGGUAGAAAUUGUCAAUUUCAAAAUUCUGCAGUGACCCGGUGCGCCCAAAACAACAAAAAAUGCAAAACUCUCCCCCUUUUCCAAAGCUGGGUAGAAAGCGUCAAUUUGCAUUAAUUGCAGGGGCCUAAAAUGCAUUUUCUUCAAUUUCAUAGCAAAAUCAGUCCAUUUUCGAAUUUGGGCAAAAACUGCCAAAUUUCUGAAACUCCAGGGACUAAUUUUGAUAGUUCUGCCUUUUGUCCUCCAAACAUUUGAAAAUACCCCAAUUGUCGAAGUUUGACAAAAACUGCCAAACAUUCGAAAGUAUAGGGACUGCUUACGAAAGUGUUCCUCCUUUCUUCAAAACUUACCGAAAUUUGCCUAUUCGUACAAAAGUUUUAAACUGUGUCAAACUGUCGAAACUUUAAAGGCAUUUACGAAACUUUGGGUUUCUUCUUCCCCAAUCUCGUUUUAACGAAAUUAUAGGCAACGUACGAAACUUCAUCCCUUCGUACCAAAUCAUCUGCCCAUUUUCGUUAAUCAGCAAUGAAAAAUUUUAUUCCCCAAUUUCGUUAGUUUCAAUCACGAAUUCACAGCCAAUUCUAACGAAAAAUUUCCCAUCACCAUUUUAACGAAAAUUUUUCACUGCACCAUUUUAACGAAAGUUUUUCAAGCAUCAUUUAAACGAAACUCUUUCUUCCUCACUUCGUUAAUCAAGUAACAAAUUCGCUUUUCAUAGACUAGCCUUCGUCAACAAAGUCCUUUGCUAAAAGUUGACAUCAAUGACUCCAAAUAUUCAUUAGUUGAUGUCAAUUUCCAAAUCCUAGACUAUCGACUUCCCAUUCAUUCGUUCUUCGCUUUUCAUUCACCAACCCAAAACCUUCGUUAGUCAAUCAAACCCAAAUUUUCGUUAUUACGUCGCAUAACUAUCUACAUCAAAGCCAAAAUUCGAUCAUCAACUAUUCAUUCGUAACUUUGUGUUUUGUUACAGUGACCCCAAAAAGAAUUCCAUUACCAACUCUUCAUUCAUCCAAAAUCGAAAAUCAAUGACUUCGCACCAUCAACAUUGCCAAAACGAUUCCAAAACCAAGUCAUCGACUAUUGAUUUCAAUCAACAGGGCCUUCGAUUUCAAAUCAUUCUCCAGAAUAAAACUUGUAUUCGUUUUUCUGGUCAAUAAUCAUCGAUAUUACAGGCAUCGUUCUCAAUCGACUUCUAAUACUUUCGAAAUCGAUGUCCAUAUAAUAUCUUGAACCACAAACGAAAAUUGAUCAUUCCCUAUGCAUUGAACAACCUUCGAAAUCAUAACCAGUUUCAAACCCAUUGACAUCCAUCCAAAAAAUAUUCACGAUGUUAACUGUGUUCGGCAUCAAGAACAUAGACCCAACCAAUUUUCAAAAUCAAAUCCCAAACCAAAUAUGAUUUCGACAUCCAUAGCCAAUAUUCAACUUGUAUCAAACGAUUUCAACUUCCAAUUCACAUAAUCAACAAUUGAAAAGUGAGUUUGACUUUUUCUGAGUUUGACUUUUCAAAAUCAAAGAUUGACAAACAUGAAAUUGAAUAUUCCUUCACCAAAUUCCAGAUCAAAACAUGUUCAAACACCUGUUCCAAACCUCCUUCAAGUGUUCUUGACCACGAUUGACAAAAUCAAAGAAUCAAUUUUCGAUUUCAAAGCUAGGACACGAACAAAAUCAAUUUCAUCAUAUAACAAAUCAUAUGCAAUCGUAUCUUGAAUUUAGAUUUUCAACACAGUGCAAAAAAUUAUUAGAACCGAAUGGAUGAAAUCAAAACUCAAGAAUACAAGAUUGAAGAGUAAUCGAUGAAAGAGUAGCCGAUGAAUAACUGGAAUAAACUUGGAAUAAAUUGUACAACUGGUAUAACACAUGCGUACAAAUUGACUUAUCAACAAGCACAUGAUAUCGGAUCAAUAUAUUUGAAUGAGCUUGACACCUCAUUAAUACCUAGAGUUUAUCUAUGCUAUUAGCAUUACAUAUAUCUAAGCUAGAUCCUUAACUCUUCAUGUAAUAACCCAAUUCAACCUCUCUCUCUUUCUUCUUCUUCUAGUCUUGGCCGAAACCACCACCUCACCACCUUCAUUUUUACUCUCAAACUCAUCCAAACAUUCUCUCUAGAGAUCUCAAGAAAAUCUCACCUCCCACUCCAAAUUUGUGUGUGCUUGUGUGGUGUUCAAGAACACUUCUUCAAAGAUCAUCACUUUUAGGUAAGCUACUCUCUAAACAAGAUGAUUAACUUCAUUUUAUGAUAAAUCCUUCACUCCUUAACACUCCAUUUCAUGAUCCAUGCUCAUAAAAUCUCCUAAAAUGCGAAGAUCUCUUCAAGAGGUGUGCUAGGCCGAAAACAUAUCCAACUUCUUUAAAAAGCCGAACCUAUCAACCCAAAGUGAGUUCAUACCCCCUAUUUUCGGUUUUUACUUGGUUUGGAGGGAGAAUACAAGUUGCUUUGUGUAAAGCUAUGUGUAUAUGCAUCUAUAUGUGUGUUUUUACUGGUUUGUGUUGUGAUUAUGUGUUGAAAUCUUCAUAAACUCGAAAAAUAUGCUAACACAUGAUGAUAUUUGUGAAACAGACUACUUGAUGCAACAUAGUAUGAAAAUGAAAGGAUUAAAUCAUUUCAAGGAUGUUGGAACUAAGAAAAUCUUGUAAAGGGACAAAAUUGAAAAAAUAAUCAGAAGUGGGGUGCUUAUGUAACCCACGAUUUUGAAACGACCAAAAAGGAUUAUUGUAUAUAAACAUGGAUCUUUAUGUUAUUCAUGAAUUUCUAAGGGCUAAAAAUGUAAAUUUUCACACGUGGGCCUCAAAUUGGGCCUUCACGGUUUUAUGGGCUAAACUUGUAUUUUUAGCUUUUAUGAUUUAAAUUGUCCCUUUAGAUAAAUUUGAGCCAAAAAUGUAAAUUUUCAGUUAAAAGGGCUGAGAAUGUAAAUUUAUUCAAACUUGGGCCAAAAAGAUAAAUUUAUACACAAUUGGCCCGAAAAUGUCAAUUUUCAUAAAAUUGGGGCCAAAAGUGUCAAUUCUAACAAAAGAGAGCUAAAAAUGCUAUUUCGUUUAAAACAAGCACUAAAAUAUAAACUUUUGAUCUUAAGGGACCUAAAGUGUCAUUUUUACCCAAAAUGUGCCUUAAUUGUAAAUUUUCGGUUUUAAGGACCAAAAAUGUCUUUUUACAAAAAGUGGGCUUUUUAUGUCAUUUUGGUAAAUAAUUGAACAAGAACGAACAAUAUAAUAAAAAACGAGUCAAUUACGUCAAACUCACUUCUAUUGGGCCUAGAUUAUACAUUACAUGUCUAUUGGGCCUUAGUGGUCCACUUACAUGCUUAUUGGGCCUGAAAUAUACAUUAAAUGUUUAUUGGGCCUUAGUAGUCCACUUACAUGCUUAUUGGGCCUGGAAUAUACACUACAUGUCUAUUAGGCCUUAGUGGUCCACUUACAUGCUUAUUAGGCGUGGAAUAUACAUUACAUGUUUAUUGGGUCUUUGUAUCCCAUAUACAUGCUUGUUGGGCCUGGAAUAUAUACUUACAUGUUUAUUGGGCCUCUGUGGUCCAUUUAUAUACUCGUUGGGCUUUGUAACCUUAAAACAUACUCGAAAGCAUUAAUUACUACAUUAAACAGUGUGAUACAAUAUUCACAUAAAUAUAGUUAAGGUUCUUGUAAGACACGUUCAUUUAUUCGUACCCGCCUAGUGUACAACCUUUAGCCUGUAGUUAUAACCAGAGUCUCCUUGAGGGGGAGCGAGAGUUUGUAUAUAGAUCUACACGGGGUUAAUACCCCCACGCCUGAGUUGUUCGCUACAGUUAGACUAGGCCAGUUUAGGGUGACAAACCAUACCUUAAACAAGUCGGCGUCUGAAAAAUGUCAUGACGGGCGGAUCAGUCAUUAUCAAGUAUGGUUAUAACGACUCACAAAGAAAUAAACUUCACUAUAAAUUUAUGGAAUUCAUAAACAAUUCUACAAUUACAAUUUUAUACAAACACCAACUUACGGUGUUUGUGUAUAAAUACUACAACACUUUUGCAAGCAGAAAAUAUCGGAUUUUCUAGGAAAAACUUAUACUAUACAUCACCUUUUACUUACAUAGAAAACAUAGGAUUUUCUAGAAUACUUUCCUUAUACAUUUUCAAAACACACCUGCAUUAACACAAGAUUUGAUACAAAGCGUUCAAACCAUUAACUCCAUUUACAGAAAAUGUUGGAUUUUCUGGUGGUUACAAAGUGAUACAAACUUUUCAUACAAAUACACUUAUAAACUCACCAACAUUAUAUAUGUUGACCAUUUUCAAAAUAACUUUUUUUUUUGGAAAGGGAACUUCCCUAAUGAGGGUUUCCGGGCCAGCUUACGCGCACCGACUAAUCUCCCACUACAAACAUGAGACUUUGCCUCAUGUGGAAAUCAACCAUUUUCAAAAUAACUUGUAUUCUCAGGAAACCGUUAAGCAUGUGGACAUCAAGGUCAUGUGGAAAUUUGUUGCAUUUUGUUGCUAUUAUAAACAUUGAUAUUUUGGGAUGUAACUGUUGUAAACAAUUACAAUGAUGUAAACUCAGUAUUGUUGUAUUAUUUCUCGUGUGAUGAUGAUGCAUGCUUUGUUUCAAAUAUAUUCACUAUGAUGAUAUUACAAGAUGAUGUCACCUCAACCCCCGGACGUUUCCGCCGUACUCUUCGGUUCGGAGGUGUGACAAAUUUUGAACACCACAGCCCCGAGUUGGGCGCCAAAUUGUUUUGGUCAAAAAUUACACAAGUAUUGAUCGACCAAAUUGAAUGAGAGGCUAUGAUAUUUGAAUUAUGCAAUAUAGAAAAGUAAAGAGAAUGACAAGAUUGUUUACAAGGAAAUCCGUUGAUCCUUGCUAGGAUCUCCGGCACAAAACCUUGGGAGGUGAUCAUGAUCACCUGCCUUGAUUAUUUUAUUAUUAAAAAAAUGAUGAUUACAUAGAGUAUUCUAGUAAGAAUAAGUGAAAAAGUUUGUAGGGUAAGCUAAGUGUAAGUAGAGUGUGUUGUAUGUGAGAUACAUGUGUUAAUUUAUAGUCUAAGCUAGCUAACAAGAUGUCCGAUAUUCCCAAGAUCCUCUAUGACCAACUUUGUGAACGUUGUUGGACUUGGUAUUCUGGGUCUUUAGCAUAGUUGAGGUGACUUUCUGUUGAGAAUAAGUCUUCAGUUGAUUAUUUCUACACAAGUGUUAGUUAUGAACGAAAUAUAACCGUUAUAAAUGUUAAUAAAUAGUAAUAACGGUAAUAGUCGGGAUCUUGAGAUAGUUGAGGAUCUUGAAUAUCUGAUGAGGUUUGAGGAUCCUGAAUGCUUUGAGGAUCAUGGCCCUAACGGGCGUCGUCUCUAUUUUCCUGGUAGAACAACUGCAAAUCUAGAAGAAAGGGUAAUCGGAGGGGUGAGAGGAUUUACCAUAUAGGAGAACAGAUGUGUAUUCGUGGCUUUAUAAUCACAAUAUAGGGCUUGGAGAUAACAUCGAUGUUCAUGAAAAGCAGCAAAACCGUGAAUGAUUGGUCAGGGGAAUCCAGAAGCCCUAUGAGUUCGAUUUAUGACAGAAAAUCGAAUAAUCAAGGAACUAAAUAGGGAAGAUAUGAGAGUCGGUAGGUCAGGAAACAUGUAGUCGGUGGCAAUAGCAAGAGGAUUAAAGUUAUGCACAAAGUGGAGGCGGUAGAUUGGAUUGCGGUGGCGAUGAACAUCGAUUUCUACCUUUGGGAUCAUGAAGGGAGUAAUAUGCGUGGUAAUAGAAGAUGGAAGCGGGAAGCAAUUGAAAGCGGUGGGAAGCGAAUCAACUCUUCACAGGGACCAAAUUCGGUAUACGUAUCUAGGACAGGUAGCAGGCACUACCCCACCAAGAAGAAAGAUGUACAAACUUUAAAAUAAAAAUUAGACUAAUAUUGUUCCUAAGGGAACAUGAAAUUUAUAUAUAAAGACUGUGGAAUUUUUUUUUUUUUUUUUUUAAAAAUGGUGGAUCUAGUGAACAUUGAAGUAAUCCUUUCUCUCCUCUCGUUAAGGUCAUAACGAAAGCAAGCUAGCGAGCCCUAACGAGAGUUAAGGAGCGGUGUUCCUUUUCAUAGUCAGGCUCCUAGCAAGAGUGUAAGGAUGAGCUUUACAACCAGACCGGUUUGGAACUGUAACCGGUUUUCGUAUAUUAUAAGAACCAGGAACCGGAUCGCCGAUUCUAGCGCUGGUUCCGGUUCCGGUCCAAGUUUUUCAGUUAUUUUUUAAAACUAGAACUGGUUGAAAUGUUGUAGAUGAUAUGUUAUAUUCCUGGGUCUGUAAAUGAUUCAAUAUUAAAAAAAUUAUGAUUUUUUUACAUUAUAAAUUGAAGUAAAAACACUAAAUUACGUGAUAAAAAAGAAUAAAAUAAUUUCGAGUUACAUACUUUUUUAAAGCAGGACAGAUUCCGAAAAUUAAAAACAAAAUGUUGAAACCAAAAAUACACAACAUUGAUAUGUUGUCUUCUAGGAUUUAUAGUUGUUCAAUAUCUGACCAAAAUAUGUUUUUAUACAGUCUAAAAUGAAGUGCAAACACUAAAUUACAUGCGGAAAAAAAUUAAGUAAUUCCGACAUCAUAUGAAUGAGUUAUGCACAUUUAAAAAAACGGAAUGAUUUAAAAAAAAUGUUGAAAUAGAAAAAACGCAGCAGCGAUAUUCUUUAAUUCGGGACAUGUGUCUGAUUCAAUAUCUAACCAAAAUAUAUGUUUGUACAGUUAAAAAUAAAUAACAAAAUCCAAGUUAUAUAUUGGGAAAAAAAUCAAGCAAUUCCGACUUCAUAUGAGUGAGUUAUAUGCAUUUUAAAAAAUAGAAAAAAAAGUCAAGCCAGUUCUAGUUUUUAGAACCGGGACGGUUUUCAUAAGAAUAGAGAACCCGUAACUUGACCUUAUUAUCAAUUCCGAUUUCGGUUCUUACGGUUCUAAUGUCAUCCCUACGACAAUGUUUAGCGCUUAACUCCUAUCAUCCUCAUAGUAUUCCUUUAGACUAAUGGGAGUGGGGGUCGCUAAGACCCUCGCUAUCCUUGCUAGCACAAGACAAACACCACCCCCUAGCAUGUGCUAAGGGAGGUGUCAAACAAAAGUCGCCAACUAUUUAGCGUGAGAAGAAAGAAGGAGCAGCAGAAAAAUGAAAGCUUAUAUUGGUUCAUUCUUUUUUAUUUGUUUUUCCUUUCUUUUUUUCUAAAAACAAAUGGUUCUCAUUAGUUCUUAUCAUUUGUUUUUUUUUUGUUUUUUUUAUAAUCUAAAUGUUUGUGUUUUUUAAGAAAAGAUUAUAUGAUAAAUAAAAUAUAUGAUAUGGCAUAUUUUAACAUUUUGUUAGAAGUGUUACCACUCCUCUUAGCUUUACAAGAUUUUUUAAGUCUUAAAAUAUCGUAUUUGACACUAAAUCAGAUAUUUGUGUGGGAAAAAAAAUGGACGAGCAGGAUCAAUGCUGUUGAUUGGUUGGAAAUCACAUCCGGCGACAUCACAAUUCUCAACCGCAAUCAAUGGUCCACCCUUACUUUCUUCAUUCAAAUGUACUACAGUAUUUUUCUUUAUUCCGGUAUUUUAUAAAAGGACCCCCUCACCUUUUUACUUUUCCAUAACAACCGCUAAUGUUUACAAUAGUUNUGUUAUUAUUGUUAAUGUUUUUUUUUUACUAAACCGUUCAUUAAGACUAGAAGGAUAAAAAAACAAAUACAAUGACAUUCAAAGUUGAAGGGUUGUUUAUGUAAAUAAAACUUUAACAUAUUAAAUGAAUUUUCAUAAAUCAUACGUCCUUUUUAGAAAGAAAGUAUCAUGUGACUAUGUGAGCCUCAAAUUCUUUAUAUGUAAGAGAGUGAACGGAGCACAAACACUUGUCAUCAUCUUCACAAUUCCAAUUCAACAAAGAAGAAAGGAAACGACACAAUGCUCUUCUCCCUCUAAAAGGGUAAAAUCGUCUCAAAUUUUAUAUUAAAUUCCUCCAGAUAUUUUUUGUUCUUCAAUCUAGCUGUCCUUUUAUGUUCCACUAAAAGGGUAAAACCUUAAUUAUUUACCAUUUGAUCUUCAUGGCUCAAAUGGUUGUGGGUUUUCAUGGAUGUUGUUCUUUGAAUUUUGUUUUGUUUUUUUUUCUUUAAUUAUUGAUGGUAAUAUGUUGCUUUACUAUGAAGUUUAGUGGUAAUCAUGUCCCUGGAUAAUGGUUACUUUAUUCCAUUAACAAAAAUGGAAAAUGUUCACGGAUUGAUAUUGGGUUCUUGAUGUAUGUGUUGUUUCUUUAAAAUUUUAAGAUUUAUUUCGCGUAAAGGUUUUAUGUACCUUUCAGGGGUAUUUUGGGAAUUCCGAUAUAUUGGAGGUAAUAUGCUAUUUUAUUUAUUUAUUUAUUUAUUUUCAACAGUAGUGACCUGCUAAUUAAUCCAAUAUCUUGUUAUUAGGACUUUUUUCUUGAAUCUUGACUGCGAUAAUGGAAACAUGCAAAUGAUUUUUAUUUUUGGUGAUAUAUGCACAAAGAUAAAUUUUUGAUGAUAUAUAUGCACAAAGACAAAAACAAUUGUAUGUUUUAUAUAUAGAAAAACCCUUAUAUUAUUAUUUACGUUUUAAAUAAAAUAAAAUUGUAAAAUUUUAAGAAAAACGACCGACUAAAAAUAUGAUAUGACAUAAAUAUUCCUAAUAUUUUUUUGAUUGUAUAUGAAAACAUGUCAAAACCUACAUCUAUUUUGAUUACUUUUGCUCAAUUGUGUUCUCUAUAUGGAAUUAUACAAUUGAUUUUUUCCUCCUUAACUAAUUGUUUAUAUAAUAAUUAACAUCAUUGUCGUAUUAAAAAUAUAAAAUAUAAGCAACAUCAUAUUUUUAGUCGUCUAAAUCUCUUAAAAACUUGUAUUUUGGUUUUUUCUGAAUGGUAACUAUUGAUAUAAGAGUUUUUAUGAAUAUAAAGUAAUUUAAGGAUUUUUCUGUAUAUACAUAUAUAAUGAGUUGUGCUUUACUUCAUAUAUCCUUUUAUAUUUCCUAUAAUUUGCUACACCUUAAUUAUUUUUCUAAUACUAUCUUUCUUAUUCGACUUGUACAUCAUGCAUAUGAACUUGUACAUUUUAUGAAUUUACCUAUGUGCAUAAUUGUUAUAGGGGAGUGUUUAACAAAACUAACAACAACGUAGAGGUUGUUAGCUGGUAGUCAGAAGACUAACUGUAACUUAUAUUUGUAGAUAAAUAUUCGGCAAAAUUUAAUGUUAGUUUUAAAAUGCAUAAAGUUACAUAAAAUCAAAAGUGAAAAGUUCGAAAAGCUAUUUGAAGUAGUUAUUGGAUCAAAAGAAUUUUGCUUAAAUUAAAAUUCAAAAGCCAUAUCUAUUAAACAACGAAAAUUUUCUUUAGUUCGAGUUUUUGUUAAAGCUAAAAUGUAAAAACUCAUAGUAGCUUUCAAAAAUUAUUGUGUCUACAGUACCCAAAAUAUAUUACAAUAUGCUAGGCUUGAUAAUUAUAAUUAUAAUANUAAGUAAAAUCAUAAAGAUUUUUUAUUCUUGAUGUGAAGUUACUUUAUCAAGAAAGUCUAGUGUAAAUAAGUCAUAUCCUUAUACGGUCAUACCACACUUAAAUUUCAUUUAUUUGAUGAAUUUUUUAUGUGGGUAUCAAUAAAUCAUUGCAAAAACAUAAUCUUUUUUUAAUGUAAUAGGUAUCGAAUUAUAUAAGCAAUGAGUUCGUUUAUCAAUUUCAAGAACUGCAAGCCCAUGGUAGCAAAUUCAUCAUUGACCGAACAAUCUUCCAUAUACGCAUUGACUUUUGGUGAAUUACAAAACACAUUUGGUGGAAAUGGGGAAGAUUUCGGAUCAAUGAACAUCGAUGAGCUUUUGAAGAAAAUCUGGACUACUGAAGAGACUCAAUCAAUGACAUCAAAUUCCAAUUUGGGCAUAAACGGAAAAUUUCAAAAGCAAGGAUCGUUGAUUUUACCAAGAACAAUUAGUCAGAAAAAGGUGGAUGAAAUUUGGAGAGAUUGUCUUAAAGAAAAUGGCGGAUUUAAAGAUGUGGAUUUGAUCAAAGAACCAACCAUUCAGCCACAAGAAAAGCAACCAACUUUGGGUGAAAUGACACUAGAGGCAUUUUUGCAGAGAGCAGGGGCAAUUUCGGAAAACAACCAAACUCAAGGGUUCAAAAACGUGAUUCAAAAUCAAGGGUUUCGUCAAGAAGCAGUAGUUACGGAGGGUAAAAAUGACAACUUGCAGGGUGUUGGUUCCUCAAAAGUGCAAAAACUUCAAAAAAUUCUCCCGAAACAAUCCGCCUUCAACUUUAGAUCUUCAGUAAAUUUAGUGAAUAAUAAUCAUAUGAGUAGUCGUGAAAAUGGGGUUUCUAUAAUUGGAAAGAUUGGUCAUUCAAUAAAGACUGAUUAUCCAUCAGAUUUGUACCAAAAUGGCAAUUUGGACAUGUCACCAUCACCACCACCCUGUUAUGGUGGUAGCUAUGAAGGAAAGAGGAGUGGUGUGUUGGAGAAAGUGGUGGAGAGAAGGCACAAAAGGAUGAUUAAGAACAGAGAAUCUGCUGCAAGGUCAAGGGCUCGAAAACAGGUCAAAGUUCUUGAAAAUCUAUAUCUUUCUUGUUUAAUUUGAUCUUUUUAUGUUUAUGCAUUCGUGUGUUAAUGGAACUAACAGGCAUAUACAUUGGAAUUAGAAGCAGAAGUUGAAAAACUUAAAGAGGAGGUGCAGAAAAAGCAGGUAUUUUUACUUAACAAUUGUCAUAAUUAUUGUGUACGUGAUUUAUAUAUCACGUGAUGUUGUUUUUGUUGUAUUUAGGAUGAAAUCAUGGAAUCGCAACAUUUUCAGGUGCGUAGUUAUAGGGUUAUUAUAAAGAGGUCAUGUUUUACUUUUAAAUAAUGAUUCAAACAUGAUACUUUCAAAAAUGGUCUUCACUUGUUAUUUUAAAAACACUUUAAAAAAAACGUAUGUUUGUGAUCAUAUAUGAUUAUAAAUCAAUAUUGGCAAUAUAUACCUUAUUUUGGCGUUGAAUGCGAUCAUAUAUGUUUAUAAGUUAACGUUGGCGAUAUAUACCUUAUUUUGGCGUUGAAUGCGAUCAUAUAUGUUUAUAAGUUAACGUUGGCGAUAUAUACCUUAUUUUGGCGUUGAAUGCGAUCAUAUAUGUUUAUAAAUUAAUGUUGGCGAUAUAUACCUUAUUUUGGCGCUGAAUGCAAUCAUUUUUAUUUGUUUUGUCAGAUAUGGGAGAAGACAAAGCUGACUGAAAAUGGAAGAUUAUGCUUGCGAAGAACGAUGACAGGACCUUGGUAGAUAAAUGCAUCAUAAAAUAUAUUUAUAAUACAUAAUAGAAUGUGAAAAGUACAAAGACUAGGGUUUCCAAGAGUAGAUAAUGACCAAUGAUAAGUGAUGCACACGAGGUAUGAGUUAACAUAUAUGCUCCAGAUUUGGUUAUUUCUGCUCUAGACAUAAGGAUUUGAGUGUGUAUAUGUACAUUAUUUUGAUCUUGUUUCUCUACACAUUGUAUAGAUGUGUUUGUGUAUGUACAGAGACCAUAUAACUUUCAGAUGUAUAAUUAUGUUGAAUCUUGUUCGUAUGUAAUUUUUAGGCUUUUGUAGUUUGAUCUCUCAGACUCGUUUUUUAUGUUACGUUGGACUGGAUAUAAGUUUUAGGUGUUUGCAUUGGAUUGGAUUGAGAAUUACUGUUUCCGGAUAACAUAAAGAUUGUGUACAAUUCACUUUACUUAAUCAAUAAUUUGACAGUAUGUCUGGAUAUCAUAAAUUUCGAUGUGGGAUAAUCAACAAGAGUCACUUCGAGUUAUGAAGCACAAAACUUAAAGCAACAAACUAAAUCCAUUUAAAUGUUCAAAUUCUGAGAGCAUUUCCAAUGGUUAAGUUAUACUAAGACUUAAAAUUAGUGCUACAUCAUCAUUCUAAAAAUUUUAACCUCUAAUUAAGUAACUCCUUUAAUGGUUAACCUCUUGUUAUAGUUUUUAGUUAUAAAAAGUUAACUAAUUUACCCAUAUCUACUUAGAAUGUUCUAUAAAACUCCUUUAUUUAAUUAUUCAUUUUUUAAAUGUACAUUGUAUUUUAAUAUAUUAAAAUUAUUACAGUACAUUGUUUCAAAAGAAAUAUAUUACAAAAUAUCGUUUGUAAAAAUUAAUAUGAUAAAAACUAUUACGAAAUAGUCAUAAAAAAGAUUGAAAAAAAAUAUAUAAUCAUUAUAAUUUUAUUUUUUAUAAAUGUAAUGUAAUUAAAUAUUUAAAAUUUAAUUAUUUAGUAAAUAAUUAGAAAAUAUUUAAAACUAAAAUAUAGUUAAUAGGGUAAAAUGAAAUAUAACUAAAGUGUUGGGGUGAUAAAUGACAAAACAUAGAAGUAUAUUGACCACUCAAUAUAUGUUGAGUGCUCAAUAGAAAGAAGCAAAUAAGUUGUACACUCCAAUGGUAAUAAGUGAUUAGUUAAAAAAAAGUAAAUAAUAAUAAGAUUUAAAAAAAGCACCAUUGUAGAUGCUUUAAGGCGUCUCUUUCAUAUAAUGUACCUACAACCAGUAACUGAAGGGUAAAGUCUAGACGACAUAUGUUCAGAAUUUUAGAAGGAACUUCACUUCAAUUGAAAGUUCAAUUACUAUAGUAGGACAAAGUUUCUCAAUCCUUGGCAUCUUAUUUCACCUCAUCUAAAGUGUCCAAAAGAUGCAGAAGACUUGACAUACAAAAUUAACUCCAAAUAUUGUUGUCCCUUCUGUCUGUGUUUUCUUUACUCUACUUGUAGUCCGAAAACCCCUUUUGGUUUUUCCACUGCACGUAUAGUUCAAAAAUCCAUAUAGGUUUCCGUACUCUUCCCUUCAAUCCUAUAUGUAGAUCGGUUUAGUCAUUAAUAGGACCAUCAUGCACUACCCCUUCACCCUAGCCAUUUGUCGUGUCUGAGAUCCAAUUAACCUUGUUAUUUAUUUCAUUUUUGUGUAGAAAACAUGAAUUUCUUCCCUCCUAUUUUCUUUUUAUUUAUUUGUUGUGCAGAAAUAUGAAUUCGCUCAUCCUAAUGAUAAAAAAUAGCAUUAGUAACGUUUAUCAUGUUUGAUCCGGUAACAUCUCAAAAUUUCAUGCUAAAUUUUUAAUUUUUAAGACAAUAUAACAACCACUUUAAUAAAAUUACAUUCAGGACAAACCAUUGUUCAUAAACCAUUAUUUAGAAAUCAGUGUUUUAAUGAAGGCAAUGCAGAAUAUCGAAUCAUAAAAAUGUUGAUGUGUGUGUAAAAUCUUGCCUUCACAAUCCGAUAAGUACCUGCAAAAUAUUUAACCUACAACUGUAAGCACAAAACUUAGUGACUUCGCCAAAAUAUCAGAUACGACACAAAAUAAUAAUCAAUUAUGCGUUAUCAACAACCCUAGGACUAUCAGCAGUCCUCAACAUCACGUAUAACACAUGUUGGGUUGAAGAUUCGUUUGAAAAUUGCGUCAUUGGGCUCGGCUAUUAGUCCAAUUGUUUUGUAUUCCAGUUUGGGCCUGUCCAACCGAGAGCCUUUUAGGUUUAUUAUAUAAGUAUAUGCUUGCAUGCAUAUUAGGUGAUCGAUCUAGAGUAUAACGAUAGUAUUACAGAUUUCUUUGAUCGUUCUUGUAAACCUACCAACCCUCUACAGUUGAUGUUCUUAAUCGAGCUCUUCUGAGGGUUUUGUUUUAAUCAUUCGACACGUUUGAUUCAUUCUUGACUUGUUCUUUAUUUUCGUGUUCUUGCUGUUUUAUAUUUACUUACCUGUUUAAGAUCUAAUCGAUCUUCAAGAUUAAGUUUUAAUCUCAUCAAUUGGUAUCGGAGCAGGAGGCUAUGUAAUCGAUACACAUCUUUUCUGUGAAAAGGUUUCAAUUAGGGUUUUUUCGCAAUUACUGAUAUUUAUUGAGCCGUCAUCUCAUUAUUGACGUUUCUUGAUAUUUAUUGUUUUGCCCUAAUCUGAUUUAUUACAAGUCUGAUCUUUAAACAGGUUUUUCGAUCAUAAUGGACGAGUCGCAAUCAAAUCCCAUCAAUAUUUCCAACAGCAUCGGUUCAACCACGAAGAUUCCAAUCCUAUAUACCCAUGAUUAUGAAGUCUGGGCGCAUCACUUCGAAGACUACGUUAUAGGAUCUGAGGAUAAUGGAUACCUCAUAUGGGAAGCAAUCAUCAAUGGACCUUUUUCUCAUUCUGCAACGUCAAGGAUUAUUAAAACUCAAAAGGAGUAUAAUGAUCUGCUGAAGGAUGUCAAAGAUAUUGCGCAAGAUGAAAAGGAUAAAUUCCAGUGUAAUAUCAAGGCGUUAAGAUUGAUAAGAUUCGCCCUUCAGUCCGACACCUUCAGGUUGGUCAGCUCAUGCACGACGGCAAAGGAAGUUUGGGAUAGACUUCGCGAACUGUACUCUAAAGACGAGGAUCUUGAACAUUCUAUCCAAACCUUUCUCUUAUCCGAGUUUGGAGAAUUCAGGCAAGGAGCCGAAGAGACUGUGACCCAGACGUUCGCUCGCUUCAAUCAUCUUCUCAGUAGUAUGAUCAAACAUGACAUCGAAAGGAAGCUUAUCGAGCAGAAGGUUACGUUCUUAAAUGGUCUAAGGUCAGAAUGGAGAGCAGUGGUGUCAACAGUUAAAGCGCAUGAGCAGUUUAAAUCAUACUCUUUGGCGAAACUGGUGGGUAUUCUCAAGUCCCAGGAGAAGAUUGUGCUGCAGGAAAAGAACGUUGUUUCAAGCCUAGGUUCACUGGCCCUCCUGUCAAAAAGUAAAGCUGUGAUGGAGGAUGAAGACCUCAACUUGGAGGAGUAUGACCUCACGUCUGAGGAUUAUGCUAUGAUGGUGUCUAACCCCAAGAGGUUCAUUAAGAAGAGAUUCCCCAGCAACAAAAACCGAAACUGGCAGGGGAGUUAUAGUUCAGAAAAGGUUAACAAUGAACCGAAGGUUGAAGAGCCCAAGAAGGAACCGAAGGCAGAUGGUGAUUCUGGAGUAAGCUGUUACUACUGUGGUGGGAAAAACCACUAUGCUAAGGAUUGUGUCCUCAAAAAGAUGGCUGAAAAAGAUGAGGAAAAGGAUGAGGAAGCUGUGCUGCAGAAAAAGCUUGAUGAGAUGAGAAAGAAGAAAUCUACCGCUAACCCUUCCAUGAAUGCUCUAAUUGUGCAGGGUUCGGUUGCUGAUGACGAGUUCGGUAGCGUGGAAGUUUGGUCAACCGACUCAGAAGACGAUGAAGUGAGGAAGCCUACUCAUGGAAAGGCUUGUGUGGCAAAGGAGGAGAGCAGUGGAGGAAGGUGCUUCAUGGUGUCCGAUGUAUCUCAGAUGAGGGGAUACAACACUGAUGGUGGAAGCAAUGAACCGAAGGAGCAGCAGGAUAUGUGCUUUACGGCCAAACCGCUCAGCGUGCAGUUCAACGAGCUCGAUGAACUGAUCAAGAAGGUACAAUCGGUUUUUGUUUCAUUUAAAGUACCACAAUCCUCAUAUGAGAAAGAACUAAAAAAUGUUAAUACAAGAAUUUCUCAUCUAGAUAGUAGUUUAACUCAAACUCGAGUCACCAAUUCUAACCUAACUGAUCAAUUAAGCAGGGUGUCUUCGAAGAGUGAGGAGCGGCGCAUGUGGAUCGAGUUGAAGGAGUCUGAAUUAGUUAAAAUAAAAGACGAAAACAUUUAUUUACAAAGAGACAAUUUAAAGUUGUUAAAACAGCGGAAUGUUUUUUGUUUAAUUGCAAAACGUCUUUAUUCUAAUAUUACUCAGCUUCACUUGGACUGUGAAAUAGGCCAAAAGAUCCAUCGCAUGAUUUUGCCCUUCCUUGAGUUUAAGGAGGAUGAAAUCGAUGCUGAAGCUUAUAAUUGUGAGAGUGUGAUAUCAUCUGAUGACGUCAAUCCGACCUAUAUGUAUGGACUGGACAAAAUUGAAUCUUUCAUUAAAUCCAAGGACCACAAGGACAUGCUCAAAAACCUUUUGGAUGAAAAUGAUAGACUUAAACUGAGAACCGAAACCAUACAAAAAUUUGACUCUUUAAACGCCAACUUGAGCUCAGAAAACAAAAUUGAUGUUGAAAAUGCAUCUGAGCUUAAUGAGGACGACAACAUGAGUGAAAUUUCUGUAGAGGACAC